CAAUUAAUCCGACUACACACGAGCUUCUCUCCCUGGCCAAGACACAAUCAUAGUAUGAUGAAGAACAUGGCACUAGCCGGCAAUGGUAUGAAGAAGUUAAUCCUCGCUGUUCUCUUACUCUGUCUAGUUAUAGGGCAGAUACAAGUGGAAGCUAAGAGCUGCUGCCCAUCCACCACUGCAAGAAAUAUCUACAAUACCUGCCGUUUCGGGGGUGCAUCCCGUUCAAUGUGUGCAAAACUGUCAGGCUGCAAAAUUAUCAGUGGGAACAAAUGCAAGCCCCCUAACGACCACCUCACCCUUGACCCGGACACUGGUAAAUAAUAAAUUUAUCUCACUUGAUUUCUUCGUGAUUUGAGUCGUUAAUGUAUUUUCCAUCUGAUGAAACGUAUUGGUUUUGCAUUGAAGAGGAAGUUAAUGUGCUUAACUUCUGCAAGUUGGGGUGUGCGUCGUCUGUGUGCAACAACAUCAACGCUGGUAAGCACCUUUUGCUCAGACGGAGAAAACAAUAAUCAUUAAUUAGCGGCAGCUAGAAUCCUAUAAUCUAAUAUAUUUAUAUAUAUAUAUAAUUUUAUCAGCUCUGGGAAAUGAAGAGGCGAACGAUGCCGUUGAGAGUUGCGACCAAGCCUGCUCUAGCUUCUGCAGCGUGCAUGUUGGCAGCGCCACCGUGGUUGCUUAAGCAAAUGCAUGCAACUAGAUCGUCCUUGUGCUGAAUAAUUGGAUAUCGUAUCCACUUAAAGCUGCCUUGUGUAGUACGUCUUUGUUUGUGUCUCUCUUUAUAUUCCACUAAGGUCGGUGAUCUUGAUGCCACACACACUCAGAUGUGUGUUCAUCUCCAGAUACUACUCCAUGCUACCUGCCCUUUUUGUUUUGUUCAAUAACUGGGUAUCAUAUCCCGGCCAGUGUGCCAUCUAUUUUGUGUUUGUUUCCUUCUAGUUCCAAAGGGGUCAUCAUGAUGUUACCUUCUUUCGAUAUGGUGCUUUGCAUGACAACUGUUGUAUGGUACCAUCUUGUUGGCCAAUAAAUACAUCUUAUCCUAUGACCCUUUGCUAUGACCCUUUGCAAAUAAGUACAAGAUUGUUAUAAGCGUCAAUACUCAGUAUAAUUGAUCGCUGCUGUGAGUUCCCUUUCAGCUUAUCGUAGGCACACAUUAUUGCUAGCACGGUAAAGACAACCAACACGAAUGAUGAAGUAAACGUAGCGGUACUUUUGUAUACCAACACCCUUACUUAAAUGUACUGGUGUCAUUCCCUACUGGCACAUAUAUUCUUAUAUGCUAGCCAGAUUGGAAAAUUAACCAAUUAAAAUAAUUAUUUCAAGAUAGAAAUAACUUAUCGGCUUCUCGAAGCAUGUGUAAUUUUAAUUCAAGGACUCAAUGGAAGUUGAAUCACUUCAUCUAGAUUGCCUUCUGGAUUUUGGUUAACUAAAUUUAACAUUUGUGUCGGGGGGAAAUAUUAACGAUUUUCUUACGCUCUCUAAUUAACGGAUACAAGGGCUAGGGCCCACCCCUAAUACCCAUAAUCUCCGCUAACAACACAUCCCAGAGGCACUCCGCUCCGCCUCGCCCGACUUCAGGGUCGCAGGGUCGGACGUGCCCGACCCCCCAAGGCCUCGCCUCGUCUCAGCCGAUGGAGUUCCGCCUCGCCCGACCCUGAGCCCAACGGAUCGGACGCGCCCGACCCCUCGAAGCAGGACUCCGCCUCGCCCGACCCUGAGCGCAAGCGGUCGGACGUGUCCGGUCCCACCUGACAGAGCUCCGCCUACCCGAAGGUACGAGCAGGUCAUCAGACGGAAGCGCGGGCUCUGUGAGUCCCCCUGGGCUCACCCAACCGAUGGGACCGCGCAAGCUUCCAGAUACAGUUCUGACACAUGGAGAGGCGCCCGCGUUCCUCGACAUGACCUGUCAAAAUGUUGGUCUGCGCACUGCUGCCACGACUGCACAGGGCUACACCUGCACCGUCCUACCCCACUGUGACAUCUGUCAUAGGGCACUCAUCGCUCAUACCAUCUAAUGGAGGAGGGAAAACCGCCUAGUUUUCCACGUGGGCUAGCAAGAAGAGCACGUCAGCCACGCCGCCCCGUCAGGGUGCAUGGCUACAGUGGUUGACCAUCACCCGCGACGUGCACAGUCACAGUGGCCAGUCGUCACCACCAACUUGCACAGCUACAGUGGUCGGCCGCCAUGCACGACUCGCGUGUCCGGCUACAGUGACCGACCGCCGAGUCACCGAUGGGACCCAACGGCAACCCCUAUCCCUUAGUAGCAGUACCGACAAGACGCAGAGACAAGAAGGGAAGACGACGUCUCUAGUAGCCCCACUUGCUUCCCUUUUUACCUUUCUACCUGUUUACCUUCCUUACUCCCGGCUCAUUUGUAACCUCUGUAUCCUCCUUGCACUAUAAAAGGAGACCAGGGGGUCUGAGGGCAAGGGACCCUCGGAGACCGAACCCCGAAUUCACCCAAGUACAAACCAACCGAACCACCAGACGAGAAAGACUCACAGAGAUCUGGGAACCAGCUUCCCUCUCUCACCUAUUUGUAGCCUCUACUCCAGACUUGGUACGAGUAACACGAGCAGCCACCCGCACUGGACUCCUCCGCCAGAAACUGGUCCAACCAGUCGGGUCCCUCCCCCUGCUCUUCGUCCUCAUCAUCCUCAUCAUCGUCGUCCUCAUCCGUUGCCGUGUCUGGCCCCUCCGCAGCCUUCAGAACUCCGCUGCAGCUUUCUUUUUCUUCCUCACCGUCUCCUUGUCCUUCCUCUUCUUCUGUGCUUCGUCGAGGAGGCGGUUCCGCUGCCUCUGCACCACGUCCUCUGGCACCGGUGGACGGGAGGCUGUGACAUGGUUUAAGUUACCCUGCAGAUUCGAAGACUCCGCGUCAGAAUAGCAAACCAGGAAAUGCAGGAAAGAAGAACGAGAGUGCAAAUUUCUAACCAGCAGGACAUAGGCCUCGUCCGGGCGCAUCGGAGGGUGCCCCGGCACCGGGAACACGACAUCCCUGUCACCCAAUGCAUCCCGGACACGCUGCUCGAUCUCGGCGUCGGCAAUUGCACCCGUCGCAAGGACGGUGCUGUGGUACGCCCCAACAACUCCGGCCCCGGUCAGGCCCUCCUCCUUCAGAAGGUUGAUGGCUUCGAGGAGACCCCGGAUAUUCUUCUUCUCCUUCUCAACAGGGCCAUAUGUCCACGUUCCCGGUGCCUCCACGAUGACGCGGCCAGUGAACUCCGUCAAGAGGACAUCGGGGCGGUUCUUCACAUAGAGCCACUGCUGAUGCCACCCUUUGUGGGAUGACGGGGUCUUCAUCGAUGUAUACUCCUUGGGCCGAUGGCCACAGAGGUGGAUGCCGGCACACCCCAUCAGCAUCGGAAUCGUCCGCGUCUGGUUUCCUCUCUUCUCGGUCCUCUGAUGAAGAGUGACAGCGAAGAAGUACUUCCACAGGGCGAAGUUGGGCUCGAUCCCCAGGUAUCCCUCCCAAAGCACGACGAACGCCGCGAUGUGCUGGAUUCCGUUGGGGUUGAGGUGCUCCAGCUCAAUGCUAUAGUAGUGCAGCAGCCCCCGGAAGAAGCGACUUGGGGGAACCGCGAACCCCCUCUCGUGGAAGUGCGCGAAGGAGACGAUGUACCCGUCCUCCGGCUGUAGCACGGCCUUGUUCCCGGGAUACCGCCACUCGUUCUCGGCGAUCCUAUCGCGAAGAAGGCCCUUCUUCACGAGACCGAUCACGCGCGCGGUGUUGAAGAUUGACCAAGACCUUGAAUCCAUCGCCGAGGAAGGGGAAGGCUCGACGGCGGUGGUGGAAAGGUGAAUGCUCUGGCUCGAAAGAGGAUGAAAAGUGAACAAGGAGGCGAGAAAGGCUGAAGACGAGUGCGGAGCGGAGCAAGCAAGGUAAGCUCUCUCGUUUUACAGGGGGCGUGCGAGAAACGAAAGGCGAACCGAACGCAUUUAUUGCGACGUCAGGUAUGCCCCAUCGCCUCCGCCUUUCUUCGGAAACCGUACGCAUGAUUUCUUUUUAACCGCAGGGAACGCUACGCCCCCUCGCCCCACGAGCCCGGUGUUUUUUGCCGCUUCGUCUCCUGGAGGUCAUGCGCACAACUUCCUCCACAAGCGGCCCAGGGCCCGCUUCAGGUAAAAAAGGGAUACAGAGCUGAAAACACUCUAACGGCCCAUUACGGUCCAGGGGUUCGAAGGCUGGCCCUCUAGAGGGUUCGACAUCCACCCCAGGACAUUUCUUGAGCAAGGGGUGAGAAGGGACGGGUCCGCUAGCGACCACUACCCUGGUGAACAAAAGCCAAGGGCGUCCCGACCUCACAUUUGAGUCUCGAUUGGCGUUUAAGUUCAUGGUUUUUCCCCGAAGAAAGGCAAAGUGCCCCCGGAUCCGGUUGAACAGACCUGGGAACUAUAUGAACUGGCCGUCCGAAAUCUGGAGUACGCCACCAGCUUGGCCCAAGCCGGACCCGCCCGAACAGGGACCGGGACUCCACUCGAACUGACCCGUUAGCAGCUCACCGAGCACCAUGGUUCGUCCGAUGAGGAUAACAUGGCACGGCUCACCCCCUCCGUCCCAACGAACGGACGCUGAGGGGUAACGACUAAAAGACGAUCCGACCUCUCGAUCGGUCCCCUGCAAUGCGCGGGGGCUCGAGGGCUGGAAUCACAACGAAACGACCAUGCGCAUGGUUACGACUCGGAAUUUUGAGGCAGGAAUGGUCAUUGAAACAAUAGGGAAUCUUCCCAAACCGUACCAUCCUCAGAACACUCUGGCUACCCAAAACUCCCCGGCCAGGCCAAACAAGCAAAACUUUUCUCCUGAUCAAAUCAAGGUACAUGUUAAACAAGACCCCUGACAAACACUCUGCCGAGAGCCAAUCACAGCCUCUGGAGGAGCACCUUGCUCCACCAAAGGCUCGGGGCCUACUGUCAGGGGGAAAUAUUAACAAUUUUCUUACGCUCCCUAAUUAAUGGACACAAGGGCCAAGGCCCACCCCUGACACCCGUAAUCUCCACCAACAACACAUCCCAGAGGCACUCCGCUCCGCCUCGCCCGACUACAGGGUCACAGGGUCGGACACGCCCGACCCCCCGAGGUCUCGCCUCAUCUCAGCUGAUGGAGUUCCGCCUCACCCGACCCCAGGCGUAAGGGGUUGGACGCGCCCAACCCCUCAAAGCAGGACUCCGCCUCGCCCGACCCCGAGCGCAAGGGGUUGGACACAUCGGAUCCCACUAGACAGAGCUCCGCCUCGCCCGAAGGUAUGAGUAGGUCAUCAGACGGAAGCGCGGGCUUUAUGAGUCCCCCCAGGCUCACCUAACCGAUGGGACGCGCACAAUUCUAGAUACAGUUCUGACACGUGGAGAGGUGCCCGCGUUCCUCGACAUGACCUGUCGGAAUGUUGGUCUGCACACUACUGCCACGACUGCACAGGGCUACAACUGCACCGUCCUACCCCACUGUGACAUCUAUCAUAGGGCACUUAUCGCCCAUGCCGUCUAACGGAGGAGGGCAAACCGCUUGGUUUUCCGCGCAGCCUAGCAACUACAGCACGUCAGCCACGCUGCCCCGUCAGGAUGCAUGGCUACAGUGGUUGACCGUCGUCCGCGACGUGCACAGCUACAAUGGCCAGUCGUCACCACCAACUUGCACAGCUACAGUGGUCGGCCGCCAUGCACGACCCGCGUGUCCGGCUACAGUGGCCGACUGCCGAGUCACCAAUGGGAUCCAACGGCAACCCCCAUCCCUCAGUAGCAGUACCGACAAGACGCAAAGACAAUAAGGGAAGACGGUGUCUCCAGUAGCCCUACUUGCUUCGCUUUUUACCUUUCUACCUUUUUACCUUCCUUACUCCUGGCUCAUUUGUAACCCCUGUGUCCUCCUUGCACUAUAAAAGGAGACCAGGGGGCCCGAGGGCAGGGGACCCCCGGAGACCGAACCCCGAAUUCACCCAAGUACGAACCAACCGGACCACCAGACGAGAAACACUCACAAAGAUCUGGGAACCAGCUUCCCUCUCUUGCCUGUUUGUAGCCCCUACUAUAGACUUGGUACGAGUAACACGAGCAGCCACCCGCACUGGACGUAGGGCUAUUCCUGCCCGAACCAGUAUAAACCUCGCGCCCUCUCGUACAACCAUCCAAGCCUUACGCGUAGAGAAACAAAUUUACUAAGCCGGUAGUCUUGACCCGUGAUUCGUGAGACCGACAAUUUGCACAUACAAAUGUUAAAGUACAAAUGUUAAAUCUAGUUACCAAGCAGAAUACGAAAUAGCGGGCUAUAGUGAGGCUAUAGCGGCGCUAACUGCUGCAACAACAGUGUUGUACUAAUUAGCAGGCUAUAGCGGAGCUAUAGCGGUUGAGCACAGCUCUACGCUAAAUAUCAUAGCCCUCAAUUUUGUACAUUGUAUAUACUAUAUAAAUCUAGUUAACAUUUAGUCUAAAUGUUAAAUCGAGUUACCUAAAAUCCUGAAAGCAAAAUGUAUAAAUAUAUAUCUUUUAGGGUAGUAUAAGCUUCGAUUCCUUUUGCUGCUCUGUUAAAUCUCAUCUUUCGUUGUAGCCCAACACUCUAGUAUUGAUUUUGCACCAAGCUUCUUUGAGCCGCUCUGCCCUCUGAUUUUGCUGCGUAGGGGAAUCUUUAUCAGGUUGGGCUACUUCCAGUCGUGCGAUGUAUACCUUUGUAUCUUCUAGAAGGUAGACAGAAAACCCGCGUUCUCUUAAGGCAACAACCAGAAGAUUCUGCAGCGCACGGGGCAUAUCAUUGUUGUAGAAACGACCUUUAGUAUCGAUCUCCAACCCCUUAUAGUACUGGUUUUGCAACCAGUACCGUUAUGUCGGACCUUUAGUACCAGAUCAAAUAACCGGUUCUAAAGGGACUCCUUUAGUACCGGUUGGUAACCAGUAUCAACUUGUUUUGCGGCCAAAAAAAUAAAGAAAAAAAUAGCCAGAAGGCUAGCACACACACACAUCCCACGAAAUAUGCGCGUGCGCGGUCCAUGGGAUUCGAACCCAUGAAAUCAAGCUGCGCGCAACCCUUCGUUACCAUCUCACCUUCAGUACCGGGUCAUAACACCACCCGGUACUAGUAUCGGAUGCUGUAAUGACUCGAUACUAAAAGGCCUCUAGGGACCCUCAAAUUUGGACCCGAUACUAAUGCUAACAUUAGUACCGGGUCAAAGUGCAGCCAGUACUAAAGCAUGGGACGAAAGGUCAUAUUUCUAGUAGUGUAUAGUUGUUGUGUAGGACUGACUUGGCUGUCCUCUCUCUUCUCCAUCCCAUUGGUCUUACGCCGCCGCUCGCACGCGAGCCGGCACCCAACCAGAGGAGUGAGAGCUAGGGGCGGGUUGGGAGGUGGGGGUAGCGACUGGUGGCUAGGGUGAUGGUUGAUGUUGGCGGGGUUAGGGUUUCAUGGUUUUCAAGCUACCUACGGCCGGCGAACCUAGAGGAGGAGGUCGACAUCAGCUGCAACCCGCGGUGGUGGUGGUUUGGCCGGCGCCCCAGGCGAGGCAGCGUGGGAGUGCUGCUGGCGGGUUGGUGUUGGCGCUCAUUAUUGACACAUUUUUAGUACUAUUUUGUUCAUGGAAUAACACUCAAACGUGCUGGUGCUGCUGCCGCCAUCGCCGCCCUAGCCAUAAUAUAAAGGCAAAAUUUGCUAGAGGACAUGCAAAAUGAUGCUAGUUUGCUGGAGGGCACCGUUGACCAUGUAAUAUGCUACAAGACACUCUAGUUGUUCUAGAGUGUAUCAAUUUGCUGAAAGACAUUGCUACGACUAAAAUAAUGUUUCUGGACUGAGUUGGAGAGAGAGAUGGAGUGAAAUGUCUGUUUUGCCCAUGACCCCACUGAUCAGAUCCUUCUUCUUCCACCCUCCUUUCUUCUUUCUUCAACCAUUACCCAGCUCUAGUGUGUUGCAGAUCUACGAGGGUGGCGGCCCGGGGCGAGGGGCAUCGCUUGCCCUCAGACGAGCGCCGCGAGCGACGGCGCGGGGGCAGCAACGGCGCGUCGGAACCUGACCGUUCGUUAGCUCCUCUCGCUGCUGGGGAAGGAGGGGGAGGGGCCAUGGACGGGGUUCCCUCGAAAACCUUAGCCUCGAGCUCAGGCGGCUACGCGCAGGCAGCACUAGGCUCUUCGCGGGGAGGGGGCGCGGCCAAUCAUUGGCACCCCACUGGUCCAAUGCUGAUGAAGAUGGUGCCAGCGUCGUGAAGAUGGUGCCAGCGUCGUGUGAGGACCUCUCAUCUCCUCGAGUUCCAUGGCCAGCACAGGUGAGCGUCCGCUACCACAAAACAGAGGUGUCGUGAGAGUCAAAAAAACUCAUGAAAAUAGCUAAAACCAUCAUGAAAAUAAUCCAUGACACGACACUCUAACGAAAAUCCUCUCACAAAUAUGGUGCCAUCAAAAUACCAUUUUCAUGAGAGUGAACUGUCAUGAUUUUAUUUCGUGAGAGUAUUUCCUAUCAAUGACCUCCACGAAAUACUUUGUGCCACCAGGUCUUCAAGAUCAUUUUCAUGAGAGCCGAACGUCACGAAAGGUCCGCCACAAAUGUUUUUCCUGGGAGCCUCUAACUCUCAUCAAAAGCAUGUGGGCCGCCGCGAAAAACAGCCUGACCAAAUGACAAUUUUCAUUUUCAUGUGCUCUUACCGCCAUGAAAAUGGUCAUUUUCAUGAGAGUUGAUGAAACAAAAAAAUAGUGCCAUUUUCAUGAGAGUUCAAGCAACCAGGAAAAGGCACUAAUAAACAUCCAGAUCCCAUCCAGCACACAUCCAUGCACAUAUAUAACCCACAUAUUGCUCCAGCAACAUCCAUGCAUAUACAAGAUCCAAAUGUCUUGGUAUGAACCUACAUGCAUGUGAUGAACCAGUAACCUGCAAAAAGAGCUCAUAGGAUCUUGUCCUCAUAUUGUAGCUGUGAAAUUCUUGCAAGUAGUGUUGCAAUCAGUUCACUUUGAACCAAAAGAGCUCAAAGGAUCAUGUCCUCAAAGUUCCUCUUAAAGCUUAUGGGUUUGCUGGUGGAACUGGAAGGGCUUGAUGCAGCAUGCCAUUCUGCAAUAGAGAAAAAUUUAGAAAGCUGUACUAGUUAAAAUUGGAUGCAGCAGAGACACAUGAAACUAGUAUUUAUACAAUUCUAUAUAUAUAAUAAUUUGUCCCCUAAAUUUUUAGGAUCCUCUCGACGGUGGUGAGUCUUCCAGUAAGGCAAUUGAAUGUCCAUCGUGAUAAAAUUCUCCUUUGGAUUUAUCAUCUUCUCAACCAGAAAUCCUAGGAGUUCAUCCUUAAGCCUUACCAGUUGUAAUUUGGAAAUAUGUGAAAGUUAAACGAACAAUUAAAAUCUAAGGAUCCUUAUCAUCAUUUCCAUACGUUUGCGAAUUAAAAUAAUGAAGGAUACAAUGUUAGGUGAAAAUUCAAGAAACAAAAUUUUGUAUAGAGAUAAUGGUCCGACAUUAUUACAAGUUAAAGUUGUUUUAAAUAUCCUUGUAAUCUUCCUUUGGUUUCCUCGACGAUUCCAAGACAGUAACCUUGCUUCUAUCAAUGAUAAUUAUAAGGAGAACCCAAUGAAAACUGUGUAUUCAUAUUAGAACUAACUAAGGUUAAUUCGGAUAGGAAAGGAAAUCAAAAAUAGAUGGUACCCACACUUACUUAAAGUUGUAGGGUAGUAGUAUGUAAUGCUUGUAAUUCUGUUGCUCCAAGAAUUUGUAUAUGUGGUUCAAUGUAGACUUUGGUUGAUCCUGUAUCUGCUGUUGGUUGAAUAAGUGUUUCUAACCAUUUCUAGCCGUUAGAACUGGGACUAAAGGGAGCUCUUAGUGCUGGUUGAUAUUACUAGUCGGGACUAAAGAGCCCCCGUUAGAGUUGGUUUUCGGACGUGGAACUAACCACUCCUUUAGUCUCAAGUCCAAAAAUGAUUGAGACAUUUGUUGCUGGAUGGAACACUAGUAGAGAAUUGGCUUUCGAUGCGCCCCCUUUUGUCCCGGUUUAAAGUUGGACUGGGACAAAAGAGGGUGCGCCACGGUAGGUAAAAAUGGAGGGGGGAGUUAGUCCCGGUUGGUAAUUGCAACCGGGACUAGAGGCCCCCCUUUAGUCCCGGUUGCAAUGGCUAGCUGGGGGGCGUCGGUGGCGGCACCUUUUUGUCCCGGUUGGAGUCUCCAACCGGGAUAAAAGGUCCACCCUUUUAUCCCGGUUGGAGGCUCCAACCGGGACAAAAAGUUUAGUCCCGGUUGGAGCUUCCAACCGGGAUAAAAGGGUGUCCCUUUUGUCCUAGUUGGAGCCUCCAACCGGGACUAAACUUUCAACCGGGACAAAAGGUGUGGUUGGAGUUUUUAACUGGGAUAAAAACUCAUCCCCCAUUAUAUACCAAGACAGAGGACUUUCUUCCUCCUCCAGCCCGAGCCAGUCCAGCACAUUCACAGAGAGUUGACCUUCACCUACUCUCCGGUGGUGCCGAAGCAAGGAGGUGCUGCCCGAAGUUUUUUCCCUCAUUUUCGUGGGAAUUUCACUCAGCUAACACAAGUGUUGUGAAGGUUUGCUACUUCAUCCUCGUUUAUGCUUUGAUUUAUGCUUUGGAGAUGGAAAGAUUAUUUGUUAGAAUGUGAUGAAGUAGAAAAUGGAGAGAAUAUUUUGAGCUAGAAUGUGAGGGAGAUUGAUGUGUCAUAUAUAGUAUGCAUUCUUGCAGUGGUUUAAGAAUGAUGCUACCUUGUCCAGACAAUUUAUCUUAUCAAAUUCAAUAUAGUUUUUCAAAUCCAUACUUGUUGAACUUGCAUACCGUGUUCAUCUCUACGAGGAUAUUCUCUGCCGAGCAGCAACGUAUGUCAAGAAGGAGGUUCGAUUCUACGAGGAAGAGUGGAUACGGACAUCGUGACCGUGUCCCCUUUUCCGUAGCAUCUAACCUCUUUCAUGAUGAAGUGCGGUGCCGCCCAGUUGAGAACAUGCUCGCGAGAUGAACACAGUAUGCAAGUUCAACAACUUCUGCAGUAGUAAGGAAAGAAUUUUUGUACAUAGAUGACUUCUGCUACUUGUUGAACUUAUCAAAUUCAAGAAGGUUUUUCAAAUCCAUACUUGUUGAACUUGCAUACCGUGGUCAUCUCGCAGAGGAUGUUCUCCGCCGAGCAGCAACGUAUGUCAAGAAGGAGGUUCGAUUCUACGAGGAAGAGUGGAUACAGACAUCGUGACCGUGUCCCCUUUUCCGUAGAAUCGAACCUCUUUCAUGACGAAGUGCGGUGCCGCCCAGUUGAGGACAUGCUCGCGAGAUGAUCACGGUCUUUAAGUUUAACAACUUAUGCAGUGUUAAGGUAAUAAUUUUUGUACAUAGAUGGCUUCUGCUACUGGAGAAAGUGGCGAUGGUGGGGGUGAUCGUGGUUCCUCUUUCGGCAAGGGGAAAAUCAUAGUUGGCCCUCAGCAUAAGCCAAAGAAAAAGAGCGCACUGGAAAAAGCAAUGCUUCGUUAUUUGCAGCAACGUCAUGAAGAAGUUGUUGCCGCGGGUCAGGAACCUCCUUUUGGUCGUCGUUAUGCUCCACCCUUAGUCCCGGGUGUUUCACAUCCACUUAGUACUACCGUUUCAGGCGGCACAAAUAAACCUAAGGAUGAGGCUAGGUCAGCGGAACUUUCGUCUUCACUGUCCAAGGAUGCUUAAAGUCCUCCUAGAUAAUAACCAGUGGAUGGCUUGUUGUAUUGUAUCAUGUUGUUUGGAUCUUUAAUUUAAAUAUGUGUAUUUGGAUCUUCAUGUUGUUGUAUUGUACCAUGUUGUUUGGAUCUUUAAUCAAUUUUCACACGUAAUCCAUUGUCAAGUGUAAUCCAUUUUCAUGCAUAAUAAGAUGCAGAUGGACCGGCAAUGGAUGUAUAAUGCAGACAGGCAGAGCAAGGUGUUUAUUGAUGGCUUGCAUUAUUGUCUCGAAGUGGCCAAAGCGAACAAGCCAGAGAAUGGGUUCGUAUGUUGUCCAUGCUUCCAAUGCAAUAACAAGAAGGAGUAUUCAUAGGAUUCCUGGGGGACUAUUCACAGCCACUUGUUUAAAUACGGUUUCAUACUUAACUAUUUGGUUUGGACCAAGCACGGUGAACGAGGGGUCGUAAUGGAAGAUGGCGAGAAGGAGGAGGAAGAUGACACCAUUCCAGACUGGGUUGUAGGCCAAGCUUUUGCAGGUACUACAAUGGGCGAGGCUCAUGAAGAUGAGUUUGCAGAAAAUGGCCCUAUUGAUGACUUUGGUCAGGUGAUACGAGAUGCAUACAGAGAUUGCGAAAUUGAGAAGGAAGCAGCAAAGUUGCAGCGCAUGAUAGAUGAUCACCAAAAAUUAUUGUACCCAGGUUGCCAGCUGGGCCAUAAAAAACUAGGUACGACACUAGAAUUUGUGCAAUGGAAGGCAAAAAAUGGUGUGUCCGAUAAGGCAUUUCAGGGGAUGUUGACCAUUGUCAAGAAGAUUCUUCCCGAGAAUAAUGAAUUACCGUCCACAACAUAUGAAGCUAAACAGAUUAUUUGCCCUCUCGGAUUGGAUGUUCAGAAGAUACACGCAUGCCCUAAUGACUGUAUCCUCUAUCGUGGUGAUGACUACGAGAAAUUGGAUGCUUGUCCCGUGUGCGAAGCCCUGCGGUAUAAGAUUAGGUGAGAUGAUCCUUGUGAUGUCGAGGGGCAGUCUCCCAAUAAGAGAGUUCCCGUGAAGGUGAUGUGGUAUUUCCCUAUAAUACCACGCUUGAAGCGCUUGUUCAGGAAAAAGGCGAAUGCUAAGUUGAUGUGAUGGCACAAAGAAGACCGUAAGGAAGAUGAGAUGCUGAGACACCCCGCAGAUGGGGCACAGUGGAGAUCAAUUGAUAGAGCAUUCUCGGACUUUGAAAGUGAAGCAAGGACAUAAGGUUUGGUUUAAGUACUGAUGGAUUCAAUCCAUUCGGUGAGUUGAGUAGUGGCCAUAGUACUUGGCCUAUGACCCUAUUUAUGUUGAACCUUCCUCCUUGGCUAUGCAUGAAGUGGAAGUUCAUUAUGAUGCCGGCGCUUAUCCAAAGUUCAAAACAACCCGACAACGACAUUGACGUGUACCUAAGACUGUUGGUUGAUGACCUUUUACAGCUCUGGAAGGAAGAAGGUGUACGUGUGUGGGAUGAGGAUAGACAAGAGAUCUUUAAUCUACGAGUAUUGUUGUUUGUAACCAUCAAUGAUUGGCCUGCACUGAGUAACCUUUCGGGACAGACAAAUAAGGGAUAUCGGGCAUGCACCCACUGUUUAGACGACACAGACAGCAUGUAUUUGAAGCAUUGUAAGAAGGUCGUCUACAUGGGUCAUCGUCGAUUUCUCCCUGCUCACCACCAGCUGAGAAAGAGCAGGAUGCAUUUCAAAGGGGCGCCAGACCAUCGUAAAAAACCUGCACACCAUAAUGGAAAGUGUGUCUUCAAGAUGAUGAAGGAUGUAAAUGUAGUCUUUGGAAAGGGUCUUGGUAGCCAACCUAUUCCAAACGACAAUAACGGACAUGCACCCAUGUGGAAGAAAAAGUCAAUAUUUUGGGAGCUACCUUAUUGGGAAAUCCUAGAGGUUCGCAAUGCAAUAGACGUGAUGCACCUGACGAAGAAUAUUUGCAUGAACGUGCUAGGCUUCAUGGGUUUUUAUGGGACCUCAAAAGACACAUUGGAAGCACGACAGGACCUGAAAGCCAUGGGGCAACGAGAUGACCUACAUCCGAAAAAGAGAGAUAAUGGAUAGCACUACUUACGUCCUGCCAGUUACACUCUGAGCAAGGAAGAGAAGGAUAGCAUGUUUGAAUGCUUGAAUAGUAUGAAGGUCCCGUCUAGGUACUCCUCGAAUAUAAAGGGAAUAAUAAAUAUGAAAAAAAAGAAGUUUAUAAAUCUCAAGGCCCAUGACUGUCACAUGUUGAUGACCCAGUUGCUUCCGGUUGCACUGAGGGGUGUUCUACUAGAAAAUAUCCAGUUGCCGCUCGUAAAGCUAUGUGCGUUUCUAAAUGCGAUUUCACAGAAGGCAAUCGAUCCAUCCAAGCUAUCAAAGCUACAGAACGAUGUGGUGCAAUGUCUUGUCAGUUUUGAGUUGUUAUUUCCACCAUCCUUCUUCAAUAUUAUGACGCACUUACUGGUUGACCUAGUAAAAGAGAUUGGUAUUCUCGGACUUGUAUACCUGCACAAUAUGUGGCCUUUCAAGUGUUCAUGGCAGUCCUAAAAAACUAUGCUCUUAAUCGUGCCCAUCCAGAAGGAAGCAUCGCCAAGGGAUAUGGAACAGAGGAGGUGAUCGAGUUUUGUGUUGAUUUUAUUGAUUCAAUUGACUCGAUUGGGGUUCCAACUUCACGCCAUGAGGGGAGGCUCCGAGGAAUGGGCACCCUUGGAAGGAAAUCAAGUUUGAGCAAUGAUACUGAUUUGUUCGACAAGGCACACUACACGGUUCUACAACAGUCAUCCUUUGUGUCUCCAUAUAUUGAGCAGCACAGGCAGAUGGUAGUUUCCAAAAACCCGACCAAAUCCGAUGCUUGGCUUACCCGUCUUCACAUGGAAACUUUUCCCUCCUGGUUGCGCCAACAACUUAUGGGUAACUCUGAGAUUCACCCACAGCUUGCCUGGUUAGCCAGGGGACCUGCUAGCACAAUUGUGAAAUUUCAAGGCUAUGAGAUAAAUGGUUAUACAUUUUACACGAGAGCCCAGGACCAGAAAAGCACGAAACCAGAAUAGUGGUGUCCGCAUACAUGCCAUGGACAGAAAUAAUAGCAAGGAGUCGUAUUAUGGUUUCAUAUAGGAGAUAUGGGAACUUGAAUACGGACCGUUGUACAUCCCUCUAUUUCUUUGUAAUUGGGUGAAGCAAACUGCCGUAACCAAAGAUCAGUACGGAAUGACAAUAGUAGAUCUGAGCAAGACUGGAUACAGUGAUGACCCAUUCGUACUUGCCAACAAUGUGCAACAGGUGUUCUAUGUGAAGGACAUGUGUAGCAAACCCAAGAGAAAUCCAGAAGAGACAUGGGAGCCAAAGUGCCACAUAGUUUUUCCAGGUAGAAGAAAAAUCGUGGGAGUCGAGGAUAAAACAAACCAAUCAGAUGAUUAUGAUUAGUUUGAUGGCAUGCCUCCAUUCGCCGUUGAAGUUGAUCCAAGCAUCCUGCUAUCCAAAGAAGAGGCUCCGUACUUACGCCGCGAUCAUGAUCAAGGAACUUUCGUGAAGAAGAAAUUCUACAACGUUGUAUUGUAAUGCGCUAAAUUUACAUGACCUUUGUGUAGUAAUUGAUACAAUUUUUAAUUUACCCUAUGUAUGAUUUGAUGUGUUCUUAAAUUUGUUAGGUGAAGAUUUAUUAGAUAAACAUGAACAAUGUUAACCACAUACAUACAUGGAUUUUUCUGCGCAUUGAAAUUAUUUAAUGGAAUAAUUUCUUGAUCACAGCGAUGUAGUAAAAUAAAUAUUUUAGAGCCUAAAUGAACUGGUAUAGAAUUAAUGACUAACUCACACUUAUUGUCAAUUUACUCGCUAAUUAAAUAUAUUUUUGCAUGUACAAAAUAUGUGAAGGUUUUUGUUUUUCAUCCUGAAUUGCAGUGAAAAGAUAAAUAAAAUCCAUUUCCAAAAAACAGGCGGGAGAAGAAAACUGGGAAAAGGACCUUUUGUCCCGGGUGCCAACAGAAACCGGGACAAAAAGCCCCCCCCCUUUUAUCCCGGUUGGUGGUGGCACCCGAGAUAAAAGGGUAGGCUCCAAGCCCCACUUGGCGGACGCACCCUUUUGUCCCGGGUCCCGUCACCAACCGGGAUAAAAGGGGGGGCCUUUUAUCCCGGUUGGUGAGGGGACCCAGGACAAAAGGCCCUUUAGUCCCGGGUGUCAUUACGAACCGGGAUAAAAGGGGGGUUAAAAGGCACUAUAGCCCCUUCUACCCCCCACGCCAGUUACAGUUAGCAAAAUUUUCACCAAGAUCCCGCGCGCACUCUGCUCCGUCGCUGCCCGUCCGCCUUCCUCGCCAGCCGUCAUCGUCGUCGUCCCCCAUUGCCCCGGCCGUCGUCGUCCCGCCGGCUGACCGUGCCCAGAUAGCCUCCUCCUCCAUCGCCCCGGCCCGCCUCGAUCCUCCUGCGUCGUGCCCGGCCCCUACCUCAUCGACGCCGGCCACCUCCAUCGCGGGGCCUCAUCGCCGCCUCCAUCCUCGUCGCCACCUCGACGCCCUGGGUCGCCGCCUCGUCGCCCCUCGUCGCUGCCUCGUCGCCGUCCUGCCUCCGCCGUCUCGCCGUCCCGCGCGCCUUCGCUCCGUCGUCGCCUCCGCCGUCCCACCGCCCCAGCCACCGCCAUCCCGCCACCCCGGCCACCUCGUCGCCCCGACCACCGUCGACCGCGCGUGAGGUCCGCCGCACCGGCACUGGCGCCGGGAGUACCGCCUUGCUGACGCAAGCCCACCGGCUUGCGUCAACAAGGGCCUUUUUUAAGUUAGAAAAUAAAUAGAAAGGAGUAGUAAUUAGGUAGAAAUUCAAUAGAUUUUUGUAUAUGUGUUACAAAAUCAAAUUAGUGUAAAUUAGUUGUAAUUAGGUUCGUCGCUCUGCCUAGGUUAGAAAUGAAUCGUGUUUCGUCGUGGUUCCGUCCCCGCCUCCGCCGUCCCGCCACCCUGACCGUCGCCGUCCCAACCUAGGCACCGUCUGUGGUUCCGUCCCCGCCUCCGCCGUUCCGCCUCCAUCGCAAAUUCAUGUUAUUGCUAGAAAUUCCAAUAAAUAUGAACAAAUUAGUAGAAAUUUGGUAGAAAUUAAUCAUUGCUGCGGCCACCUCGCUCCACAAAUUCAUGUUAUUGCUAGAAAUUCAUAAAAAUUCAUGUUAUCACUAGAAAUUCGUACAAAAUUCAUGUUAUUGCUAGAAAUUCGUAAAAAUUCAUGUUAUUGCUAGAAAUUCGUACAAAAUUCAUGUUAUUGCUAGAAAUUCGUACAAAUUCAUGUUAUUGCUAGAAAUUCGUCACAAAGUACUACUAAUUUGCAAAAAUUUGUAUAAAUAUUCCGGACUUUGUGGGAUUCAUGUUAUUUUCUGAUUUCAUGUAUAUACCCUUAUGUACAUAUAACUAAGGAGAUUUCUAUGACUUUCAUGUAUGUUUCAAUCAAUAGUUGAAAUGGCAGACGAUGAGACCGCAAGGUAUCUCAUGGAGCAGAUAAUCGCUGGUGAUGGUAGUGGCGACAACCUUCCACUAUCGUACACCGAUGAAGAGGGCACCCAGGCGGACAUGUUCCUCAACAUGUCCGCCGAUGGGAAUGAAGAGCAAAAGCCCCAGCAACACCUUGCCGGGGCGGAAGGUUCCGGCGAGGUAUAUAUAACGAUUCUUGUAUUGUUUCACACCACCGUUACUACUACGUACUAAUUAACGAAUCAUGAACCGUUAGCCCUCUGGAUCGACGCAAGGGCAGAAGACACGAGGUCGUACAAAGGUGAUGGAAGGGAGGCUUGUCAUCACGGAAGUGAUAGAAGAGGGCAGGCCGGUUGCUCCCGAGAAAGUAGCAAAGAAGUACGUGAGUCAGAUCGGGGCAAUCGUCCGGGACAACGUGCCUAUCAGCAUCAGAGAAUGGAAGGGCAGAAGCACUAAUCCGUACGCCCUCCUGGAGACAGAAAGAAUAUGCUGUGGGAAGAUGUCAAGAGACAUUUCACAUUCACCGAAGGAUAUAUUGAGAAGGAUGUGAAAGCGUGGACGCUUAAGAAGAUGGCUACACAAUUUCCAGACAUUUAAGAAGAUGCUAGAUACCCACUACAUUAAGAAGGGCCGAACUCCAGACUUCAACGCGUGGUCAAAGUUGAGGGACCACUAGGAUGCAUUUGUUGAAUAUAAGAGGAGUGAAUACGAUGUGAAAAAGAUCACGACCAACACAACAAAUGCUAGUCAGAAGGGCUACCAUCAUCAUCUGGGGCGAGAUGGUUAUGGCUCAGCAAUUCCCAAGUCGAGGAAGAUGGAACAAGAUCUGAUUGAACGGGGAAUCGUACCGGCAACUAUUGAAUGGCCCGAACGAUCAAAAAAUUGGUACUACGCUCAUGGAGGCUCCCUGUGCCAAGAGGAUGGGACGUUGAUUUUCAAUAACACAAUACGUUAGAAGGCCAAACAUCUUGUGAAGAACAUUGAAGAUUCUAAGGCUGGGAGGUUGAAGGUGGACCGAGAAAAUGAUGAGCUCACAUUGGCCCUUGGUAAUCCAGAGCACCCAGGAUGUUGCCGAGGGUUCGGGGUCGUUCCGUGGAAGUUUGUUUUCCGAGGCGACAGCGCCUCGUACAGAAGCCGGAAGCGAAGAAAGGAACAGAUCGAGGAGAGCUGGUGGCAGAUGCUAGAAUCCAAAGUGCAGGCACAAGAACAAAGAAUGAUGGAGGAAAUCAAUCGUCGAGUGGCCCACGCAGUUGUGGAGUUGGCCCAAUCUGGAGCAUUGCCGAAUCCUAACAACGCCAGCCCUUCUCAAUGCCUCUUGAGCAGUUAUGCUUCUACAGGGGUCCCCGAUGCGCACACGCCCAGGUUACCCGUGGAGGAGCAACGGUUCCCCGUGGAUGCCAUCACGCAACACACCACAUGUGAGCUGCAUGCACCGGUCGGCAACCUCACUAUUAAGGUAUACUUAUACAUAAUAUUUAUGCAAUCUUGUCAAUUGAUCCACGCCUCGAUAUCGGAGUUUAACUUGUUUACUUCUACUAUAUGUACAGGUAGCGUACGGGAGUGCGUUAGCAACCCUGGCGGGGCAGAGCAGUCAUGGCAUGAAGAUUCCACCUGGCUACGCUAGCGUCCGCGUAGAGCAAAUAGUUGAUAGCCAAUAUGAAGGUCUAGAGCUCGACCUCCCGGGAGGUGACAGGGAAAGAACACUGGCAGAUGCGCUUCAUGGGAUCAUUCUAUGGCGAAAACGCUACAUCAUUAUUCCCGGCACGGAGCCAUCUCCUCAGAGCUCAAGACCACUCCCCGUAGAUCCCCAGCAGCGACCUUCUCCUCAUAGCUCGAGACCGUCAUCUCCUGCACAACCUGCUCCAGGACCGUCCCUUCCAUCUAUAUCAAGGUCUCCAUCUCCACCACAUCCUGGUGGUGGGAGCGACGACGACAAUAACAACACCCCUUCCUGAUCACCAUCGCCGGCACCAAGAGCGGCCCCCAUGAAGGAACCUGCACCACCACUAAAAAAGUCACGAGCACCGCCUCCCAAGCAAAGACAGAGAAAGAAGAAAACAAAGGAGCCUGAAGUGACUCGUAAGGAACGCUGGGAGACAAUGUCUCAUGCGGAACAGUGGGCAGAAAUCCAACAAGAGGCCAGUGAGUGGUUCAAGAAACAAGCCGAAGAAAAAAAAGCAACGGAGAUGCAGCCACCGCCAGUAAAUCGAAGAGAUUUAAACUUUUUUAUCAGGAUGGAAGAAGGAGCCAAGAAAAGGAUACCACUCUUAUCAAACUAUGAACGGGCUUUAGUAAAGGCUGAUGAAAAGGAUAAAAGGAAAGGAAAGUCAUCUUCCAGCGGUGCUGUCCCCGACCUCAGCCAUUUAUCAAAAAAAGAUGCUCAACGGGUAAAAGCAAUGCCCUUGGAUCAACAAGCAGAAGUAUUGAAGUUCAUGCAAGAAACAGGUCUGGGACUUGAUGAAUGCCUAGGGCAAGUUGAGACGCCAACUGCACCGCCCCCUGAGCCGAGAUGGCCUUAUGAGCUAGGCAAACCUCUAGUAAAGCCUUCAUUGGUACGAAAGCUAUCAACAAAGAUGUACGCAUUCCAUCAAUGGUACAUGAUGGCAUCCGCUGACUCAAGGGAGAUGCUCGGCCUGAAGGUAAAACCGAUGGAUUUUCACGACAGAGGCGAGAAAGUGCUGUGGCUAGACUUCAAGGAUAUAUACGAAGUGUACCAUCAUGAUGCCAUAGACGUCUCUCUGAUCCGCGCUUGGGUUCUGUAAGUGUCCGUUUAUCUCUACAUGUAAAUUUUGGCGUGCGUCACCGUACUAACUUCGUCUUCCAUUUCAUGUAGGAUGCUAAUUCAGACAUGCCGCCGAGAGGCGUACCUACAUAUAGGCUUCAUGGAUCCAUCUGUAGUUAACCAACAGCAGAUACAAUUAGCAUCGGAGAAAACCUUGGUGGAAGUAUACAAUUUCCUAGACAAACAAACAUUCAAGGAUUUCAUACUAUUUCCAUACAACUUCAAGUAAGUGUGUGUAUACCGUCUACUUUCGAUGUCUUUUUCCUUAUCUCUACAUGUUAGUUAGCUCUAAUAUGCAUGAACAUUUUACGCACGCAGCUUCCACUGGAUCCUUAUUAUAAUUGAGCCUCAAAGAAGCCACGUCACUGUCUUCAAUUCGUUGAGGAAAGAUCCAGUGGAGCACCAAGAAAUGCAACACAUGCUAGGCUUGUAAUAAUUCUGGACCUUUAUCUCUAUGCAAAAGUUUGUUUCCUAAAUUCUAUCCCUGUUACACUAUAUCAUUCAUUAUUCUAAUCCACAGCGUAUGGAAACAAUUCAUAAGGACACAAAAAGGUCCAUUCAAAGAAAAACUUACAUGGAACACAGACUUCCCGGUACAUAUGAAGUCUGCACAUUUAUUACAUUGUAUAACACGAAUAUUUCAUAACUUAUUUUUUUCCGUAUUGAAGUGCUUAAGACAGGAACUCGGAAAUAAUCUAUGUGGCUACUACAUCUGUGAGCACAUGCACAGUUUUAUGGGACCCAAGGGACUAAAGAUGACGCCGCACAACUUUAAAGUACGUAAAAUAAAACUAUUACUAGUUAAUUAUUUUCUAGCUCCUUAUAUGUAUUUGUUCACGUAACAUUCACAAAUUUCCAAAUUAUAGAUGUUAAAUAUUCAACAAGGACUCUUGAAGGAAGAAAGAGUAGCGGCAAUAUGUGAAGGUCUCAUUGGAUUCCUAAUGGACAAGGUGGUAGAUCCAAAAGGAGAAUUUUAUUUUGAUGGACGACAAUUAGACACUCUGAUCAGCAACACCUCGAUGGGAAGAUUGUAGAUAGAUACUUUGAUUUAUUUGUAUAUAUAAUACGCGCUAAUUAUGAUCGAUUUGUACUAGUUGAAUUCUGUAUAUGAAUUGUGUAUAAGAAUUGUGUAUAUAUAUAGUAACUGUAUAAUUACAAAUCCCAUUCGUUUAAAUACUAGUUAAUUUCAUUCUAAAAAAAUCUCAACUACUUAAGGUUAACAAAAGGGCUGCGGUACUACGUACGUGAUGCAUGCAUGAAAAAUUCAGGCGCCAGGCAGGUGCCAUGCAGGGCAUCAUUUAGUCCCGUUUGGAAUCCAGCCGGGACUAAAGGGUAACCCUUUACUCCCGGUUGGGAAACCCAACCGGGACUAAAGGGGGACCGUUACUCCCGGUUAAAAGACCCGGGACUAAAACCCCCCCUUUUGUCCCGGUUGGCUUAUCCCGGAUAAAUUUUCGGGAGAUAUGCACCCUACCAACCGGGACUAAAGGCCAAUUCUCCACUAGUGGAAGGUCCUUUCUCUACCAUGAAUAUUGCCAGAAAGAAUUGAAAGAGACCGCUUGCUAAAAACAUGUCAUAGAUGCGGACCAAGCUACCAAGGAGGUAGACCAAACAUGAUACACACCAUGCGUACCUUGCUGUGCAGACUAUGCAUGGACAAGAUACCCGACCACAUGUUGGCUUUGGUCACAUCAAAAGAAUCAUGUAGGCCAUUAAUAAACUACUUGAAGCGUCAUUCCGUAUCUUAUAUCCAUCAUCUGCAUUACAUUACAUUAAAUAUUAUUAACUAUUUGAAUAAAAUGAACCAAUUUAAAAAUAAUGAAUUGUACAUUACUACAAAAAGCCCUAGCACUGCCAGUUCCAAAAACAUCAUUGUUGACGGCCGUUAAGUACCAAAUAUGACGGUCAAUAUCCUAAAGAAUAAAGGACAAUUGGCAUUUCUUACACACAUAUUUGGUUUCGAAUAAUGUAGUUCUACAUGUCCUUGGAGAUUAUUUGGGUGUGGGUGAAAUAAUACAAAAAGAAGGAGAAAACACACUCCCAUGGCAAAGAAACAUAACUCCGACCAAUGAGAGAUAGCCACAGGGGCAGCACAUGGAUCCAUGGGCCCACAAACUGCAUCAAACCAUCUUACAAGGCGGGUAGCACCCACAACUGUCAUUAGGACCCACCUGGAAGUCUAGCAAAGAAGAAGGUUGUGAGUGGGGCCACGAGGGGUUCGGUUGAAUCAUCUCUAGCUCCCUUCAUCCCCAGCUGGCGCGUGGCGGUGGUUCAUGGUGUCCCGACAUCGGUUAGAGGACAUUCCCCCAAAUAUUCCUCCUGUAAACCAGCUCUAUGAACCUAUAAAUAGAGGGGUGUGCUCUCCAUUCCAACACACACCACAAGUUGAAGCACUCUCUCCCUCUUUAGUUUCCAAGUUUACGGAGAUAGGCUGGAGUAGCUCUGCUAAAGGUUCCAAGUCCACUUGGAGUUAAGCGUAUGUCUCUUGUAUCAUUAUUUCCUAGAGAGACUUUAUGCUAUUCAAGUUAUUUAUCUUCUUCAUAUAGUGUUAUGCUUAGUUCUUAUAUGCAUGAGUUAGUCUAAUACCCUUGCUCUAUUGAUAUGCUCAGCUUAUGUGCUCGUAUGCUAGUCAUGUACCCUUGCUGUCAUAGUAUAGGGUUAUAUGCUGUCAUGUGUGCCUAUAGACCUUGCUACAGUAUAUACUUGUUGUGUAUACAUACCAUUUGUAUAUACAUUAUUACAAGUUAAGGUAGUUUUAAAUAUCCUUGUGUUGACAACCAAAGCUUGAUCUUUUGUUUCCAUUGCCAGCGGAUUCAUCGGCUCAGAGUAGGAUCAAGACAUCAAGUUGAUGGAGUUCUUUAUAUUUCAAGAGGAGUCAUGGAGUUCUUUAUAUUUCAAGAGGAGUUGAUGGUGCUUUCAAUAUUGCAACCAGACAUCAUUGGCUCUGAAGACACCGAAUCAUCGGAGUUCUAUGAUCAGUUUCGGAACAUGAAGCCUUCAUACUCCGAAACUGGGGGGCCUGUGUUGACACCGAAUUAUCGGACUUCUAUAAUUAGUUUCGGAACAUGAAGCCUUCAUACUUCGAAACUGGGGGGUAUGUGUUUACACCAAAAUUUAGAAAUGUGCUCUGAAAGGAAGGACCUGGGAGAUCUAUUGGCUGAAAUACAAAUCCAUCGAAACUAGCCUUAUGCUAAGAGAUCAGAAUAUUGUACAAAGUCUAGAAAGUUCUAUUUACAUCUAAGUAACUCGAUAACUAGCCUUACGCUAAGAGAUCAGAAUAUUGGACAAAGCCUACAAAGUUCUAAUAUAGGUAACGUAAUGACCAGGUGAGGAUAGUUACAAGCUCGCUUGAGAUCGAAGCCGAUGUAGCCCUGCGCGCAAGAAGAAACUCACCUAUUUCUACUCUACUCUUACUCCUAGGGUUUGAUGGCGUGGCGUCAAAAGAUUGUAUUGAUUGAUUGAUUAUUUGAUACAAAGCUCAUGGGCCUAUAUUUAUACCCUUGAGAAAGCUAAAAUCCUAAUCAGUUAUGACAUGAAUCGUGACAGAAAAUCUAACUAAAGAUAGAUCUCCAUGCUUUCCCUUAUUUGGUGGAGUCGAUUUCACUUCAUAUCGGAUCCCUCCCGAUCUUCUAUCGGCUUCUAGCAUCCGGUCAUCUGCGACUGGCCUUGGUCAACAUCAGGUGUCAACAGACUUAUUUCUUCUACAAGUUCAUCGGCUGUCAGAGCCUUGUCUUAGUCAGUUGACUCUAGUAAAAAAUCGAUGUCAAUACAUGCCCCCCAAUUUUUGAAUAAAAUAUUAUAUUUCAAAAUUCUCUUCUCUUGUCAACAGCUUUUGAAAGAAAAAGAGUCACUGCUGCAAUCAUAAUCUUUUUCCCCGGGUUUUGUGAUAGCACCCUCCUCAUUUUAAGGGAUUCACCAUGUGGAAAUUAUAAUAUAACUGCUUCACCCAUUUCGUUUUCUUCACCAAACCAACUAUUGUCAGCCGCUACAACCAAAAAUCAAUUAUUCCCUUCACAUGCCUAGCGACUGCAUCCAUCACUCAUCGUCACCAUUAGUCUCCAUGUGUCAAGGCUUCUUCAACCAGCAAUGGCGACAUUAUCUUCCAUUCCACAGGUACCAUGUAUCCUAGCCAUUCCUUUCCCCUUUCAACCUGAAAUCCAAUCUAGUCACUAUAUAUCAAACCUGUGUUCUUAAUCAAUACUUGCCCCCUUGUACUUAGAAACACCCUUUUGAUCCCCAUAUCCGAUACGCAAGCAGAAUACUUUCUAGGCCCCAUGGGUAGUGAAGACCCAAUAGAAUCUAUUAAUGCUGAAAUACUUGGACAAAGUCUAGAAAGUUCUAUUUACAUCUAAGUAACUCGAUAACUAGCCUUACGCUAAGAGAUUUAAAUAUUGGAUAAAGCCUAGAAAGUUCUUAUAUAGGUAACUGAAAAGUGUGUUGACGCAAAAAUUGGAUGGUUGACUCCUGCGUACUAACACACGGAACCAGGGAGAAUCUGCUUAGCUACUGUUCGGGUUAUAGCCCUCUCGAUCCGUAGCGUGCCAGUUAAUCUGACCUGCUGAUUGACAAGUAAAAAUGUCAAAUUAAGAGCAAAUCAGCUGGUGUUCCGAAUCGCUCCACGGGACGUAUCAGUAGACAGCCGAUACGGGCAAACGACAAUCAGCUAGAUCAGCCGAUUUGCUCUUGUAUUUGACGUUUUACUUGUCCUUCUCAAUCAGCAGGUCAGAUUGACUCGCACGACGCAGAUCGAGAGGGCUAUAACCUAAACAAGAGCUAAGCAGAUUCUCCCGGGUUUCAUGUCUUAGUACACAGAAGUCAACCGUCUGAUUUUAUCAUCAACACGCUUUUUGGCACGCUCAGUGGGACCCGAUUCAUAUCUUAAUGGUAAUUGGUGAUCAAGUUUCAAACAACGUAUCCACUGGUAGAAAACUGAGCAUUAGUCCCGGUUGGUAAGGGUCAUAUCUCUCGGAUAUCCAUCCGGGAUAAACCAACCGGGACAAAAGGGGGGGGUCUUUAGUCCCGGGUAUUUUAACCGGGAGUAAAGGACCCCCUUUAGUCCCGGUUGGUGUCACCAACCGGGACUAAAGGGCCUGCCACGCCAGGCGCGGGACAGGCCCUUUAGUCCCGGUUGGUGACACCAACCGGGACUAAAGGGGGUCCCUUUAGUCCCGGUUGGAUUUCCCAACCGGGACUAAAGGGGUCCCCUUUAGUCCCGGCUCAAUUCCAACCGGGACUAAAUUGCGCUUGCAUGGCACUGGUGACGCCUGAAUUUUUCAUGCAUGCAUCACGUAUACGUAUAGUAGUACCGCGGCCCUUUUAAUUUGUUAACCUUGUAGUUGAGAUUUUUUUAGAAUGAAUUAAAUCAACUAGUAUUUAAACGAAUGGGAUUUGUAAUUACACAACUACUAUAUAUAUACACAAUCCUUAUACACAAUUCAUAUACACAAUUCAACUAGCUUAAUUAGUACAAAUCGAUCAUAUAUACAAAUAAAUCAAAGUAUCUUCCUACGAUCUUCCCGUCGUGGUGUUGCUGAGAGGAGUGUCUAAUUGUCGUCCAUCGUAAUAAAAUUCUCCUCUUGGAUUUACCACCUCGUCCAUUAUGAAUCCAAUGAGACCUUCACAUAUUGCCGCUACUCUUUCUUCCUUCAAGAGUCCUUGUUGAAUAUUUAACAUCUAUAAUUUGGAAAUUUGUGAAUGUUACAUGAACAAAUACAUAUAAGGAGCUAGAAAAUAAUUAACUAGUAAUAUAUUUAUUUUACGUACUUUAAAGUUGUGCGGCGUCAUCUUCGGUCCCUUGGGUCCCAAAAAACUGUGCAUGUGCUCACAGAUGUAGUAGCCACAUAGGUUAUUCCCGGGUUCCUGUCUUAAGCACUUCAGUGCGGAAAAAAAAUAAGUUAUGAAAUAUUCGUGUUAUACAAUGUAAUAAAUGUGCAGACUUCAUACGUACCGGGAAGUCUGUGUUCCAUGUAAGAUCUUCUUUGAAUGGACCUUUGUGUGUCCUUAUGAAUUGUUUCCAUACGCUGCGGAUUAGAAUAAUGAAUGACAUAGUGUAACAGGGAUAAAAUUUAGGAAAUAAAUUUUUGCAUAGAGAUAAAGGUCCAGAAUUAUUACAAGCCUAGCAUGUCUUGCAAUUCUUGGUAGUCCACCGGAUCUUUCCGUAACGAAUCAAAGACAGUGACGUGGCUUCUUUCAGGCUCAAUUAUAAUAAGGAUCCAGUGGAAGCUGCGUGCGUAAAAUGUUCAUGCAUAUUAGAGCUAACUAACAUGUAGAGAUAAGGAAAAAGACAUCGAAAGUAGACGGUAUACACACACUUACUUGAAGUUGUAUGGAAGUAGUAUGAAAUCCUUGAAUGUUUGUUUGUGUAGGAAAUUGUAUAUUUCGGCAAAGGUUUUUUCCGGCGCUAAUUGUAUCUGUUGUUGGUUAACUACAGAUGGAUCCAUGAAGCCUACAUGUAGGUACGCCUCUCGGCGGCAUGUCUGAAUUAGCAUCCUACAUGAAAUGGAAGAUGAAGUUAGUACGGUGACGCACGCCAAAAUUUACAUGUAGAGAUAAUAAACGGACACUUACAGAAUCCAAGCGCUGAUCAGAGAGACGUCCAGGGCAUCAUGAUGGUACACUUCGUAUAUAUCCUUGAAGUCUAGCCACAGCACUUUCUCCCCUUCACCGUGAAAAUCUAUCGGUUUUACCUUCAUGCCGAUCAUCUCCCUCGAUUUGGCGGAUGCCGUCAUGUACCAUUGAUGGAAUUCGUACAUCUUUGUUGACAGCUUCCGUACCAUUGCCGGCUUCACUAGAGGCUUGCCUAGCUCAUAAGGCCAUCUCGGCUCAGGGGGCGGUGCAGUUGGCGUCUCGACUUGCCCUAUGCAUUCUUCAAGUCCCAGACCUGUUUCUUCCAUGAACUUCAAUAUAUUUUCUUGUUGAUCCAAGGGCAUUGCUUUUACCCGUUGAGCAUCUUUCUUUGAUAAAUGGCUGAGGUCGGGGACUGAACCGCUGGAGGAUGAUUUUCCUUUUCUUUUAUCCUUUUCAUCAGCCUUUACUAGAGCCCGUUCAUAGUUUGACAAGAGUGGUAUCCUUUUCUUGGCUCCUUCCUCCAUCCUGAUAAAAAAGUUUAAAUCCCGCCGACUUACUGGCGGUGGCUCCAUCUCCCUUGCCCUUUUUAAUUCGGCUUGUUUCUUGAACCACUCACUGGCCUCUCGUUGGAUUUCUGCCCACUGUUCCGCAUGAGACAUUGCCUCAAAGCGUUCCUUGCGAGCCACUUCAGGGUCGACCUUUGUUUUCUUCUUUCGAGGCUGUCUUUGCUUGGGAGGCGGUGCUCGUGACUUCUUGAGUGGUGCUGCAGGUUCCUUCGAGGGGGCCGCUCUUGGUGCCAGCGACGGUGAUCGGGGAGGGGUGUUGUUAUUGUCGUCGUCGCUCCCAGCACCAGGAUGUGGUGGAGAUGGAGACCUUGAUAUAGAUGGAAGCGACGGUCCUGGAGCAGGAGAUGCCGGUCUCGAGGUAUGAGGAGAAGGUCGCUGCUCGGGAUCUACGGGGAGCGGUCUUGAGGUCUGAGGAGAUGGCUCCGUGCGGGAAAUAAUGAUGUAGCGUUUCUUCCAUAGAAUGAUCCCAUGAAGCGCAUCUGCCAAUGUCUUUUCCCCGUCGCCUCCCGGGAAGUCGAGCUCUAGACCUUCAUACUGGGCAUCUACUAUUUGCUCGACGCAGACGCUGGCGUAGCCUGUUGGAAUGUCCAUGCCAUGACUGCUCUGCCCUGCCAGCGUUGGUAACGCACUCCCAUACGCUACCUGUACAUAUAGCAGAAGUAAACAAGUUGAACUCCGAUCUCGAGGCCUGGAUCAAUUGACAAGAUUGCAUAAAUAUUAUGUAUAAGUAUACCUUAAUAGUGAGGUUGCCGACCGGUGCAUGCAGCUCACAUGAGGUCCGUUGCGUGAUGGCAUCCACGGGGAACCGUUGCUCCUCCACGGGUAACCUGGGCGUCUGCGCAUCGGGGACCCCUGUAGAAGCACAACUGCUCCCGAGGCGUUGAGAAGGGCUGGCGGUGUGAGGAUUCGGCAGUGCUCCAGAUUGCGCCAACUCCGCAACUGCGUCGGCCACCCGCCGAUUGAUUUCAUCCAUCAUUCGUUGUUCUAGCAUCUGCCGCCAGCUCUCCUCCAUCUGUUCCUUUCUUCGCUUCCGGCUUCUGUAAGAGGCGCUGUCGCCUCGGAAAGCGAACUUCCACGGAACCACCCCGAACCCCCGGCAACGUCCUGGGUGCUCUGGAUUACCGAGGGCCAAUGUGAGCUCAUCAUUUUCUCGGUCCACCCUCAACCUCCCAGCCUUGGAAUCUUCAAUGUUCUUCAUGAGAUGUUCGGCCUUCUCACGUAUUCUGUCAUUGAAAAUCAGCGUCCCAUCCUCUUGGCUUAGGGAGCCUCCAUGAGCGUAGUACCAGUUCUUUGAUCGUUCGGGCCAUUCAAUAGUUGCAGGUAUGAUUCCCCGUUCGAUCAGAUCUUGUUCCAUCUUUCUCCACUUGGGAAUUGCUGAGCCAUACCCACCUCGCCCCAAAUGAUGGUGGUAGCCCUUCUGACUAGCAUUUGCAACGUUGGUCGUGAUCUUUUUCACACCUUCUUCACUCCUCUUGUAUUCAACAAAUGCAUCCCAGUGGUCCCUCAACUUGGGCCACGCGUUGAAGUCUGGAGUUUUGCCCUUCUUGAUGUAGUGGGUGUCCAGCAUCUUCUUGAAUGUCUGGAAUUGAGUAGCCAUCUUCUUAAGUGUCCACGCUUUGACAUCCUUCUCGCUAUAAUCUUCGGGGAAUGUGAAAUGCCUCUUCACGUCUUCCCACAGCAUAUUCUUUUCUGUCUCUGGAAGGGCGUACGGAUUAUCGCUUCUGCCCUUCCAUUCUCUGAUGCUGAUAGGCACGUUGUCCCGGACAAUUGCCCCGAUUUGACUAACGUACUUCUUUGCGACUUUCUCGGGAGCAACCGGCCUGCCCUCAUCUGUAACUUCGGUGAUGACAAGCCUCCCUUCCAUCACCUUUGUACGACCUCGGGUCUUCUGCCCUUGUGUCGAUCCGGAGGGCUAACAGUUUAAGAUUCGUUAAUUAGUACGUACUAGUAGCGGUGGCGUGAAACAAUACAAGAAUGGUUGUAUAUACCUCGCCGGAACCUUCCGCCACGGCAAGUUGUUGCUGCGGCUGUUGCUCUUCAUUCACAUCGGCAGACAUGUUGAGGAACAUGUCCGCCUGGGUGCCCUCUUCAUCCGUGUAUGAUAGUGGAACGUUGUCGCCACUAUCAUCACCAGCGAUUAUCUGCUCCAUGAUAUACCUUGCGGUCUCAUCGUCUGCCAUUUCAACUAUUGCUGCAAACAUACAUGGAAUCAUACAUGACAGUCAUAGAAAUCGUCUUAAUACAAAUUUGUAUAUAAUCACAGUUCGGAAUCAUACAUGUAUAUAAUGAAAUCAUAAAAUAACAUGAAUCGUACAAAGUCCGGAAUCUUUAUACAAAUUUCUAUGAAUUUAUACAAAUUUCUAUGAAUUUAUACAAAUUUCUAUGAAUUUCUAUGAAUUUCUAUGAAUUUCUAUGAAUUUCUAUGAAUUUCUAUGAAUUUAUACAAAUUUCUACGAAUUUCUAUGAAUUUCUAUGAAUUUCUAUGAAUUUAUACAAAUUUCUACGAAUUUCUAUGAAUUUCUACAAAUUUCUACGAUUUUCUAUGAAUUUCUACAAAUUUCUACGAAUUCCUACGAAUUUUGACGAAUUUCUACGAAUUUUGACGAAUUUCUACGAAUUUCUACGACGGCGAUAAGGGCGGCGAAGGCGGGACGGCGGCGGUCAGGGCGGCGGAGGCGGGACGGCGGCGGUCAGGGCGGCGGAGGCGGUUCACCGGAACCACGGGCGGUGCCUAAGCUACUACGUUGUGAUGGGCGGCAGGACGGCGGCGAUCACGGCGGCUACUCGGCGGCGAUCACGACGGCUACAAGGCGACUGUCACGGUAGCUACUCGGCGGGACGGCGGCGAUCACGACGGCGGGACGGUAGUUAACAACCUAACUACAAAUCUAACUUAACAAACUAACUAGAAAUCUAAAAAUCUAACUUAACAAAAUUAGAAAUCUAAAAAUCUAACUUAACAAAAUUACAAUUCCAUCUAAAAAAACAAAAUUAAAAAUUAAAAGAAAACGGCCAGCUCUCCCGGCGCACCGGCCGGCGCGGCAGACCUCUCGCGCGCGGGGCGGCGGCCGGGGCGGCGGGACGGCGGCGGCCGGGGCGGCCUGACGGCGGCGGCUGGGGCGGCGACGAGGACGAAGACGACGACGGCGGGAUGACGGCGGCCGAGGCGAAGACGACGACGGCGGCCGGCGAGGGGCGACGAGGAUGGAGCUGGCGACGAGGGGCGAUGCAGCCGGCGAGGGAGGCGGACGGGCGGCGACGGGCGGAGAGGGAGGCGGACGGGCGGCGACGGGCGAGGGAGGCGGACGGGCGACGACGACGGCGCAAUGCGGGACUUCGACGGCGCAAUGGGGGACGACGACGGCGGCGGCCGGCGAGGGAGGCGGACGGGCGGCGACGGGCGGAGAGCGCGGGACUUGCGAAAAUUUCGCUAAGUGUGGAACUGGCGGGGGGUAGAAGGGAGUACAGUGCUUUUAACCCCCCCCCCCUUUUAUCCCGGUUCGUAAUGGCACCCGGGACAAAAAGGGCCUUUUGUCCCGGGUCCUGUCACCAACCGGGACAAAAGGCCCCCCCUUUUAUCCCGGUUGGUGACGGGACCCGGGAUAAAAGGGUGCGCUCCCAGCCCCACCUGGCGGGGGCACCCUUUUAUCUCGGGUCCCGUUACCAACCGGGACAAAAGGCCCCCCCUUUUAUCCCGGUUGGUAACGGGACCCGGGACAAAAGGGUGCCCCCGCCAGGUGGGGCUGGGAGCGCACCCUUUUAUCCCGGGUCCCGUCACCAACCGGGAUAAAAGGGGGGGGCCUUUUAUCCCUGUUGCAAAUGGCAACCGGGAUAAAAGGGUACGUUCGGGCGGGAGACGAAACGUACCCUUUUAUCCCGGUUGCCGUUUGCAACCAGGAUAAAAGGGGGGCCUUUUAUCCCGGUUGCUGUUAGCACCCGGGACAAAAGGUCCUUUUUCCUAUUUUUCUUCUCCCGCCUGUUUUUUGGAAAUGGAUUUUAUUUAACCUUUUCACUGCAUUCCAGGAUGAAAAACAAAACCUUCUCAGAUUUUGUACAUGCAAAAAUAUAUUUAAUUAACGAGUAAAUUGACAAUAAGUAUGAAGUAAUCAUUAUUUCUAUACCAACUCAUAUAGCCUGUAAAAUAUUUAUUUUACUGCAUUGCUGUGAUCAAUAAAUUAUUCAAUUAAAUUUUUUGAAUGCGCAGAAAAAUCCAUGUUAGUAUGUGGUUAACAAUGUUCAUGUAUAUCUAAAAAAUCUUCACCUAACAAAUUUAAUUACAAAUUUUAUCAAUUAAUACACAAAGGUCAUGCACAUUUAACGCAUUACAAUACAACGUUGUAAAAUUUCUUCUUCACGAAAGUUCCUUGAUCAUGAUCGCGGCGUAAGUACGGAGCCUCUUCUUUGGACAGCAGGAUGCUUGGAUCAACUUCAACGUCGAAUGGAGGCAUGCCAUCAAACUGAUCAUAAUCAUCUGAUUGGUCUGUUUUAUCCUCGACUCCCACGAUUUUUCUUUUACCUAGAAGAACUAUGUGGCACUUUGGCUCCCAUGUCUCUUCUGGAUUCCUCUUGGGUUUGCUGCACAUGUCCUUCACAUAGAACACCUGAUGCACAUCAUUGGCAAGUACGAAUGGGUCAUCACUGUAUCCAGUCUUGCUCAGAUCUACUAUUGUCAUUCCGUACUGAUCUUUGGUGACGGCAGUUAGCUUCACCCAAUUGCAAAGAAAUAGAGGGAUGUACAGCGGUCCGUAUUCGAGUUCCCAUAUCUCCUGUAUGAAACCAUAAUACGACUCCUUGCUAUUAUUUCUGUCCAUGGCAUCUAUGCGGACACCACUAUUCUGGUUCGUGCUUUUCUGGUCCUGGGCUCUCGUGUAAAAUGUGUAACCAUUUAUCUCAUAGCCUUGGAAUUUGACGAUUGUGGUAGCAGGUCCCCUGGCUAACCAAGCAAGCUGUGGGUGAAUCUCAGAGUUACCCAUAAGUUGUUGGCGCAACCAGGAGGGAAAAGUUUCCAUGUGAUGACGGGUAAGCCAAGCAUCGGAUUUGGUCGGGUUUUUGGAAGCUACCAUCUGCCUGUGCUGCUCGAUAUACGGAGACACAAAGGAUGACUGUUGUAGAACAGUGUAGUGUGCCUUGUCGAACAAAUUAGUAUCAUUGCUCAAACUUGAUUUCCUUCCAAGGGUGCCCAUUCCUCGGAGCCUCCCCUCGUGGCGUGAAGUUGGAACCCCAAUCGAGUCAAUUGAAUCAAUAAAAUCAACACAAAACUCGAUCACCUCCUCUGUUCCAUAUCCCCUGGCGAUGCUUCCUUCUGGACGAGCACGAUUACGAACAUAGUUUUUUAGGACUGCCAUGAACCUCUCGAAAGGCCACAUAUUGUGCAGGUAUACAGGUCCGAGAAUACCAAUCUCUUUUACUAGGUGAACCAGUAAGUGCGUCAUAUUAUUGAAGAAGGAUGGUGGAAAUAACAACUCAAAACUGACAAGACAUUGCACCACAUCGUUCUGUAGCUUUGAUAGCUUGGAUGGAUCGAUUGCCUUCUGCGAAAUCGCAUUGAGAAACGCGCAUAGCUUUACGAGCGGCAACCGGACAUUUUCGGGUAGAACACCCCUCAGUGCAACCGGAAGCAACUGGGUCAUCAACAUGUGGCAGUCAUGAGCCUUGAGAUUUGUAAACUUCUUUUGUUUCAUAUUUAUUAUUCCCUUUAUAUUCGAGGAGUACCCAGACGGGACCUUCAUACUAUUCAAGCAUUCAAACAUACUAUCCUUCUCCUCCUUGCUGAGAGUGUAACUGGCAGGACGUAAGUAGUGCUGUCCAUUAUCUCUCUUUUCCGGAUGUAGGUCAUCUCGUUGCCCCAUGGCUUUCAGGUCCUGUCUUGCUUCCAAUGUAUCUUUUGAGGUUCCAUAAACACCCAUGAAGCCUAGCACGUUCACGCAAAGAUUCUUCGUCAGGUGCAUCACGUCUAUUGCGUUGCGAACCUCUAGGAUUUCCCAAUAAGGUAGCUCCCAAAAUAUUGACUUUUUCUUCCACAUGGGUGCAUGUCCGUUAUCAUCGUUCGGAAUAGGUUGGCUACCAAGUCCCUUUCCAAAGACUACAUGUACAUCCUUCAUCAUCUCGAACACACGCUUUCCAUUACGGUGUGCAGGUUUUUUACGAUGGUCUGGCGUCCCUUUGAAAUGCAUCCCGCUCUUUCUCAGCUGGUGGUGAGCAGGGAGAAAUCGACGAUGACCCAUAUAGACGACCUUCUUACAGUGCUUCAAGUACAUGCUAUCUGUGUCAUCUAAACAGUGGGUGCAUGCCCGAUAUCCCUUAUUUGUCUAUCCUGAAAGGUUACUCAAUGCAGGCCAAUCGUUGAUGGUUACGAACAACAGUGCUCGUAGAUUAAAGAUCUCUUGUCUAUCCUCAUCCCACACACGUACACCUUCUUCCUUCCAGAGCUGUAAAAGGUCAUCAACCAACGGCCUUAGGUACACGUCAAUGUCGUUGCCGGGUUGUUUUAGGCCUUGGAUAAGCGCCGGCAUCAUAAUGAACUUCCGCUUCAUGCACAGCCAAGGAGGAAGGUUGAACAUACAAAGGGUCACAGGCCAAGUACUAUGACCACUACUCAACUCACCGAAUGGAUUGAAUCCAUCAGUGCUUAAACCAAACCUUAUGUUCCUUGCUUCACUUUCAAAGUCUGGGAAUGUUCUAUCAAUUGAUCUCCACUGUGCCCCAUCUGCGGGGUGUCUCAGCAUCUCAUCUUCCUUACGGUCUUCUUUGUGCCAUCGCAUCAACUUAGCAUUCGCCUUGUUCCUGAACAAGCGCUUCAAGCGUGGUAUUAUAGGGAAAUACCACAUCACCUUCACGGGAACUCUCUUCUUGGGAGACUGCCCCUCGACAUCACCAGGAUCAUCUCGCCUGAUCUUAUACCGCAGGGCUUCGCAGACGGGACAAGCAUCCAAUUCCUCGUAUUCAUCACCACGAUAGAGGAUACAGUCAUUAGGGCAUGCGUGUAUCUUCUGAACAUCCAAUCCGAGAGGGCAAAUAAUCUGUUUAGCUUCAUAUGUUGUGGACGGUAAUUCAUUAUUCUCGGGGAGAAUCUUCUUGACAAUUCUCAACAUCCCCUGAAAUGCCUUAUCGGACACACCAUUUUUUGCCUUCCAUUGCACAAAUUCUAGUGUCGUACCUAGUUUUUUAUGGCCCUGCUGGCAACCUGGGUACAACAAUUUUUGGUGAUCAUCUAUCAUGCGCUGCAACUUUGCUGCUUCCUUCUCAGUUUCGCAAUCUCUGUAUGCAUCUCGUAUCACCUGACCAAGGUCAUCAGUAGGGUCAUUUUCUGCAAACUCAUCUUCAUCAGCCUCGCCCAUUGUAGUACCUGCAAAAGCUUGGCCUGCAACCCAGUCCGGAAUGGUGUCAUCUUCCUCCUCCUCCUCGCCAUCUUCCAUUACAACCCCUAGUUCACCGUGCUUGGUCCAAACCAAAUAGUUAGGCAUGAAACCGUAUUUAAACAAGUGGCUGUGAAUAGUCCCCCAGGAAUUCUUUGAAUACUCCUUCCUGUUAUUGCAUUGGAAGCAUGGACAACAUACGAACCCAUUCUCUGGCUUGUUCGCUUUUGCCACUUCGAGAAAAUAAUGCAAGCCAUCAAUAAACACCUUGCUCCGCCUGUCUGCAUUAUACAUCCAAUGCCGGUCCAUCUGCAUCGUAUUACGCACGAAAAUGGAUUACACUUGACAAUGGAUUACGCGUGAAAAUCGAUUAAAGAUCCAAACAACAUGGUACAAUACAACAACAUGAAGAUCCAAAUACACAUAUUUAAAUUAAAGUCCCAAACACUGCAUAAGUUGUUCAACUUGAAGACCGUGAUCAUCUCGUGAGGAUGUCCUCAACUGGGCGGCACCGCACUUCGUCAUUAAAGAGGUUAGAUGCUACGGAAAAGGGGACACGGUCACAAUGUCCGUAUCCACUCUUUCUCGUAGAAUCGAACCUCCUUCUUGACAUACGUUGCUGCUCGGCGGAGAACAUCCUCGGCGAGAUGAACACGGUAUGCAAGUUCAACAAGUAGCAGAAGUCAUCUAUGUACAAAAAUUCUUUCCUUACCACUACAGAAGUUGUUGAACUUGAAGACCGUGUUCAUUUCGCGAGGAUGUCCUCAGCUAGGCGGCACCGCACUUCGUCAUGAAAGAGGUUAGAUGCUACGGAAAAGGGGACACGGUCACGAUGUCCGUAUCCACUCUUUCUCGUAGAAUCGAACCUCCUUCUUGACAUACGUUGCUGCUCGGCGGAGAACAUUCUCGCCGAAAUGAACACGGUAUGCAAGUUCAACAAGUAUAUGGAUUUAAAAAACCAUAUUGAAUUUGAUAAGAUAAACCGUCUAGACAAGGUAGCAUCAUUUUUAAACCACUGAAAUAAUGCAUACUAUAUAUGACACAUCAAUCUCCCUCACAUUCUAGCUCAAAAUACCUCUCCAUUUUUCUACUUCAUCAUCACAUUGUAGCAAAUAAUCUUUCCAUCUCCAAAGCAUAAAUCAAAGCAUAACACGAGGAUGAAGUAGCAAACCUUCGCAGCACUUGUUGGCUGAGUCAAAUUCCCACGAAAAUGAGGGAAAAAAGUUCGGGCAGCACCUCCCUUGCUUGGGCACCACCGGAGAGUAGGUGAAGCUCAGCUCUCUAUCAAUGUGCUGGACUGCUCGGGCUGGAGGAAGAAGAAAGUCUCUGUCUCGGGGUAUAGUGGGGGAUGAGUUUUAAUCCCGGUUAAAAACUCCAACCGAGACAAAAGGAAACACCUUUUGUCCCGGUUGGAAAGUUAGUCCCGGUUGGAGGAUCCAACCGGGAUAAAAGGGACACCCUUUUAUCCCGGUUGGAGGCACCAACCGGGACUAACCCUUUUAUCCCGGUUGGUGCCUCCAACCGGGAUAAAAGGGUGUCCCUUUUAUCCCGGUUGGAUCCUCCAACCGGGAUAAAAGGGUCCCGCCACCGACGGCCCCCGCUAGCCGUUGCAACCGGGACUAAAGGGGGGCCUUUAGUCCCGGUUGCAAUUACCAACCGGGACUAAUGCUCCCCUCCAAAUUCCCGCACCCCGGCGCACCCCCUUUUGUCCCGGGCCACUUUUAAACCGGGAUAAAAGGGGGUUGAUCGAAAGUCAGUUCUCUACUAGUGAUCGGUGACUCCGCUCGAGGAGAAUUGUUUAUAUCAAGCAUAGAAAUGACAACGUUGGAAGUGGAGGAUAUAUUUUGCUCUGUUGAUUUAAUUGCCGCGAGAGUGGCGGACAAGUUCUAAUGAUUGAAGAUCAGAAGCGUCUCGUGGAGAAUUUUUCAGAAGCUAUAUUUGGAAUUAUUAUAUUAUCUCAGGAGCAGAUUAAAUAUAACGCCACCACUGAAAGCCGAUGAGAUGUAUCUAUCGGCUACAUGCUAUUCAGAUGAAUUUGAUGACAGAUUAAUUACGGAGGAGACCGACCGAUACAACAUUAUGGUUUCUUACUGCUGAUCUGUUAUGAAAGAGGAUGUGAGAAGCUGAUAAUCAAGCAACAAUAAAAUGAUAUACACGCAGGGCAUUAAAUAUUGAGUUAAUGAUUGGGAGUACUACCAUUAUCUUAUGAAAAGUCCAUCGGCUAACCAAACAGCGUCAGCCGAUGGAAGCAAAUAGUGUCAGCCGAUAGAAUGAUGUUAUAUAAGUAUAUAUAUCGGCCUCCGAGCCAAUGGGAAGUAGGAACUAUCAGCCGAUGCACACAUCCAUGGACAUAGCCGAUAAGACAUUGUAUCGGCUGCUUGGCAAAUAAAAAUAGCAUCGGCUGACCGCUUGUUAAAAUAUUAUCGGCCGAUUGCUUGGCAAAAUAGUAUUGGCUGACUGCUUGGCAAAUAAAAAAAUAAUAGGUUGACCAAAAAAGGAUAGCAUUGCCUGAUUGCUUGGCAAAUAAAAAAAAUUACGUCGGCUGAUUGGUUCCAGCAAAAUAGUAUCGGCUGCUUGUUGAUCAGAAAAAGCCGAUACUGUUACAGCUCCCGCAACUGUGCUUUGCUGUCAUCGGCUGGGUUGUUCGUGCUCCAUCUGCAAAUAUUUGUCCCGGCUAGAAAGUAUCGUACGUGCAUUGGGAUUCGGCAGUACAAAUCACGUACACGCGUAUGGUCUGCUCAGAAGCUGUCUGUUCGACGAAGUUCCAGGCCAAUGGUGGAGACUUGAUGACCAUGGUGACCUGCAUUAAUCAACAUGAAGUAUGUAUCGGCUGUUCGGUGAUUGGUAGCAAAUCAGCUUUCUCAUAGCCGGUGACAUAUGGGGCAAGAAAUAUCAGGCUUAAAAAAGGACAGUACGAUCAAUGUCGAAAGUUGUAGCCGACGGUUCUAUUAUUGUGCAGUCGAUGGAACAUAGAAGAUGCAUCUGAAUGAGCAAAAGGAAGGGAGCCGAUAGAAGGGAAUUUAAGUUGCAUGAGAUCCAAUUAAAUUAAGAUGACGAGAGGUGUUGACAUCGAAUCAUCGGACUUCUACGAAGUCUUCAUACUCCGAAACUAGGGAGUCUGUGUUAACACCAAAAUUUAGAAAUAUGCUGAUGCAAAAAAAUAAUGAAAUCUCCUAAAUAAGGCUCAAGAAAGAAAAAGCAAGAAAAGAAAAUCAAUCGCACGCGGCAAGAAUUGAAUAAAAUAUUCUAGAGGUAGAGUUGGUUAGGAUAAGCUUAAUUAGGGAUAGAGUUGGAUUAGUUAGAGAUAGUAUUUUGAUUAGAAAAGAUUGUGUACAUGACUUGUACGUGGUGCGUCAGAGGCCAUCCGCCCUAUAAAUAUAAGGGGUCGUGGCCAUUGUAAUUAUCAUCACACGAUCAAUAUACAACAUAUUUAUCUUUUACCUUUUCGGCUUCACGCCAUUGUAUUAGGAGUAGGAGUAAUGUAGCUUCCUGACGAGUUCCUUCUAGCAAGCUGUGCUGCAUUGACCUUGAUCUCUGGCGAGCUGCAAAGUUCCGUCACCAGGUGUUCUAGGCUUUAACCACCGGGCGCAUCGCUUGUGGUUUCGUCUAGUUUCAUCUACAAGGUAUCGAAUAUCAUGGAUCUUUAACUUACGCAUCGCUUCUGUCUUGAUCUACGGUAUUCACCAGUUAUCCUGCCUUGGUUAAGUCUGCAUCGGCUGAUAUUUAUCUGUUCUAUCAUCUUGCCGUUCAGUUUGCUUUAAUUAGCUUUAGAUCGGUUCAUUAUAGAUGAUAGAUCGCUUAAUAGCCUGUUGCAUCUUAAUCUUGGUUACCCCUUCAAGUGCUGUUGGGAUUAAGUUUCGUUAUGAUUGGAUUCAUCGGCUGGUGGGGUUGGUGGGGUUCAGAUUAACAUCGUGCUAAAUAUUUCUAGACUGCAACUACUGGACGCAUCGCUGUGGUUUCAUCUAGAGAUAUUGGUAGAGAGUUUAGUUUAGAUCUCAUCGGUUCGUGGCUCUAGCUAUGGUGGAGCGGCAGCUGAAUAGCAUCCUGUUUUCUAUCGGUCGCCUGGCCGAUAGUUAUUGCAAAAUAUAUUAAAUCGCCUGGAUGGCCGAUGGAUCACUCACGCUCGUCAAGGAUCAUAUCGGCCUGAUCGGCCAGUUGCCUCGGACUUCAAAGGAUUAUUUUCACCUUGUCAGUUGAAUGGUCAAACUGGCUGGCACGCCCGCGCACACCAUGCGCGCCGAUUUGGAUUUUGCACUGGAGUUAAGUAGAUCUUCCAGGUCCUCAUGUGGUGACGAAGGAUCCACCACCAUCAGGAUUUUGCGUCAACACAUUUUGGCACGCCCAGUGGGACACGGUUAUAAGGUUCAUAUUUUUAUUCAUAUAAAAAAGCAUCUUCGGCAUCAUCGGCCAAAUGAGUGUUCAUCGGCUUGUUAGAAUUAAUUCAAUAUAAUAUUUCAGCAAAAGCAGCCGAUGUAGCGAUUGGAGAUAAGGCCAAGUCAAGUCUGCGUGUAUACGCAUGUUCCGGUGGGAUCAUCUUCAUAAAUGCCAAUGACGAUUAGAGAUGAAGCUUCCUGCAAAAUGAUUGGCUACUCUAUCCGGGAAGAAUUGCUUUUUUAUGAGGCAUAUAUAGAGACCCAUGUUGCAAUUAGGGGGCGUAUUCGUGCAUUGGCUGAAAUAAAAAAAUGCAUCGGCAUAUUGAAAAUUGCAUCGGCCGAUUGACAGUCGUAUCAGCUGAUUGGAAAAAUAAAAAGGGAUCAGGGAUCCGCCGAUUGAAAAUUGCAUCAGCUGAUGGAAAAUGAGAGCAACAGUUACAAUAUUUUUUUUAAAAGAAAGCAAGUAUCGGCAAGCAGUAGCCGAUGGAUUUGUAUUUCAGCCAAUGGGGUUUUUGUUUCAGCUGAUAGUACUACUGGCUGAUGGCAAGUCCAAUGGAGUUAAAAUUGCAUUGACUGAUUGAAAUAAAAAUUAAGUAUCGGCUAAUUUAUGGCCAAGUAGCAUCUGCUGAUUUGUUGCAAAGUAGUUUCGGCUGAUUUAUGGCAAAAUAGAAUCGGCCGAUUUAUGGCAAAGAAGCCAAUAGACAAAAGCAUCGGCUGGUAGAGAAGCCGAUUGAGCAAGCAUCUGUUGAUGAGCUAUGUAUGGGAAAAAGUAUUGGCUGCUUAAACAAUUGACAAAAGCCAAUUGGUCAGACUGAGAAGCCAACUGGGAAAGCAUCGAUCGAUGGAUUGCGUAUGGGAGAGAGUAUCGGUUGAAGUCUUUAGUAUUGACUGCUAGAUAUUUGAGCAAGCGUCGGCCGAUUGACUGCUUGGUAAAAAAAACAUCGGGCUGAUUGCUUGGUUAAUAAAAAAAUUGCAUCGUUCAAGCAAAGAUUGCAUGGGCUGAUUGGUUCAAGCAGAAUAGUAUCGGUUGCUUAUAGAAUAUAUCGGAUAUUAAUUUCGAAGCAUGAAAAUAUUCAUACUCCGAAACUGGGGGGCCUGUGUUGACAACAAAAGCUUGCUGGUUACUGCAUCAAGUUUUGGUGUCAACAUACUUGAUCUUUUGUUUCCAUUGCCAGCGGAUUCAUCGGCUCAGAGUGGGAUCAAGACAUCAAGCUGAUGGAGUUCUUUAUAUUUCAAGAGGAGUCAUGGAGUUCUUUAUAUUUCAAGAGUAGUCGAUGGUGCUUUGAAUAUUGCAACCAGACGUCAUUGGCUCUAAAGAUACCGAAUCAUCGGACUUCUAUGAUCAGUUUCGGAACAUGAAGCCUUCAUACUACGAAACUGGGGGCCUGUGUUGACACCGAAUCAUCGGACUUCUAUAAUUAGUUUUGGAACAUGAAGCCUUCAUACUUCGAAACUGGGGGGCCUAUGUUAACACCAAAAUUUAGAAAUGUGCUCUGAAAGGAAGGUAUCGGCCGAUGAUGCAAAAAAAUAAUGAAAUCUCCUAAAUAAGGCUGAAGAAAGAAAAGCAAGAAAAGGAAAUCAACGCACACGGCAAGAAUUGAAUAAAAUAUUCUGGAGAUAGAGUUGGUUAGGAUAAGCUUGAUUAGAGAUAGAGUUGGAUUAUUUAGAGAUAGUAUUUUGAUUAGAAAAAAUUGUGUACAUGACUUGCCUUGUACGUGGUGCGUCAGAGGCCAUCCGCCCUAUAAAUAUAAGGGGUCGUGGCCAUUGUAAUUAUCAUCACACGAUCAAUAUACAACAUAUUUAUCUUUUACCUUUUCGGCUUCACGCCAUUGCAUUAGGAGUAGGAGUAAUGUAGCUUCUCGACGAGUUCCUUCUAGCAAGCUGGGCUGCAUCGACUUCGAUCUUCGGUGAGCUGCAAGUUCCGUCACCAGGUGUUCUAGGCUUUAACCACUGGGCGCAUCGCUGUGGUUUCGUCUAGUUUCUUCUACCAGUUACCGAGUAUCUUGGAUCUUUGACUUAUGGCACAUCGCUUCUGUCUCGAUCUACGGUAUUCACCAGUUAUCCCGCCUUGAUUAAGCUUGCAUCGGCUGAUAUGUAUCUGUUCUUUCAUCUUGCCGUUCAAUUUGCUUUAGUUAGCUUUAGAUCGGUUCAUCAUAGACAAUAGAUCAUUUAAUAGCAUGUUGCAUCUUGAUCUUAGCUAUCCUUCGAGUGUUGUUGGGAGUAAGUUCCGUUGUGAUUGGAUCCAUCAGCUAGCAGGGUUUAGAUUAACAUCCUGCUAAAUAUUUCUAGACUGCAACUACCGGGCACAUUGUUGUGGUUUCACCUAGAGAUAUUGGUGGUGACGUUAGUUUAGAUCUCAUCGGCUUGUGGCUCUAGCUAUGGCGGGGCAACAACUCAACAACAUCCUGUUUUCAAUCGACCGUCUAACUGAUAGCUAUUGUAAAUUAUAUUAAAUCGGCUGGAUGACGAUGAAUCACUCACAUUCAUCAAGGUACUGGAAUCGGCUUCACAGCCGAUAUAUUUGUCAUGAUUUAUUUUGUUGCACCAUUAUCGCUACUGUGCUAGGAUUAUAUCGGCCUAAUCGGCCAGUUUCCUCGGACUUCACAACGACUAUCAUCUCCUUGUCAGUUGAAUGGUCAAACUGACUGGCAUGCCCGCGCACACCACACGUGCCGAUUUGGAUUCUGCACUGGAAUUAAGCAGAUCUCCCAGGUUCUCAUGUGCUGAUGCAGGGUCCACCACCGCCAGGAUUUUGUGUCAACACCUUGUAAUCUUCCUUUGAUUUCCUCAAUGAUUCGAAGACAAUAACCUUGCUUGUAUAAAUGAUAAUUAUAAGGAGAACCUAGUGGAAACUGUGUAUUCAUAUUAGAACUACCUAUGGUUAAUUAGGUUAGGAAAGGAAAUCGAAAAUAGACCGUACCCACACUUACUUAAAGUUGUUGGGCAGUAGUAUGUAAUGCUUGUAAUUCUGUUACUCCAAGAAUUUGUAUAUGUGGUCCAAUGUAGACUUUGGUUGAUCCCAUAUCUGUUGUUGGUUAAAUAAGUGUUUCUGGCCAUUUCUAGCCGUUAGAACCGGAACUAAAGGGGGCUCUUUAGUACGGGUUGAUAUUACUAACCGGGACUGAAGAGCCCCCAUUACAGUUGGUUUUUGGACGCGGAACUAACAACUCCUUUAGUCCCGAGUCCAAAAACGACUGAGAUAGAAGAUCCUUUCUCUACCGUGAAUAUUGCCAGAAAGAAUUGAAAGAGACCGCUUGCUAAAAAUAUGUCAUAGAUGUAGACCAAGCUACCAAGGAGGUAGACCAAACAUGAUACACACCAUGCGUACCUUGCUGUGCAGACUAUGCAUAGACAAGACACCCGACCACAUGUUGGCCUCGGUCACAUCAAAAGAAUCAUGUAGGCCACCAAUAAACUACUUGAAGCGUCAUUCCGUAUCGUAUAUGCAUUGCCGGUUCAUCUGCAUUACAUUACAUAAAGUAGUAUUAACUAUUUGAAUAAAAUGAACCAAUUUAAAAGUAAUGUGUUGUACUCUACUAUAGAAAGCCCUAUCACUGUCGGAUCCAGAAACAUCAUUGUUGAUGGUCGUUAAGUACCAAGACGGUCAAUAUUCUCAAGAAUAAUGGAGAAUUGGCAUUUCUUACACACAUAUUUGGUUUUGAACAAUGUAGUCCCACAUGUCCUUGGAGAUUAUUUGGGUGUGGGUGAAAUAAUACAAAAAGAAGGAGAAAACACACUCCCAUGGUGAAGAAACAAAACUCCGACCAAUGAGAGAUAGCCACAGGGGCAGCACACGGAUCCAUGGGCCCACAAACCGCAUCAAACUGUCUUACCAAGGCGGGUAGCACCCACAACCAUGAUUAGGACCCACCUGGAUGUCUACCAAGAAGAAGGUUGUGAGUGGGGCCAGGAGGGGUUCGGCUGAAUCAUCUCUAGCUCCCCUCAUCCCCAGCUGGUGCAUGGCGGUGGUUAAUGGUGUCCCUACAUCGGUUAGAGGAGAUUCCCCCAAAUAUUCCUCCUGUAAACCACCUGUAUGGACCUAUACAUAGAGGGGUGUGCUCUCCAAUCCAACACACACCACAAGUUUAAUCACUCUCUCCCUCUUUAAUUUCCAUGUUUAUGGAGUUAGCCUAGAGUAGCUCUGCUCAAGGUUCCAAGUCCACUUGGAGUUAAGCAUAUGUCUCUUGUAUCGUUAUUUCCCAGAUUGACUUUAUGCUUAGUUCUUAUAUGCAUGAGUUAGUCUAAUAGCCUUGCUCUAUUGAUAUGCUCGGCUUAUAUGCUCGUAUGCUAGUCAUAUACCCUUGCUGCCGUAGUAUAGGCUUAUAUGCUCUCAUGUGUGCCUUUAGACCUUGCUACAAUAUAUACUUGUUGUGUAUACAUACCAUGUAUAGGCUAGUCGAUCUAUACCAUGGCAUUGGUUCAAUAGCCAUGUUUUUGGUGGCUCCAACCCUAGUCAGAAUAGCUCGGGACAGCUAGAGUGUUGUUAAAAAUGCAAGAGUGAUGGUUGGGUUGUUUAGCAUCGUUGGAUAUGGGUUUUCCCCACGGGUUUCUAAGAGUAGGCGGCAGCUAGUGACAGCCCUGUCCGUCCUUCGUAAUCCCCCCACAUUCAAGUACGCCAUAGAAGUUCAUAAAUUAGCAGUAACUACACCGGCAGACCGGUAGGGUAUUGUCUCCCUAUAGUACCUUGGUGCAUAGAACUAGGUCAUAUACACUGUGUGUCUAUGUUUACGCUGAUAUGAUCUGUGCAGUAUAUAGCAUGUAUAUAUGAACCUAGAGCUAACUCCUAGUCCAUUCUCCGUAGCUUAGUUAUCUUGAGAUGAUUCUUCUGUGUGUGUAACACUACCCAUCUUAUCAUUAUCCUUAAUCCUGUCUUGUGUAAUAUAUCUACUCAUCCUAUGAUAUACUCAUAUGCAUAGUAAACUAUUUUGACCUACCCGCCUUCCUUUGGGAAAUACGAUACCCUGGAAUAAUCCUAGGUGAAAUGCUACAACGGUAUAUCCAUGUGCUUACGGAAUUAUUCCUGACCAUUAAAUAUACCAACAAUCAUCACUAUCUAUUUUGGGCAUCGUUAGUGAAGGGUCGGCAGUGAUGGGCAUCCCCUUCACCAAUGGAGCUGGAACUGGCGGUGAUGGCCAUUAAAAAAAAUGGGACCCCACCCAGCGUACCCCGCAACCCGGCCGGCUGCGCCUCCCAUCAUCCCCGCCGGUCGCCCUUCCUCUUUGCCGGCCGAGCAUGGUUCCGGCCCUCGUCCCUACCGCCUCGCCUCCAUCGCGACCCCCUGCCGAUGCCCUCAUGCCUGGCCCCCCUCGUCUGGCCGGCCACCCUCCCGAUGCAUCCACCGGGGCCCUCGCACCACCAACCACCCUAGCCUAGAGAGAGAGAGGAGGAGGGAGGUGAGGCCACGCACCUCGUCCUACAACGCCGCUGUUGCUCCUCGGCCCACCGCGCCUCACCCCACACCACAGCCGCACCUCGCCAUCUUACCGGCCGCGACGCCCCAUCUCACCGGCCACCGUUCCUCACCCCCACAUCGGUCAUCGCUGCUCCUUGCCCUACUGCUGCUCUUUGCAGCCGCGAAUGAGGGGCGAGUGGAGGGGGAGGGGCGGGGCAGGAGGAGGGCAAGAUCCGGGAGGAAGGGAGAGAUUUUGGGAGGUGGAGAUGGAAGGAUAUGGCGGAAGGUAGAGAUCUAGAGGGAGAGAGCGGGGGGGAGAGGGGGGCAUGUGGGGAGAGAGCGCAUGUGGGGUGGGGCCGGGCUGGUGGGAUGGAAGGUAGAGGGGCCGGAGGGCGCAGUGCAUUCAACUGGAUUAAGUAAAUAUUUCGGAUUCGAGACCCCAGCUUUAUUAUCACCGCUGGUCCGUAGUACCAUUCGGUGCCGGCUCAUAAUUUAAUUUGAACCGGUGGUGAUGUUUUAUUAUCACUGCUGGUUUCAAUUUUCACCAUCGGAUCAUAUAAAAAUCCGGCGGUUAAAAAUCCGCUGGUUUCGAUGAAAACCGACAGUGAUAGGACGACUGUGAUAGUCUCUUCUCUAGUAGUAGUAUAUUAGUACCGGCUGCCGGAUGGUGUUGCCGACGAGUACUUCUCCAGGGGCGAUUCAGUACUGAUGUUAGCAAAGCUUGUUCUCUAUGAAUUUGGGGAUGGAAAGCUAGUUCUCUAGUUGUGAUUUGUUACAUAUAUCUCUAUGAUAGUCUAGAAAUUGCAUGUCCUUCGUUGACAUAGUUGAAGCUGCUUCAAGAAUUUACUUCGUGCAGUCGUGCAGCAUAUUGGAUUAUCACCUAGACAGGAUACAUAGGUGAAGCAUUGCAUGUGAUUGUGGCUGAUAAUUAUGCAGGACGCUGUUGCAAUCAACCAUCAAGAAGACUGGAGCGAUGGGGUUGCCUCAUCAACAAUUUUUAUAUAUGGCUGCAGUAUUAUUAAGCCCACGUCAAUAAUUUUUUCUCCGCAGCAUAUAUAUGGUUACUCAGUUCGCUGGAGUAUCGCUGUGGAAAAACAUACGUACUGCGCCUCGGAACUAACUGGCAUUCAGGCCAUCAACGACCAGAUAUUUGGGACAACCAACAAAUAGUAGGUGGUUCCUAAGUUGUAGUCGUAUGUACUAAUGCGCCUCGAUGGGGUUUUCUUCAGAUAUUUUAUUGCCGUUCAAUGAACAAGCAGAUACAUAACCUGUGCAGAAAAUUCCAUCUCCACGCAUGCCACUGCACCAACAAGAUCCUCAGUCGACGAUGAUGGCUCAGCCUGUUCCUUCUGCCACCAAAUCCUCAAUCUUCCCUCCAGCAACGGAGAAUGCACCUUUAGUACCUUCAGUAUCAGAUGUUGCAAUCGGUACCGUGAAACCGAGACUAAAAUCCUUACUUUGCAGGGGGCAAAACAAUCUUGCAAAUAUAUAUUUUGAAUUCCAACAAAAUUUAAGAAAUGUUAAAGAUGACUAGCUGAGAGUCAACAGACAAGAUAUGAUAUUAGGAAUGUGGGAGGAUGAAUGCAUUUGUACAGGGGUCAUACUAUUUCCAGACUCUUCUAUAUUUCCAUAUGACUACCUACUUCAAUGUCACGCGAGCCAUUCAAAAAGAUACAUGGUACACUUGUAUGUCUAAUCCAUUAUUGAUUAUUUCCUCUUGUCAUCUCUUACAAGUAUUUCUCCAUACUAUAGAAACGUGCAACACAUUUUUAGGAUAUGGACACGCAUGAUUAAUAUGCUUGGACUAGUAUACAGGUCAUCUUUGGAUGAGUACAUAUGAAUGCCAGGGAGGGACUGAUGGAUAUAAGGAAAAGGGACCAUGCAUAAAUAAUGACAUAUGUAACAUGGCAAUCUUCAUUGCCAUGCAACUCCUAUCAACAAUCAUGGAAUACAUACUACUGCUCCAGAAGGGUGGUGUGCAAAUUUAUUUUACCUCGCGGUGAAAAUCUCCAGAGCAGGCCUGAAGUUAAAAUAAGAGGCAGUCACUAUCGAUCAUGACAGUCUCGAAACUGUACAGCACUAUGCUAGUCCUAGUCCUCAUGUCGUUCGUGCUGUCGUGUAGCAUGAUGGAUUAUUAACUGGGCAGGACACGGAGAUGGCUAGCGAUGACAGAGGAUGACGUACAUGAUAUUCACCUCUGAAAUGAAGCGUAGGCUAAUGAAGCACAAUUGCAUGUGAGUGUGGCAGAUAUUUAUACAGGACAGUGAUUGCAAUAAUCGACCAUCGAGAUCGAAGACAGGGGCGAUGGGGUUGCCUCAUCAAUAAUUCGCGCAACCAGACAAGCUGCAGACUCAAUAUGGUACGAAGCUAUUUGGUCAGCCCACAUGCUCUGAUAUAACAUUGGCAUCUGCUGAUCUACAGUAUAUAUGACCAGAAAUAUUGUGCCACCUCAAUAAUUUUCCGAAGUAUCGUUGGGGAAGCACCUACAUACUAUGCCUCGGAACUAACUGACAUGUUGGCCUAGGCGGUCCAGGCCGAUUGGACAGGCUCUUCCUUAUGGCUCCUCACGUCCCCUUCGUUUCCGAGUAAUCUCAGGUGUUCUGAAGUUUUCUUUUCACUUGCAUGUGGACCUUAUAUAUCAAUAGCUUCGGGAUAAGAAUGCCUCUUGAUAACCUUCCAAAUCGUCGCUUGAUUCACUUUGAUUCCAAAAUCAUCUUGCCAUAUCUUUUGAGACUUAGGCCCUAAGGCAUCAUGGAGGAUUGCUCGCCAAGAAUGAGCACCAUUGGGCUCCUGAGGACCCUAGGCCGAUCAGCCUGGGCUCUAUAGGUUGAUUGGCCCAGGCCCUCUCUGGGCCCAUUGGCCUUCAUCUUUCUCUGAGUCGACGCUUAUUGAGGGCUUUGUCCAAUUAUAGUCCAUUAUAGUCUAAUUUCCAAAAAAAUAGAAUAUCCUCCAAAAUACAAUACAUUUGUGAAAACAGCCCAAUUAUUAGGUAUGAUCAAUAGUCUAGGUAUUAAAUUAAUGUUAUUAUUUAAGAUAAAUAGGGAUAAAGGGUGUCAUUAAUAACGAGCACCAACCAGCGUACCAGCUGUUAACACUAACCGAUGCUAAUAUGUACCCUUUAGUACCGGCUAUUUCACCCGGUACUAAACGAGACAAGAGCACCCUAACAGAGGUUAAUACCAUCCAUUUCAUGAGUAAAAUACUAUGAUUCAAAAAUAAUUCAAAUCCCUUAAGACAAUACCUAUCAAAUGAGUAGAUUGUAAAUAGAGUAAAACAAUGUCCUAAUGAAACGGAACACUUCUGGUUCGUGUAGAGCACAAUAUAGAAAACAGUAGGGUAGCUGUACGAUUGACACGUGGUCCAUUAAUUAUUGAGCCAUCACUAUGGACAUGUCUUCAUGAGUAGUGUACUAGUCAUGACACAUGGUAUGUAGUAGGUGGAGGUAUUGAGUUAGCCAUGCCAUGAGCACUUAGUUACAACAAACACUUUGCCAUUAUCGAGCAUCCCAAAUCACUACAAAAUCCAUAGUUUACCAUAUACUACAAAAUCUGAGUUAAAAUAAGAGCAUACACGGAAGAGUCCGAAUGCACCGGUUUAGGACCAGGCACAUUGAAUUACUAGAAAAAGUUAUCGGACAAGGUUUUGGGUAACCGCAUGAAAAAUGUUGGAUUUUACUGAACACUUAGUUACAAUUACCAUGCCGUGAGCACUUAGUCACCACAAACAUUUAACCACUUUAGAUCAUCCUGAAUCCCUAUAAAUUCUGUACCUUACACCGUACCAUGAAAACGACAAGAACAGAGACAGAUGCAGUGAAAAUCUCCAGAGCAGGCCUGAAAUUAAAAUAAGAGGAGGCAGUCUCUAUCGAUCAGGACACGGAGAUUGCUAGCCAUGACAGAGGAAGACAUGAUAUGAUAUUCACCUCUGAAAUGCAGCGUAGACUAAUGAAGCACAAUUGCAUGUGAGUGUGGCAGAUAAUGGACCAUCGAGACCAUCGAAUGGUAUGAAGCAUGAUUAUCACCUAGACAUGAUAUCCUAGACAGGACGGUGAAUUGUAAAAAGAGUAAUCUUGAUCAAAGAAUGUCCUAAUGAAACGGAACAUUUUUGGUACGUGUAGAGCACAAUAUAGAAAACAGUAGAGUAGUUGUACGAUUGAAACUGCAUCCAUCCACGUGGUCCAUGAAUUGUUGAGCCAACACUGUGGACAUGUCUUCAUGAACACCAUCUAGUGAGGACAGGAUGCAGAAAAAUAUAAAAACAUGUCAUAGGGAGGCAGACCAAUCUUGCAAGGAGGUAAACGAAACGUGAUACACGAUCUGCCUACCUUGUCGUGGAUACCCCAAGAGAAGAUGUCAUAGAGGUGCAGACCAAGCUAGCAAGGAGGUAGAUGAAACGUGAUACACGGCCUGCCUACCUUGCCGUGGAUAUUAGCCCUGAUAUCAUUCUAUUGUUCAAGGAAUAACACUCAAUGCUGCUGCUGCUGCUGACCUGGCUCCAUAAAGUUGUAUUCCUCUAGCCGCUUGCACUAACUUUAUCUGAAGUAUUAUUCUCUCUGCCCUGAUAUCUGAAGUAUUAUUCUCUCUGCUGACUUUGCUGAAGAACCUACAUAAUAUGUCUUGGAACUAACUGACAUUGAUUCACAGACAAACUCUACAAGGUGCUGUUGUUGCCAUAUUUUAGAGCAUCCCAAAGGACUAUAAAUAAUAUAGUUUACCAUAUACCGUAUACCAUUAUAUGUUAGCUAAAAUAAGAGCAUAACAUGUCGCAGGAGUCCAAAAGCACCGGUUGAGGACCAGGUACAUUGAAUUACUAGAAAAAGACAGGGGGCAAUGUUUAGGUAGCCACAUGAAAAACAUUUGAAUUUACUGUUCCAUGAACACUUAGUUACCAUGCCGGGAGCACCUAGUUAACACUAAAAUUUAGCCACUUUAGAUCAUCCCGAAACACCCUCAAUAGCGACAAAUUUUGAUUUAAAUGCCGUCACCAAUGAUCCUCAAUAGCGACGUGUUUAGGUUUAAAUCCCGUCACUAAUAACCCUUGGUAGUGACGUGUUUUGGUUUAAAUCUCAUCCCACUGAUCCUCAAUAGUGACGUGUUUUUAGCAACACACGCUAUGAAUGACUUGUCAUUGGUGACAUGUUAAAUGCGUUAUCUCAAUGGCAAAUCAUUGGUGACGUGUUUUAAAAAAACAUGUCACUGUGAGAGUUAUUGGUGAAGGGUAAUUAAAAUGCAUCACUAAUUUUGUAGCAUUAGUUAUGAUAUAAUUUAGUAACGCAAAAAUCUACCAUCAGUAAUGAGGUUUAGAGCCGUCGCUAAUGUGGGUUUCUUACGAGUGAUGCAAGCUCUACAAGGUGCUGUUGUUGCCAUUUUAAAGCAUCCCAAGUGACUACAAGUUAAUAGCAUAGUUUACCAUAUACCAUAAAAAUAUUAGUUACAAUAAGCACAUCCGCAUGUGGAAGAGUCCGAAUGCACCAGUUGAGGACUAAACACAUUGAAUUACUAGAACCAAAUGUAAGACAAAGAAAGGGGUCAAGGUUUGGGUAACCGCAUUAAAAACAUUGGAUUUUACUGUACCAUGAACACUUAGUUACCAUUACCAUACCUUGAGCAUCUAGUUACCACAAACAAUAAUUUAGCCACUUUAGAGGUUCCAGAAUCACUAUAAAUAAUAUACCAACACCGUACCAUGAAAACAUCAAGAAGAGAGACGGGUACAUGGACCACCAUCAAGUGAGUAGUGACAGCACGCACAAGAAUACCCGGAACCUGUUAGCUUGUCUGUAGUGAUCUGUUUUCUUCCCCAUAAAAUCCAUGAGUAUUGCCACAAAUAAUGAAAGAGGCUGACCAAGCUAACAAGGAGGUAGAGAAAACGUGAUACACGUAGGUUUCAUUCAAGACAUCCAUGUAAGAUUCAUUCAAAACAUUCAUGGAAAUUUCUUGUAAGUUUUCAUGUAAAUUUCAUUCAAGACAUUUGUUAGAGGUGUUGUAUAUAUAUACCUUAACGUACAUAUAUCUAUGAUUUCAUGGUUGUUAGUGAUGGCAGAUGAGGAGCAUGCAAGGUAUUUAAUGGAGCAGAUUAUUGCUAGUGGUAGUGGCUCCAACCUGCCCGUAACGUACACCAACGAAGAGAGCAGCCAGGCGGACAUGUUCCUCAACAUAUCCGGUGAUGGCAAUGAAGAGCCCGAGCAAAACCUUGCCGUGACGGAAGGUUCCAGUGAGGUAUAUAUCAUUUCCAUUGUUUUACCCCAUCUAUAAUUUCAUAUUCAUUAUUACUAUGUACUAAUUAAUGGAUCUUGAACCAUUAGCCCUCUAGAUCAACGAACCGAAAUAAGCCCCGAGGUCUUACAAAGAUAAUGCAGGGAAGGCAUCACAUCACGGAAGUCACAGAAGAGGGCACAUCAGUUGCUCCCGAACAUGUGGCAAGAAAGUACGUGAGUCAAACCGGGCAAUGUGCCCAUCAGCAUUAGGGAAUGAAAGGGCAAUAGAAAUGAUCUAUACACGCCCCCGGAUACACAAAAGGAUAUGCUGUGGGCAAAUAUCAAGAAACACUUCACAUUUCCCAAAGGAUAUGUUGAAAAAGAUGUGAAAGCGUGGAUGCUGAAGAAGAUGGUCACCGAAUUCCAGACAUUCAAGAAGAUGUUGGAUGUCAACUUCAUCAAGAAGGGUCGAACUCCGGGUUUCGAUGAGUGGCCAAAGUUAAGGGACCACUGGGAGUCAUUUGUCAAAUACAAGACGAGUGAAGGUGGUGCGAGUAAGGUUCGCAUCAAUGUUGCCAAUGCUAGCAAGGAGUACCAUCAUCAUCUAGGGCGACGUGGUUACAGCACUGCAAUUCCCAGAUGGCGCAAGAUGGAACAAGACCUGAUCGAUCGGGGUAUCGUACCAGCAACUCCUGACUGGCCUGAUCGAUUGAAAAAUUGGUAUUAUGCUCAUGAAGGCAAUCUGAGCCAACAGGAUGCGACAUUGGUCUUCAAUAAAACAAUACGUCAGAAGGCCGGAAGGCUUAUUAGGAACAUUGAAAAUGCUAAAUCUGGGAGGUUCAAGGUGGAUAGAGAGAAUGAUGAGCUCACAUUGGCCCUUGGGACUAUCAUCUCUAGCAUUUCCAGCUCCAGGACUGUCGUCACCACCGGGACCGUCGCUUCUUGCUCGAUCACAGUCUCCAUCUCCAGCACAUCCUGGUGGUGCGAACGAUGACGACAACAACACCCCUCCCUGCCCACCAUCGCCGGGACUAAGACCCGCAUCGAGUAAGGAACCUGCAGCACCACUGAAGAAGUCGCGACCACCGCCUUCCAAGCCAAGUCAGCAAAAGAAGAAAGCAGAGAAGCCUAAGCCCACUGAGAAGCCAACAACCGAUAUGACCGAUGCGGAAAGAUGGAAGGCACUCAAAGAAGAAUGCAGGGAGUGGUUCUGUAAAAAGAACCAAAGAAAGAAAAGGAAAGCAGAUGGAGCCACCGCCAGUAGAUCCAAGAAAAUUAUAAUUUUUUAUUAAGAUGUCAAAAGGAGCCAAGAAGAUGAUUCCACAACUAUCAAACUACGACCGGGCGUUAGUCAAGGCUGAUGAGAGUUAAAAAAGGAAAGGAAAGUCAUCUUCAAGUGGUACUGUCCCCCACCUCGAGGAUCUACCAGAAAAAGACGCUAAAAAGAUAGUAGCAAUGCUCUUGGAUCAACAAACACAUAUAUCAUGAGAUUCAUGCAAGAAACAGGUAUGUGCCUUGCUGAAUGUCUAGGGCAAGUUGAUAUGCUAGCUCUAGAGCCAUUUGUACCGAAAUGGACCUUUGAGCUAGGCAAGCCUCUAGUAAGGCCUGAGCUGGUACAGAAGCUAUCCACAUAGCUAUAUGAAUACCAUGAAUGGUACAUGAAGCAGUCUGCCAAUGAGAGGAAAAUGUUCGGUCUCAGGGAAAAACUGAUAUUUUUUUUCGGCGAAGGCGAGAAAGUCUUGUGAUGGAAUUCAAGGAUAUAUAUGAAGUGUACCAUCAGGAUGCCCUUGAUGUCUCUCUCAUCAGCGCCUAGGUUAUGUAAGUGUAUGUUUAUCUAUACGUAAUUUUUGUCUCAUAUCAUUAUUUCUUUUGCGUGCGUCACCCUACUAACUUCGUCUUCCAUUUUAUGUAGGAUGCUAAUUCAGAUGUGCCGCAUAGAAGCGCACUUCCAUGUUGGCUUCAUGGAUCCAUCCCUAGUUAACCAAAAGCAGAUACGGAAGUAGCUAGAGAAAAUGUUGGAGGUGGUAUACAACUUCCUGGACAAACAAAACUAUAGAAUAGGGGCAAUAUGUGAAGGUCUUGUAGGAUUCCUAGUGGACAAGGUGAUAAAUCCAUAAGGAGAAUAUCAUUACAACGGACGAGCAUUAGACACACUGAGCAACACCUAGACGGGAGGAUCCUAGGAAUGACCUAGACAGAUUUUGGUAUAAAUAGUAAUUGUGUAAAUACUAGUUUGAUUUGUAUAGGAAUAUACUAAGAAUUGUAUAUAUAGUAAUUGUACAAAUACUAGUUUGAUUUGUAUAAAUACUAGAUUGAUUUUAUUAUAAAAAAGUUUUAAGUCGUACGUGCAUGCGCCUACAAAGGCGCGUAUGCCCUUUAAUCCCGGUUGGAAAAACAAACCGGUACUAAAGGGGCUCGUGCCGCACCUGGCAUGACCGCCCCUUUAGUCCCGGUUGAACGACCCAGGACCAAAGAUCUGCCCCGUCUCAUAAAUUUUAUCCUGGAUGCUUUUUAGAGAGAUUUGAGGCCUAUCAACCAAGACUAAUAUCGAGUUUUCUACCAGUGGAACUAACUAACGUUCACAUGCUUCUGACAUUCACCUGCCAUUUGGUGUAGACAAGGGCACCCUAACAUAUGGUUAAUAUUAUUCAUGAAAGAAAAUCCUUUGAUUCAAAAAUACUUCAAACCUAAUAAUACAAUACUUCUCACAUCUGAAAAAUAUGAGAUGGCCCGACAGUAUUCUAACCGACGCAAUAAUAUUUUGAGGGCAGCACUACUACAGCGACCCUCAUUCGUGCCGGUGCUGGAACCCCUAUCACGACCCUGAUACAAAUGAGGGUACAUUAUUGUUGCCAGUGCUAGAAUAGCCACGAAUAACUUGCUAAACAUGCUGUUACACUCACUACUAGAAAAAUAACCUCUCGUCCUGAGGCUUAGUACCGGUCACUUUUUUGCCCAGUACUAAUGUUAGUAUUAGUACCGGAUCCAAAUUUGGGAUCCCCCAGAGACCCUUUAGUACCAGGUGGAGUCUCCACCCGAUACUAAAGGCUUUGUUACCGGGUGAAGGAUCCUCCCGGUACUAAUGGGGGAUUUUUAGUACCGGGUGGGAACCCCACCCGAAACUAAAAUCUCCCAUGCGGACCCCUCCCCCCCCCACGCGUUGCCUCUGUCCUCCCUCCUCCUCCUCUGAGUAGUUAUCCCUUCCUCAUCCCUCCUCCUCCUCCCACACGUGGGGUGAGGUGAGGUGGCAGUAGCAACGACAGGUGGUGUGGCGGGUCACGGCGGGCCGGAUGCGGAGCCGCAACGGUGGUCGGCGGGAUGGGGUGGGGCAGAGCGGCAUGGCAGGGCGGAGCGGUGGGACGGGGCCGAGGUGGAGGUGCCGGGCGGAGGUGGAGUGGCAGGACAGAGGCGGAGGCGGAGCGGCGGGUCGGCGAGCGGGUGGAGGGUGGCGACGAUGGGGCGGGCAGAGGCAGAGGGGUGGGUGGAGGGGCGGCGUGGUCCACCGGCGGGGGGGGGGGGGGGAGAGGGAGGCGUGGGGGGUGCGGUUGGUGAUUUCAAUUUUCUUUUAAUUUUUUAACACCCUUCAGUACCAGUUAUUUUAACCGGGUCUAAAGGGAUCCCCUCUUGUACCGAAUUGCUAGUACAGGAUGCACAACCGGUACUAGAGGGAGGUUCCCAACCGGUACUAGAGCCACUUUCCCCGGUAGUGACUUUUUCACCGAUUAGAAUAUGUUAUUAUUCUAAUCAGCUUUUGUUGAUCUCCUGUAUAAUUUAGUACCUAAUUCUACUAGCAAUUGUUAACGCCGACACGUAUUGGGUAUAGUCCUAACAGUGUCUAACUAGGGCACUACAUUUGUUAACCUAUAACUACUGGUAUCGAUUAGCCCUGGUUAGAAUACUGUCAAGGCAGCCAGAAAAAAUUGUUUGCCAAUUCUGCUAUCCAUCAGAACCAUGACUAGUACCGUAUUGUAAUAAACGAAUUACACAAAUAACUGAUGCACACAAAGGAAUAUGCACUCGCAUGUGCUAGACGUUCGUAGCAACAACAAAUUACUCUCAUCAUCAAUUAAACAUAAUAGAUUAAACAUUAACUGAACAUAGUUCAACACGUACAUCAACAAGACAAAGCAGUUUAAACAUCAACUGAACAGAACUGAAAACAUACAUCAACUGAUGAUAAACUUCGACAUGAACACAACACAUAAACAUCAACUUCAAUAGAACUUAAUAGAGCAUAUUAAACAACAACAUCGACAAAACAUAUAAACCCAGCUCAGUAGCUCAAGCAUCAACUAAAACUGCUGAAUUAAAAUAACAUAACAUAGUGUAGUUCAUCAUGAUGAUAACUAACAGAACCGAAAAGCCUAACUGGGUAAAAGAGCAAUUCAUUCAUAAUGCUUCAGCACUUACAUCACCGGAGUAUGCAACUGGCGGCGUCGCUUACGUCACUAUCACCGCGCUUGGCGAGUAAAGGAGGAGGAGGUGGCAUAGUAAUCGAAGAGGAGGCCGCUGUCGGCGGGUUUAGACUACGUGGAGGUGUGGGUAGGGUUAAGGUGGCUCUGUGGACGAGUAUAUAUAAGAGGUCUGGGCUUGUUAGAAUAAGAUAACAUUCUAACUGGCCAAAUUCGGAUCCGGUUAGAAUAAAUUGUUCUAACCAGCCUUAAUUCGAGGUGGUAAGGAUAAGUUAACAUUCUAAUCAGCUCUAUUUGGAGCCCGAUUGAAUGUUCUUGUUAUUCAAAAAAAGAUCAAGUUCAUCAAUUUUUUUCUAGAAAAACAUCAAGAUAAUUUAAACACGAUAUAUAACAAGAUUAAUACAUUUAAAAAUUGUUUUCUCCAAUAAUUAACGAUAUUUAACAAAUUCAAAAAAAAUCCAAAUUAACAGAACAUAAUAACCAAUUGUUCGAAAAAAUCAAAAUAGUCCACACAGUAUCAUAUUACAAAUUCAGAAAAAUAUCAAAAUAAUCCCUGAUCCACUCGAUACCGUCGUAGAACUUUGAAAUACUGAGCUUCUUGAUUCAUCUGAGGUCCACGUACUCGUCUCAGUAACACUAGUGGUGGCCAUGCAUCUUGUAGAUGUCUUCUAAUGAAUUAAGCUUGACAUACAAGGUCGUGCCUUCCACUCCUUGAGGAUUGCUUAUGACGUUUCUGCAAAUAACGAAGCAUUGCUUUCUCCAACAUGAUUAUUUUCUUCGGCUUAUCCCAAGGGACAACUAUGGUUUUCCCCUUGCCGGAAGAGGAACGAUGAUCGCCCCCACCAUCGCCACUUCCUCCAGUAGCAGAAGCCAUCUAUGUACAAAAAUUCAUACCUUAGCACUACAGAACUUGUUGAACUUGAAGACUGUGAUCAUUAGGCGAGCAUGUUCUCAACUAGGUGGCACCGCACUUCGUCAUGGAAGAGCUUCGAUUUUACAAAAAAGGGGACAUGAUCUUCCAUGAUGUCCGUAUCCGCUCUUUCUCGUAGAAUCAGAGCUCCUCCUUGAUAUACGAUGCUGCUCGGCGGAGAACAUGCUCACCGAGAUGAACACGGUAUGCAAGUUCAACAAGUAUGGAUUUGAAAAACCAUAUUGAAUUUGACAAGACAAACUAUCUAGAUAAGCGUAGCAUCAUUCUUAAACCACUGCAAGGAUACGUACUAUAUAUGACACAUCAAUCUCCCUCACAUUCUAGCUCAAAAUACCUCUCCAUUUUCUACUUCACAUUCUAGCAAAUAAACUAUCUAUCUCCAUUCUACACAUCAAGUUGUUUUAACUAAUACAAAUCGUAUAUAACAAGCAAAAUAUCCAUCACAUUCUAGCUCAAAAACAUGUAUAAAUACAAAUCCUCUUCAUUCUCCCUUUUUCUAACAAACAAACUCAUUUUUCUCCCUCUCCAAAGCAUAAAUUAAAGCGUAACAUGAGGAUGAGGUAGCAAACCUUCACAACACAUUGGAUGAGUGAAAUUCCCACGAAAAUGAGGGAAAAAAAUUCGGGCAGCACCUCCCUUGCUUCGGCACCUCUAGAGAGUAGGUGAAGCUCAGUUCUCUAUUUUUGUGGUGGACUAGCUUGGGCUGGAGGAGGAAGAAAGGCCUCUGUCUUGGUAUAUAAUGGGGGAUGAGUUUUUAUCCCAGUUAAAAGCUCCAACUGAGACAAAACGGCCAAUCUUUUGUCCCGGUUGGAGCCUCCAACCGGGACAAAAGGGGCACGCCAUCGACGCACGGGAGCUAGCCGUUACAACCGGGACUAAAGGGGGGCCUUUAGUCCCGGUUGCAAAUACCAACUGGGAUUAAAUCUCCCCUCCAUUUUUGCCUACCGUGGUGCGCCCCCUUUUAUCCCGGGUCAACUUUAAACCGGGACAAAAGGGGGCGUCGAAGAUCAGUUCUCUACUAGUGACCCCUCCCCACCUAUCUCUCUCCCUCCAUGCUCCUCGAUCUGUGCCUCCCCUCCCCUCCCCUUCCACUCGCCCCUCACCGACGGUAAGGAGCAGCGGCGGGGCGAGGUGAGGUGGCAGCAGCAAUGGCAGGUGGUGGGUCGCAGCGGAGCGGCUACGGUAGGCAGCCGGACGGGGCAGAGCGGCGGGGCGGGGUGGAGGCGGAGGUGGCGGGUAGAGGCGGAGCGGCGAGGCGGAGGCGGAGGUGGAGGCGGAGUGGUGGGACGGCAGGGCCGGGCGACUAGUAUAGGUGGGCGGGCGGAGGGCGGCGACGGCGGAGCGGGCGGAGGCAGAGGGGCAGCGGGGGCCGCCGGCGGGGGGUGUGAUCGGGGAUUUCAAUUUUUUUUAAAUUUUUUAACACCUUUUAGUCCAACUGGUUCUAAAGGGACCCCUCUAGUAUCAAAAUUGCUAGUACCGGUUGCACAACCGGUACCAGAAGUGGUUCCUAACUGGUACUAGAGCCACUUUCCCUGGUAGAGACUUUUUUACCAGUUAGAAUAUGUUAUUAUUUUAAUCAGCUUUCGCUGAUCGCCAGUAUGAUUUAGUACCUAAUUUUACUGGCGAUUGUUACCGCUGACACGGAUUGGGUAUAGUCCUAACAGUGUAUAACUACGGCACUACAUUUGUUAACCUAUAACUACUUGUAUCGAUUAGCCCUGGUUAGAAUACUGUCAAGGCAGCCAGAAUUUUUUUUUUUUGCCAAUUCUGCUAUCCAUGAGAUCCAUGACUAGUACCGCAAUGUAAUGAAUGAACUGCACAAAUAACUGAUGCACACAAAAGAAUAUGCACUUGCACGCUAGACGUUCGUAACAACAAAUUACUCUCAUCACCAAUUGAACAUAAUAGAUUAAACAUUAACUGAACAGAAUUCAACACGUACAUCAACACGACAAAGCAGUUUAAACAUCAACUGAACUGAACUGAACACAUACAUCAACUGAUGAUAAUUAUCGACAUCAACAGAACACAUGAACAUCAACAUCAAUAGAACUUAAUAGAGCAUAUUAAACAACAACAUCGACAAAACAUAUAAACCCAGCUUAGUAGCUCAGGCAUCAACUAAAAUUGCUGAAUUAAAACAACACAACGUAGUGUAGUUCAUAAUGCUUCGGCGCUUACACCACUGGCGGGUCGCUUACGUCGGCAUCACCGCGCUGGCUGAACCUCCGACACCCCCACCACGGCAAACGGAGGUGAUGGCGGAAGGUGAGGCAACGACAGUAGCUGGUGAGCUCCCGCUCCAAUGUCUCGCGAGUAAAGGAGGAGGAGGUGGCAUGGGAAUCGAAGAGGACACUAGUAGAGAAACGACUUUCCAUCCACCCCCUUUUGUCCCGGUUUAAAGUUGGCCCGGGACAAAAGGUUCACCAACCGGGAUUAAAACUCGGUCACUGGUGGGGGGCUCACCAACCGGGACCUUUUAUCCCGGUUGCAAAGGCUAGUGGGAAAAAAUUACUCUGAGAGGCCUUUUAUCCCGGUUUGAAACACCAACCGGGAUAAAAGACCCCCCCUUUUAUCCCGGUUGGUAACACCAACCGAGAUAAAAGGGUCAAGAGCCUUUUAUCCCGGUUGGAAACACCAACCGGGAUAAAAGGGGGUCUUUUAUCCCGGUUGGUGUUUCCAACCGGGAUAAAAGGGUCCCCCACGAGUUAAUACAAAAGGAUAGUAUCCCCUACAUAGUCAGAUGUGGUGUGUAGGUGGGAUGGUAAGGAAGCUACGCGCGAGGCUGGAGGUUGUGGGUUCGAAUCCCACGAACCGCGCACGCGCAUAUUUCGCGUGAAAAAUCGCGUGACUUGCGACUUGCGCGUGUGGGGGGGCCUCCUGGGAGCUCGGGAAUUUUUUUUUUUUGCAGCGCCGGCCGUGGGUGAACCCUUUUAUCCCGGUUGGUAUUACCAACCGGGAUAAAAGGGGGUCUUUUGUCCCGGUUGAGUGACCCGGGAUAAAAGACCCCCCCUUUUGUCCCGGUUGGUUUAUCCCGGAUGCAUUUUCGAGAUCUUUGCACCCUACCAACCGGGAUAAUAGGUGAGUUCUCCACCAGUGGGAGGCCGCCGCUGGCGGGUUUAGACUACGUGGAUGUGUGGGUAGGGUUAAGGUGACGGUGUGGACUAGUAUAUAUAAGAUGUCUGGGCUUGUUAGAAUAAGAUAACAUUCUAACCGGCCAAAUUCGGACCCGGUUAGAUUAAAUUGAUAUUCUAACCGGUCCUAUUUCUAGGUGGUAAGAAUAAGUUAACAUUGUAAUUGGCUUUAUUUGGAACCCGAUUGAAUCUUCUUGUUAUUCAAAAAAACAUCAAGUUCAUCAAUUUUAAUCCAGGAAAACAUCAAGAUAAUUUAAGCACGAUAUAUAACAAGAUUAAUACAUUUAAAAAUUGUUUGAUUCACAAAUUAACGAUAUUUAACAAAUUCAAAAAAUCCAAAUUAACAGAACACAAUAACCAAUUGUUCGAAAAAAUCAAAAUAAUCCACACACAUUAAUAUAUUACAAAUUCAGAAAUAUAUCAAAAUAAUCCCCGAUCCACUCGAUACCGUCAUAGGACUUUUAAAUACUGAGCUUCUUGAUUCGUCUGAGGUCCACCUACUCGUCUCAGUAACACUAGUGAUGGCCAUGCAUCUUGUAGAUGUCUUCUAACGAAUCAAGCUUGACGUACAAGGUCAUGCCUUCCGCUCCUUGAGGAUAACCAUCUUUGGUGAUCUUGAAAUGGCAGACGGUGGAUGUGCCAAAGGUACGUGACGAUCCUUCUAAAUGUAUGCCACCACAACUUCCGUCUGAUCGCCAUGGGUGACACCAAGAAGAGCUACCAUGCGGCAAGGGACGAACAAUUUAUCAAUUAGUGCCGCUGUCCAUCGCCAUCAUCUAAUCCAGCCAUAUCUUGUUGUAUAUUUAAGUAUAGAAAUUAAGAUUUAAAAAUAAACAGAAUAAAUUGAGAUCGAUUAUGUAUGUAUAUCAGAACAUUAGCUUUUGGAAAAAGGGCUUCGAUGGAAGAGAGGCACGGGGCAUAGAGACAACAACGAGUGACAAUAUGUCAGAAGAAUACCCGAUCACAAUUAUUGGCACACACAGCCGAUAUUUACAGUAGUCAAUACCCCUGGUAAAUAACCACACCAUCAAGAGUAAAUAGUGACAAUAUGCAGUAUAUACACGACAUAGCCUUGGCUGCCGUGGAAGCACCAGAAGGGAGACAAAUAACAGGGACCACUACAUCAAGUAGAUAGUGACAAUAUGCAAAAGAAUACCCGCGCCUGUUAGCAUGUGUGAACUGACCACACCACGAAACGUGAUACACGGCAAGCGUACCAAGGCCUUGCUGUGCAGACUAUGCAUGGACAACACAUGGUACCUGACCGCUUUUGGCCUCAGACACAUCAAAAACUGCAUCGUUCCACGUUGUACAUCCAUUGCUAGUUUAUCUAUAUUACAUAAUAUAUUAUUAGCUAUUUGAAUAGAAUGAACCAAUUAAAAAAUUACGUUGUAUUUUAGUACCGGCUGCAGGAUGGUGUUACCAACCAGUACUAAUUGGCCUGUAGGAGUGAUGGUUAUUAGACUUGGUACUGUUGUUAGCAUCAUUAACCUAAUUGUGCGCCGUAUGAAUUUGGGGAUGCAAAGCUAGCUCUCUAUGAAUGUGAGGGAUGGAAAGCUAGUUCUCUAGUAGUAAUUAUAUAUAUGACAGUCAGGAAAUCGAACACUAUGCUGCUACGAGUCACCAUCAUUUCCUUCAUUGACAAUCUGACAUAGGUGAAGCUGCUUCAAUAAUUUCCUUCGCGCAGUCGUGGAGCUUAUUGGAUUAUCACCAGGACGGGACACGGAAAUGGCCAGCAAUGAAGCUGAUUGCCGUCUGAGGAAGACUACAUACUUACCUAUGAAAUGAAGCGAUUGCAUAGACUAAUGAAGCAUUGCAUAUUUGCAUGUGAGUGUGGCAGAUAAUUCUGCAGGACAUGAUUGCAAUCCACGCACCAUCGAGAAGACUGGGGCGAUGGGGUUGCCUCAUCAAUAAUCACGUGGAUGCAUGCAUGCAUGUUCCCUCAACCGGACAAGGGUCUGAUAUAUGGCUAUAGUAUUACUGAGCCCACAUCAAUAAUUUCCGCUGGUGUAUCGUGUGGGAAGAAUCAACAUACUACACCUCUGAGUUCUUGGAACUAACUGACGUUCACAUGCAACCUCCACAAGGUGCUGUAUGCUUUUGACAUUCACCUGCCAGUUCGUGUAGAGGACACCCUAACGUAUGGUUAAUAUUAUCCAUUUCAUGAGUAAAAUACUGUGAUUCAAAAAUACUUCAAAUCCCUUGAGACAAUACUUCUCACUUGACUAACCACUAACCAACCCCGAAACCCUAACUCAACUCCGAACCCUAACCCCUAACGGCAUAACCACUCCGUUUUGCCGGCGAGAUGGAGGAACUGGCUGGAAGGUAGAGAGGGCAGCGGUCCAGGGUUGAAAACGACGGGCGAGCGCAGUAACAUGUGGAGGAGGAAGUGCCACGUAUUCGUUCACCGCUAUUGGGCAGCGACACACGACACGCCCAAUAAGAUCUUCGCACGGUAGAAGGACGUCAUGUAUUCAAUAAUGUUAUUGGUCCCCCAUGUGCAGAAGGGCGCGCGCGUAUGGAAUAACAAGUAGGGACACUGCAACUAAUCUACUCUGCUCGUCCAGUCCCUAGCCUAUAAAUAGAUGCCAUGCUAGCUCUUGUUGUGCUCACAAUUAAUCCGAUUACACACGAGCUUCUCUCCCUGGCCAAGACACAACCAUAGUAUGAUGAAGAACAUGGCACUAGCCGGCAAUGGUAUGAAGAAGUUAAUCCUCGCUGUUCUCUUACUGUGUCUAGUUAUAGGGCAGAUACAAGUGGAAGCUAAGAGCUGCUGCCCAUCCACCACUGCAAGAAAUGUCUACAAUACCUGCCGUUUCACGGGUACAUCCCGUCCAACGUGUGCAAAACUGUCAGGCUGCAAAAUUAUCAGCGGGAACAAAUGCAAGCCCCCUAACGACCACCUCACCCUUGACCCGGACACUGGUAAAUAAUAAAUUUAUCUCACUUGAUUUCUUCGUGAUUUGAGUCGUUAAUGUAUUUUCCAUCUGAUGAAACGUAUUGGUUUUGCAUUGAAGAGGAAGUUAAUGUGCUUAACUUCUGCAAGUUGGGGUGUGCGUCGUCUGUGUGCAACAACAUCAACGCUGGUAAGCAACUUUUGCUCAGACAGAGAAAACAAUAAUCAUUAAUUAGCGGCAGCUAGAAUCCUAUAAUCUAAUAUAUAUAUAUAUAUAUAAUUUUAUCAGCUCUGGGAAAUGAAGAGGCGAACGAUGCCGUUGAGAGUUGCGACCAAGCCUGCUCUAGCUUCUGCAGCGUGCAUGUUGGCAGCGCCACCGUGGUUGCUUAAGCAAAUGCAUCCAACUAGAUCGUCCUUGUGCUGAAUAAUUGGAUAUCGUAUCCACUUAAAGCUGCCUUGUGUAGUACGUCUUUGUGUCUCUCUUUAUAUUCCAAUAAGGUCGGUGAUCUUGAUGCCACACACUCAGAUGUGUGUUCAUCUCCAGAUACUACUCCAUGCUACCUGCCCUUUGUGUUUUGUUCAAUAACUGGGUAUCAUAUCCCAGCCAGUAUGCCGUCUGUUUUGUGUUUGUUUCCUUCUAGUUCCAAAGGGGUCAUCAUGAUGUUACCUUCUUUCAAUAUGGUGCUUUGCAUGACUACUGUUGUAUGGUACCAUCUUGUGGCCAAUAAGUACAUCUUAUCCUAUGACCUUUGCUAUGACCCUUUGCAAAUAAGUAGAAGAUUGUUAUAAGCGUCAAUACUCCGUAUAAAUUGAUCGCUGCUGUGAGUUCCCUUUCAGCUUAUCGUAGGCAUACAUUAUUGCUAGCACGGUAAAGCCAACCAACACGAAUGAUGAAGUAAACGUAGCGGUACUUCUGUAUACCAACACCCUUACUUAAAUGUACCGGUGUCAUUCCCUACUGGCACAUAUAUUCUUAUAUGCUAGCCAGCUUGUAAAAUUAACCAAUUAAAAUAAUUAUUUCAAGAUAGAAAUAACUUAUCGGUUUCUGGAAGCAUGUGUAAUGUGAAUUCAAGGACUCGACGGAAGUUGAAUCACUUCAUCUAUAUUGCUUUCAGUAUUUUGGGUAACUAAAUUUAACAUUUGCACAUACAAAUGUUAAAGUACAAAUGUUAAAUCUAGUUACCCAAGCAGAAUAUGAAGAUAGUUUAUAGUAUAUAUAUACUAUAUAAAUCUAGUUAACAUUUAGUCUAAAUGUUAAAUCUAGUUACCUAAAAUCCUGAAAGCAAAAUGUAUAAAUAUAUAUCUUUUAAGGCAGUAUAAGCUUCGAUUCCUAUUGCUGCUCUGUUAAAUCUCAUCUUUCGUUGUGGCCCAACACUCUAGUAUGCAUGUUGCACCAAGCUUCUUUGAGCCGCUCUGCCCUCUGAUUUUGCUGCGUAGGGGAAUCUUUAUCAGGUUGGGCUACUUCCAGUUGUGCGAUGUAAAGAUUCGUAUUUUCUAGAAGGUAGACAAAAAACUCGCGUUCUCUUAAGGCAACAACCGGAAGAUUCUGCAGCGCACAGGGCAUACCAUUAUUGUAGAAACGACCUUUAGUACCGAUCUCCAACCCCCUUUAAAACUGGUUUUGCAACCGGUACCGUUAUGUCGGUCCUUUAGUACCAGAUCAAAUAAGUACCGGUUGGUAACCAGUAUCAACUUGUUUUGCGGCCAAAAAAAUAAAGAAAAAAACAGUCAGAAGGCUCGCGCACACGCGCAUCACAUGAAAUAUGCGUGUGCGGGGUCCAUGGGAUUCGAACCCAUGAAAUCAAGCUGCGCGCGACCCUUCGUUACCAUCUCACCUACAUAGCGCAUAUGCUUUCCUGAAGUAACCCGUGGAGGAGGCUUUAGUACCGGGUCAUAACACCACCCGGUACUAAAAAUGACUCUUCAGUACCGGGUCAUAACACCACCCGAUACUAGUAUCGGAUGGUGUAAUGACCCGAUACUAAAAGGCCUCUAGGGACCCUCAAAUUUGAACCCGGUACUAAUGCUAAUAUUAGUAGCGGGUCAAAGUGCAGCCAGAACUAAAGCAUGGGAUGAAAGGUCAUAUUUCUAGUAGUGUAUAGUUGUUGUGAAGGACUGACUUGGCUGUCCUCUCUCUUCUCCAUCCCCUUGGUCUUACGCCGCCGCUCGCACGCGAGCCGGUGCCCAACCAGAGGAGUGAGAGCUAGGGGCAGGUUGGGAGGUGGGGAUAGUGACUGGUGGCCAGGGUGAUGGUUGAUCCUGGUGGGGUUAGGGUUUUAGGGUUUUCGAGCUUCCUAUGGUCGGCGAACCUAGAGGAGGAGCUCAACAUCAGCUGCAACCCGCGAUGGUGGUGGUUUGGCCGGCGCCCGAGGCGAGGCAGCGCGGGAGUGCUGCCGGUGGGUUGGUGUUGGCACUCAUUAUUGACAACUAUUUUGUUCAUAAAAUAACACUCAAACUUGCUGCUGCUGCUGCUGCUGCCAUCGCCACCCUAGCCAUAAUAUAAAGGCAAAAUUUGCUAAAGGACAUGCAAAAUGAUGCUAGUUUGCUGGCGGGCAUCGUUGACCUUGUAAUAUGCUACAAGACACUCUAGUUGUGUAUCAAUUUGCUGAAAGACAUUGCUAUGACUAAAAUAAUGUUUCUGGACUGAGUUGGAGAGAGAGAUGGAGUGAAAUGUCUGUUUUGCCCAUGACCCCACUGGUCAGAUCCUUCUUCUUCCACCCUCCUUUGUUCUUUCUUCAACCAUUACCCAGCUCCAGCGUGUUGCAGAUCUACGAGGGUGGCGGCCUGGGGCGAGGGGCAUCGCUCGCCCUUGGAGGAGCGCUGCGAGCGACGGCGCGGGGGCGGCAACAGCGCGUCAGAACCUGACUGUUCGUUAGCUCCUCUCGCUGCUGGGGAAGGAGGGGGAUGGGCCAUGGACGGGGUUCCCUUGAAAACCUCAGCGUCGAGCUCGGGCGGCUACGCGCAGGCAGCACUAGGCUGCUUCACGGGGAGGGGGCGCGGCCAAUCAUUGGCACCCCACUGGUCCAAUGCUGAUGAAGAUGGUGCCAGCGUCGUGUGAGGACAUCUCAUCUCCUCGAGUUCCAUGGCCAGCACAGGUGAGCUGCCGCUACCACAAAACAGAGGUUUCGUGAGAGUCAAAAAACCUUAUGAAAAUAGCUAAAACCAUCAUGAAAAUAAUCCGUGACAUGACACUCUCACGAAAAUCCUCUCACAAAUAUGGUGCCAUGAAAAUACCAUUUUCAUGAGAGUGAACUGUCAUGAUUUUAUUUCGUGAGAGUAUUUCCUAUCAAUGACCUCCACGAAAUACUUUGUGCCACCAGGUCUUCAAGAUCAUUUUCAUGAGAGCUGAACAUCAGGAAAAGUCCGCCACAAAUGUUUUUCUUGGAGCCCCUAACUCUCAUGAAAAUCAUGCGGGCCGCCACGAAAAACAGCAUGACCAAAUGACAAAUUUCAUUUUCAUGUGUUCAUACCGCCAUGAAAAUGGUCAUUUUCAUGAGAGUUGAUGAAACAAAAAAUAGUGCCAUUUUCAUGAGAGUUCAAGCAACCAGGAAAAGACACUAAUAAACAUCCAGAUCCCAUCCAGCACACAUCCAUGCACAUAUAUAACCCACAUAUUGCUCCAGCACACAUCCAUGCAUAUACAAGAUCCAAAUGUUAAUAUAGUAGACAUCCAUGCCUGAACUAGUCUGCCACACAAGUCAUUGAUGCUACAAAUCCUACAAUCGCAGCAUGUGCAUACAAGUCACAGAAUGAGACAAUGUACCCAAAACUAAAAGGUUAGCAUCAACUGUGCUUCAACCAAAGUUGUCAUCCCAACUCUCCUCUUCAUCCAUGCCAUUCUUGUCGUGGCCGUCACUGUCAGUCCCCAUGGCAUUGCCAAUGCUGUGCAUGUCUUGGUAGGAACCUACAUGUGAUGAACUAGUAACCUGCAAAAAGAGCUCAAAGGAUCUUGUUCUCAUAUUGUAGCUGUGAAAUUCUUACAAGUAGUGUUGCAAUCAGUUCACUUUGAACCAAAAGAGCUCAAAGGAUCUUGUCCUAAAAGUUCCUCAUAAAGCUUAUGGGUUUGCUGGUGGAACUGGAAGGGCUUGAUGCAGCAGAUGCCAUUCUGCAAUAGAGAAAAAUUUAGAGAGCAGUACUAGUUAAAAUUGGAUGCAGAAGAUACACAUGAAACUAGUAUUUAUACAAGUCUAUACAAUUAAAAUCUAAGGAGACUUAUCAUCGUUUUCAUGUGUUGUGAAUUAAAAUAAUGAAGGAUACACUGUUAGGUGAAAAUUCAAGAAACAAAAUUUUGCAUAGAGAUAAAGGUCCAACAUUAUUACAAGUUAAGGUAGUUUUAAAUAUCCUUGUAAUCUUCCUUUGGUUUCCUCAACGAUUCGAAGACAAUAACCUUGCUUCUAUCAAUGAUAAUUAUAAGGAGAAUCCAGUGGAAACUGUGUAUUCGUAUUAGAACUACCUAAGGUUAAUUAGGUUAGGAAAGGAAAUUGAAAAUAGAUGGUACCCACACUUACUUAAAGUUGUCGGGCAAUAGUAUGUAAUGCUUGUAAUUCCGUUGCUCCAAGAAUUUGUAUAUGUGGUCCAAUGUAGACUUUGGUUGAUCCCGUAUCUGCUGUUGGUUAAAUAAGUGUUUCUAGCCAUUUCUAGCCAUUAGAACCGGGACUAAAGGGGGCUCUUUAGUACGGGUUGAUAUUACUAACCGGGAUUAAAGAGCCCCCAUUAGAGUUGGUUUUUGGAUGCGGAACUAACAACUCCUUUAGUCCUGAGUACGAAAACAACUGACAUAUUUGUUGCUGGAUGGAAGGUCCUUUCUCUACCGUGAAUAUUGCCAGAAAGAAUUGAAAGAGACUGCUUGCUAAAAAUAUGUCAUAGAUGUAGACCAAGCUACCAAGGAGGUAGACCAAACAUGAUACACACCAUGCGUACCUUGCUGUGCAGACUAUGCAUUGACAAGAUACCCGACCACAUGUUGGCCUCGGUCACAUCAAAAGAAUCAUGUAGGCCACCAAUAAACUACUUGAAGCGGCAUUCCGUAUCGUAUAUGCAUUGCCGGUUCAUCUGCAUUACAUUACAUAAAGCACUAUUAACUAUUUGAAUAAAAUGAACCAAUUUAAAAGUAAUGUGUUGUACUCUACUAUAGAAAGCCCUAUCACUGCCGGAUCCAAAAACAUCAUUGUUAAUGGUGGUUAAGUACCAAAUAUGACGGUCAAUAUUCUCAAGAAUAAUGGAGAAUUAGCAUUUCUUAGACACAUAUUUGGUUUUGAACAAUGUAGUUCCACAUGUCUUUGGAGAUUAUUUGGGUGUGGGUGAAAUAAUACAAAAAUAAGGAGAAAACACACUCCCAUGGCGAAGAAACACAACUCCAACCAAUGAGAGAUAGCCACAGGGGCAGCACACGGAUCCAUGGGCCCACUAACCGCAUCAAACCAUCUUACCAAGGCAGGUAGCACCCACAACCGUCAUUAGGACCCACCUGGAAGUCUACCAAGAAGAAGGUUGCGAGUGGGGCCAGGAGGGGUUCGGUUGAAUCAUCUCUAGCUAGCUCCCCUCAUCCCCAGCUGGUGGGUGGUGGUGGUUGAUGGUGUCCCUACAUCAGUUAGAGGAGAUUCCCCCAAAUAUUCCUCCUGUAAACCACCUCUAUGGACCUAUACAUAGAGGGGUGUGCUCUCCAUUCCAACACACACCACAAGUUGAAUCACUCUCUCCCUCUUUAGUUUCCAAGUUUAUGGAGUUAGGCUAGAGUAGCUCUGCUCAAGGUUCCAAGUCCACUUGGAGUUAAGCAUAUGUCUCUUGUAUCGUUAUUUCCUAAAUUGACUUUAUGCUUAGUUCUUAUAUGCAUGAGUUAGUCUAAUACCCUUGCUAUAUUGAUAUGCUCGGCUUAUAUGCUCGUAUGCUAGUCAUAUACCCUUGCUGUCGUAGUAUAGGCUUAUAUGCUCUCAUGUGUGCCUGUAGACCUUGCUAUAGUAUAUACUUGUUGUGCAUACAUACCAUGUAUAGGCUAGUCGAUCUAUACCAUGGCAUUGGUUCAAUAGCCAUGUUUUUGGUGGCUCCAACCCUAGUCACAAUAGCUCGGGACAGCUGGAGUGUUGUUAAAAAUGCAAGAGUGGUGCUUGGGUUGUUUAGCAUCGUUGGAUAUGGGUUUGCCCCACGGGUUUCUAACGGUAGGCGGCAGCUAGUGACAUCCCUGUCCGUCCUUCGUAAUCCCCCCACAUUCAGGUACGCCAUAAAUGUUCGUAAAUUAGCAGUAACUACGCCGGUACACCUGUAGGGUAUUGUCUCCCUGUAGUACCUUGGUGCAUAGAACUAAGUCCUAUACACUGUGUGUGUAUGUUUACGCUGAUAUGAUCUGUGCAGUAUAUAGGAUGUAUAUAUGAACCUAGAGCUAACUCCUAGUCCGUUCUCCAUAGCUUAGUUAUCUUGAGAUGAUUCUUCUGUAUGUGUAACACUACCCAUCUUAUCAUUAUCCUUGAUCCUGUCUUGUGUAAUAUAUCUACUCAUCCUAUGAUAUACUCAUAUGCAUAGUAAACUAUUUUGACCUACCCGCCUUCCUUUGGGAAAUAUGAUACCUUGGAAUAAUCCUAGGUGAAAUCCUACAACGGUAUAUCCAUGUAAAUGCGGAUUUAUUCAUGACCAUUAAAUAUACCAACAAUCAUCACUGUGAGUUUUGGGCGUCGUUAGUGAAGGGUUGGUAGUGAUGGGCAUCCCCUUCACCAAUGGACCUGGAACCGGCGGUGAUGGCUAUUAUAAAAAAGGGGACACCACCCAGCGUACCCCACGACCCGGCCGGCCGCACCUCCCAUCAUCCCCGCCAGCCGCCCUUCCUUUUCGCCGGCCGAGCAUGGUCCCGGCCUUUGUCCCUACCACCUCGCCUCCACCGCGACCCCCCGCCGAUGCCCUCGUGCCUGGCCCCCCUCAUCUUGCCGGCCACCCUCCCGAUGCGUCCACUGGGGCCCUCGCACCACCAACCGCCCUUGCUUAGAGAGGGAGAGAGAGGAGGGAGGUGAGGCCACGCACCUCGUCCUACACCGCCGCUGUUUCUCCUCGGCCCACCGCGCCUCACCCCACACCACAGCCGCGCCUUGCCAUCUUACCGGCUGUGACGCCUCAUCUCACCGGCCACCGUUCCUCACCCCCACUUCGGUCGUCGCCGCUCCUUGCCCUACCGCUGCUCUUUGCCGCUGCGAAUGAGCGCCGAGUGGAGGAGGAGGGAUGGGGCAGGAGGAGGGCAAGAUCCGGGAGGAAGGGAGAGAUCUCGGGAGGUGGAGAUGGAAGGAUAUGGCGGAAGGGAGAGAUCCAGAGGGAGAGAGCAGGGGAGAGAGGGGGGCGUGUGGGGAGAGAGCGCGUGUGGGGUGGGGCCGGGCUGGUGGGAUGGAAGGGAGAGGGGCUAGACGGGCGCAGUGCAUUCAACUGGAUGAAGUAAAUAUUUUGGAUUCGAGACCCCAGCUUUAUUAUCACCGCUGGUCCGUAGUACCAUCCGGUGCCUGCUCGUAAUUUAAUUUGAAUCUGCGGUGAUGUUUUAUUAUCACCAUCGGAUCAUAUAAAAAUCCGGCGGUUAAAAAUCCGCUGGUUUCGAUGAAAACCGACGGUGAUAGGAUGACUGUGAUAGUCUCUUCUCUAGUAGUGGUAUAUUAGUACCGGCUGCCGGAUGGUGUUGCCGACCAGUACUUCUCCGGGGGCGAUUCAGUACUGCUGUUAGCAAAGCUUGUUCUCUAUGAAUUUGGGGAUGGAAAGCUAGUUCUCUAGUUGUGAUUUGUUACAUAUAUAUCUAUGAUAGUCUAGAAAUUGCAUGUCCUUCGUUGACAUAGUUGAAGCUGCUUCAAGAAUUUACUUCGUGCAGUCGUGCAGCAUAUUGGAUUAUCACCUAGACAGGAUACAUAGGUGAAGCAUUGGAUGUGAUUGUGGCCGAUAAUUAUGCAGGACGCUGUUGCAAUCAACCACCAAGAAGUCUGGAGUGAUGGGGUUGCCUCAUCAAUAAUUUUUAUAUAUGGCUGCAGUAUUAUUAAGCCCACGUCAAUAAUUUUUUGUCCGCACCAUAUAUCGAUGGGGUUGCCUCAUCAAUAAUUCGCGCAACCAGACAAGCUGCAGACUCAAUAUGGUACGAAGCUAGUUGCUCAGCCCACAUGCUCUGAUAUAACAUUGACAUCUGCUGAUCUACAGUAUAUAUGACCAGAAAUAUUGUGCCCACCUCAAUAACUUUCUGAAGUAUCGUGGGGAAGAACCUACGCGUACUAUGCCUCGGAACUAACUGACAUAUCGGCCCAGGCGGUCUAGGCCGAUUGGACUGGCUCUUCCUUGUGGCUUCUCACAUCCCCUUCGUCCCCAAGUAAUUUCAGGUGUUCUGUAGUUUUCUUUUCACUUGCAUCUGAGCCUCCUAUAUCAAUAGCUUCGGGAUAAGAAUGCCUCUUGAUAACCUUCCAAAUCCUCGCUUGAUUCACAUUGAUUCCGAAAUCAUCUUGCCAUAUCUUCAGAGACUUAGGUCCUAAGGCAUCAUGGAGGAUUGCUCGCCAAGAAUGAGCACCAUUGGGCUCCUGAGGACCCUAGGCCGAUCAGCCCGGGCUCUAUAGGUCGAUUGGCCCAGGCCCUCUCUGGGCCUGUUGGCCUUCAUCUUUCUUUGAGUCGACGCUUAUUCAGGGCUUUGUCCAAUUAUAGUCCAUUAUAGUCUAAUUUCCUAAAAAACAGAAUGUCCUCCAAAAUACAAUGCAUAUGUGAAAACAACCCAAUUAUUAGGUAUGAUCAAUAGUUUAGGUAUUAAAUUAAUAUUAUUAUUUAAGAUAAACAGGGGUAAAGGGUGUCAUUAAUAACAAGCGCCAACAAGCGUCCUAGCUGUUCAAUAAAUUUUUUCUAGUACCGAUUGGUAACACUAACCGGUGCUAAUAUGUACCCUUUAUUACCGGUUAUUUUACCAGGUACUAAAGGAGACAAGAGCAUCCUAACAUAAGGUUAAUAUCAUCCAUUUCAUGAGUAAAAUACUAUGAUUCAAAAAUAAUUCAAAUCCCUUAAGACAAUACCUAUCAAAUGAGUAAAUUGUAAAUAGAGUAAUCUUGAUCAAACAAUGUCCUAAUGAAACGGAACACUUCUGGUUCGUGUAGAGCACAAUAUAGAAAACAGUAGGGUAGCUGUAUGAUUGACACGUGGUCCAUUAAUUAUUGAGCCAACACUAUGGACAUGUCUUCAUGAGUAGUGUACUAGUCAUAAUACAUGGUAUGCAGUAGGUGGAGGUAUUGACUUAGCCAUGCUAUGAGCACUUAGUUACAACAAACACUUUGCCAUUAUCGAGCAUCCCAAAUCACUACAAAAUCCAUAGUUUACCAUAUACUACAAAAUCUGAGUUAAAAUAAGAGCAUACACGGAAGAGUCCGAAUGCACGGCACAUUGAAUUACUAGACAAAAUUUAUGGGACAAGGUUUUGGGUAACCGCAUGAAAAAUAUUGGAUUUUACUGAACACUUAGUUACAAUUACCAUGCCCGUGAGCACUUAGUCACCACAAACAUUUAACCACUUUAGAUCAUCCUGAAUCCCUAUAAAUUCUAUACCUUACACCGUACCAUGAAAACGACAAGAACAGAGACAGAUGCGGUGAAAAUCUCCAGAGCAAGCCUGAAAUUAAAAUAAGAGGAGGCAGUCACUAUCGACAGGACACGGAGAUUGCUAGCCAUGACAGAGGAAGACAUGAUAUGAUAUUCACCUCUGAAAUGCAGCGUAGACUAAAUGAAGCACAAUUGCAAGUGAGUGUGGCAGAUAAUGGACCAUCGAGACCAUCGAAUGGUAUGAAGCAUGAUUAUCACCUAGACAUGAUAUCCUAGACAGGACGGUGAAUUGUAAAAAGAGUAAUCUUGAUCAAAGAAUGUCCUAAUGAAACGGAACAUUUUUGGUACGUGUAGAGCAAAAUAUAGAAAACAGUAGAGUAGUUGUACGAUUGAAACUGCAUCCAUCGACGUGGUGCAUGAAUUGUUGAGCCAACACUGUGGACAUGUCUUCAUGAACACCAUCUAGUGAGGACAGCAUGCAGAAAAAUAUAAAAACAUGUCAUAGGGAGGCAGACCAAUCUUGCGAGGUAGACGAAACGUGAUACACGAUCUGCCUACCUUGUCGUGUGGAUACCCCAAGUGAAGAUGUCAUAGAGGUGCAGACCAAGCUAGCAAGGAGGUAGAUGAAACGUGAUACACGGCCUGCCUACCUUGCCGUGGAUAUUAGUCCUGAUAUCAUUCUAUUGUUCAAGGAAUAACACUCAAUGCUGCUGCUGCUGCUGACCUGGCUCCAUAAAGUUAUAUUCCUCUAGCCGCUUGCACUAACUUUAUCUGAAGUAUUAUUCUCUCUGCACUGUAUAUAUGGUUACGGAGUUUGCUGGAGUAUCCGGGGGGAAGAACCUACAUAAUAUGUCUUGGAACUAACUGACAUUGAUUCACAGACAAGGUGCUGUUGUUGACAUGGUACAGUAAAUAAUAUAGUUUACCAUAUACCGUAUACCAUUAUAUGUUAGCUAAAAUAAGAGCAUAACAUGUCGCAGGAGUCCAAAAGCACCGGUUGAGGACCAGGUACAUUAAAUUACUAGAAAACAAAAGGGGACAAGGUUUAGGUAGCCACAUGAAAAACAUUUGAAUUUACUGUACCAUGAACACUUAGUUACCAUGCCGGGAGCACCUAGUUAACACUAACAUUUAGCCACUUUAGAUCAUCCCGAAACACCAAUGACCCUCAAUAGCGACAAAUUUUGGUUUAAAUGCCGUCACCAAUGAUCCUCAAUAGUGACGUGUUUAGGUUUAAAUCCCAUCACUAAUAACCCUUGGUAGUGACGUGUUUUGGUUUAAAUCUCAUCACCACUGAUCCUCACUAGUGACGUGUUUUUAGCAACACACGUUAUGAAUGACUUGUCAUUGGUGACAUGUUAAACGCGUUAUCUCAAUGGCAAAUCAAUGGUGACGUGUUUAAAAAAACAUGUCACUGUGAGAGUUAUUGGUGAAGGGUAAUUAAAAUGCAUCACUAAUUUUGUAGCAUUAGUUAUGAUAUAAUUUUGUAACGCAAAAAUCUACCAUAGUAAUGAGGUUUAGAGCCAUCACUAAUGUGGGUUUCUUAUCGUAGUGAUGCAAGCUCUACAAGGUGCUGUUGUUGCCAUUUUAAAGCAUCCCAAAUGACUACAAGAGUCCGGUUGAGGACUAAACAAAUUGAAUUACUAGAACCAAAUGUAUGUCCAGAACAAAGAAAGGGGUCAAGGUUUGGGUAACCGCAUUAAAAACAUUGAAUUUUACUGUACCAUGAACACUUAGUUACCAUUACCAUGCCUUGAGCACCUAGUUACCACAAACAUUAAUUUAGCCACUUUAGAGGUUCCACAAUCACUAUAAAUAAUAUACCAACACCGUACCAUGAAAACAUCAAGAAGAGAGACGGGUACAUGGACCACCAUCAAGUGAGUAGUGACAGCACGCACAAGAAUACCCGGAACCUUUUAGCUUGUCUGUAGUGAUCUGUUUUCUUCGCCACAAAUAAUGAAAGAGGCUGACCAAGCUAGCAACGAGGUAGAGCAAACGUGAUACACGUAGGUUUCAUUCAAGACAUCCAUGUAAGAUUCAUUCAAAACAUUCAUGGAAAUUUCUUGUAAGUUUUCAUGUAAAUUUCAUUCAAGACAUUUGUUAGAGGUGUUGUAUAUACACUUAACGUACAUAUAUCUAUGAUUUCAUGGUUGUUAGUGAUGGCAGAUGAGGAGCAUGCAAGGUGUUUAAUGGAGCAGAUUAUUGCUAGUGGUAGUGGCUCCAACCUGCCCGUAACGUACACCGACGAAGAGGGCAGCCAGGCGGACAUGUUCCUCAACAUGUCCGGUGAUGGCAAUGAAGAGCCCGAGCAAAACCUUGCCGUGACGGAAGGUUCCAUCGAGGUAUAUAUCAUUUCCAUUAUUUUACCCCAUCUAUAAUUUCAUAUUCAUUAUUACUAUGUGCUAAUUAAUGAAUCUUGAACCGUUAGUCCUCUAGAUCAACGAACCGAAAUAAGCCCCGAGGUCUUACAAAGAUAAUGCAGGGAAGGCUUCACAUCAUGGAAGUCACAGAAGAGGGCACAUCGGUUGCUCCCGAACAUGUGGCAAGAAAGUACGUGAGUCAAACCGGGGCAAUCGUAAGGGACAACAUGCCCAUCAGCAUCAGGGAAUGAAAGAGCAAUAGAAAUGAUCUAUACGCACCCCCGGAUACACAAAAGGAUAUGUUGUGGGCAAAUAUCAAGAAACACUUCACAUUUCCCAAAGGAUAUGUUGAAAAAUAUGUGAAAGCGUGGAUGUUGAAGAAGAUGGCCACCCAAUUCCAGACAUUCAAGAAGAUGUUGGAUGCCAACUUCAUCAAGAAGGGUCGAACUCCGGGUUUCAAUGAGUGGCCAAAGUUAAGGGACCACUGGGAGUCGUUUGUCGAAUACAAGACGAGCGAAGGUGGUGCGAGUAAGGUUCACAUCAAUGUUGCCAAUGCUAGCAAGGAGUACCAUCAUCAUCUAGGGCGACGUGGUUACAGCUCUGCAAUUCCCAGAUGGCGCAAGAUGGAACAAGACCUGAUCGAUCGGGGUAUCGUACCAGCAACUCUUGACUGGAUCGAUUGAAAAAUUGGUAUUAUGCUCAUGAAGGCAAUCUGAGCCAAGAGGAUCCGACAUUGGUCUUCAAUAAAACAAUACGUCAGAAGGUCGGAAGGCUUAUUAGGAACAUUGAAGAUGCUAAAGCUGGGAGGUUCAAGGUGGAUAGAGAGAAUGAUGAACUCACAUUGGCCCUCGGGACUGUCAUCUCUAGCACUUCCAGCUCCAGGACUAUCGUCACCACCGGGACCGUCGCUUCCUGCUCGAUCACAGUCUCCAUCUCCAGCACAUCCUGGUGGUGCGAGCGACGACGACAACAACACCCCUCCCUGCCCACCAUUGCCGGGACUAAGACCCGCAUUGAGUAAGGAACCUGCAACACCACUGAAGAAGUCGCGACCACCACCUUCAAGGCAAGUCAGCAAAAGAAGAAAGCAGAGAAGCCUAAACCCACUGAGAAGCCAGCGACUGAUAUGACCGAUGCGGAAAGAUGGAAGGCACUCAAAGAAGAAUGCAGGGAGUGGUUCAGCGAAGGCGAAGGUGAGAAAGUCGUAUGAAUCGAAUUCAAGGAUAUAUAUGAAGUGAACCAUCAGGAUGCCCUUGAUGUCUCUCUCAUCAGCGCCUAGGUUCUGUAAGUGUAUGUUUAUCUAUAAGUAAAUUUUGGCUCAUAUCAUUAUUUUUUUUGCGUGCGUCACCCUACUAACUUCGUCUUCCAUUUUAUGUAGGAUGCUAAUUCAGACGUGCCGCAUAGAAGCGUACUUCCAUGUUGGAUUCAUGGAUCCAUCCCUAGUUAACCAAAAGCCGAUACGGAAGUAGCUAGAGAAAACGUUGGAGGUGGUGUACAACCUCCUGGACAAACUAAACUACAGAAUAGGGGCAAUAUGUGAGGGUCUUGUAGGAUUCCUAGUGGACGAGGUGAUAAAUCCAUAAGGAGAAUAUCAUUCCAACGGACGAGCAUUAGACACACUGAGCAACACCUAGAUGGGAGGAUCCUAGGAAUGACCUCGACAGAUUUUGGUAUAAAUAGUAAUUGUGUAAAUACUAGUUUGAUUUGUAUAGGAAUAUACUAAGAAUUGUAUAUAUAGUAAUUGUACAAAUACUAGUUUGAUUUGUAUGAAUACUAGAUUGAUUUUAUUAUAAAAAAGUUUUAAGUCGUACGUGCAUGCGCCUACAAAGGCGCGGAUGCCUUUUAAUCCCAGUCGGAAAAACAAACUGGUACUAAAGGGGCUCGUGCCGCACCUGGCAUGACCACCCCUUUAGUCCCGGUUGAACGACCCAGGACUAAAGAUCUCCGCGUCUCAAAAAUUUUAUCUCGGAUGCUUUUUAGAGAGAUUUGAGGCCUAUCAACCAAGACUAAUAUCGAGUUUUCUACCAGUGAAACUAACUAACGUUCACAUGGUUUUGACAUUCACCUGCCAUUUGGUGUAGACAAGGGCACCCUAACAUAUGGUUAAUAUUAUUCUUGAAAGAAAAUCCUUUGAUUCAAAAUACUUCAAACCUAAUAAUACAAUACUUCUCACAUCUGAAAAAUAUGAGACGGCCCGACAGUAUUCUAAUCGACGCAAUAAUAUUUUGAGGGCAGCACUACUACAGCGACCCUCAUUCGUGCCGGUGCUGGGACUCCUAUCACGACCCUGAUACAAAUGAGGGUACAUUAUUGGUGCCAGUGCUAGAACAGCCACGAAUAACUUGCUAAACGUGCUGUUACACUCACUACAGGGACCAAGAAGGUAGAUAAAUUACACGACAUAGCCUUGGUUGCCGUGGAAGCGCCAAGAAGGGAGACAAAUUACAGGGACCACACCAUCAAGUAGAUAGUGACAAUAUGCAAAAGAAUACCCGCGCCUGUUAGCAUGUGAACUGACCACACCACGAAACGUGAUACACGGCAAGCGUACCAAGGCCUUGCUGUGCAGACUAUGCAUGGACAACACAUGGUACCUGACCGCUUUUGGCCUCAGACACAUCGAAAAACUGCAUCGUUCCACGUUGUACAUCCAUUGCUAGUUUAUCUAUAUUACAUAAUAUAUUAUUAGCUAUUUGAAUAGAAUGAACCAAUUAAAAAAUUGCGUUGUAUUUUUAGUACCGGCUGCAGGAUGGUGUUACCAACCAGUACUAAUUGGCCUGUAGGAGUGAUGGUUAUUAGACUUGGUACUGUUGUUAGCAUCAUUAACCUAAUUGUGCGCCGUAUGAAUUUGGGGAUGCAAAGCUAGCUCUCUAUGAAUGUGAGGGAUGGAAAGCUAGUUCUCUAGUAGUAAUUAUAUAUAUGACAGUCAAGAAAUCGAACACUAUGCUGCUACGAGUCACCAUCAUUUCCUUCAUUGACAAUCUGACAUAGGUGAAGCUGCUUCAAUAAUUUCCUUCGCGCAGUCGUGGAGCUUAUUGGAUUAUCACCAGGACGGGACACGGAAAUGGCCAGCAAUGAAGCUGAUUGCCGUCUGAGGAAGACUACAUACUUACCUAUGAAAUGAAGCGAUUGCAUAGACUAAUGAAGCAUUGCAUAUUUGCAUGUGAGUGUGGCAGAUAAUUCUGCAGGACAUGAUUGCAAUCCACGCACCAUCGAGAAGACUGGGGCGAUGGGGUUGCCUCAUCAAUAAUCACGUGGAUGCAUGCAUGCAUGUUCCCGCAACCGGACAAGGGUCUGAUAUAUGGCUAUAGUAUUACUGAGCCCACAUCAAUAAUUUCCACUGGUGUAUCGUGUGGGAAGAAUCAACAUACUACACCUCGAGUUCUUGGAACUAACUGACGUUCACAUGCAACCUCCACAAGGUGCUGUAUGCUUUUGACAUUCACCUGCCAGUUCGUGUAGAGAAGGACACCCUAACGUAUAGUUAAUAUUAUCCAUUUCAUGAGUAAAAUACUGUGAUUCAAAAAUACUUCAAAUCCCUUGAGACAAUACUUCUCACUUGACUAACCACUAACCAACCCCGAAACCCUAACUCAACUCCGAACCCUAACCCCUAACGGCAUAACCACUCCGUUUUGCCGGCGAGAUGGAGGAACUGGCUGGAAGGUAGAGAGGGCAGCGGUCCAGGGUUGAAAACGACGGGCGAGCGCAGUAACAUGUGGAGGAGGAAGUGCCACGUAUUCGUUCACCGCUAUUGGGCAGCGACACACGACACGCCCAAUAAGAUCUUCGCACGGUAGAAGGACGUCAUGUAUUCAAUAAUGUUAUUGGUCCCCCAUGUGCAGAAGGGCGCGCGCGUAUGGAAUAACAAGUAGGGACACUGCAACUAAUCUACUCUGCUCGUCCAGUCCCUAGCCUAUAAAUAGAUGCCAUGCUAGCUCUUGUUGUGCUCACAAUUAAUCCGAUUACACACGAGCUUCUCUCCCUGGCCAAGACACAACCAUAGUAUGAUGAAGAACAUGGCACUAGCCGGCAAUGGUAUGAAGAAGUUAAUCCUCGCUGUUCUCUUACUGUGUCUAGUUAUAGGGCAGAUACAAGUGGAAGCUAAGAGCUGCUGCCCAUCCACCACUGCAAGAAAUGUCUACAAUACCUGCCGUUUCACGGGUACAUCCCGUCCAACGUGUGCAAAACUGUCAGGCUGCAAAAUUAUCAGCGGGAACAAAUGCAAGCCCCCUAACGACCACCUCACCCUUGACCCGGACACUGGUAAAUAAUAAAUUUAUCUCACUUGAUUUCUUCGUGAUUUGAGUCGUUAAUGUAUUUUCCAUCUGAUGAAACGUAUUGGUUUUGCAUUGAAGAGGAAGUUAAUGUGCUUAACUUCUGCAAGUUGGGGUGUGCGUCGUCUGUGUGCAACAACAUCAACGCUGGUAAGCAACUUUUGCUCAGACAGAGAAAACAAUAAUCAUUAAUUAGCGGCAGCUAGAAUCCUAUAAUCUAAUAUAUAUAUAUAUAUAUAAUUUUAUCAGCUCUGGGAAAUGAAGAGGCGAACGAUGCCGUUGAGAGUUGCGACCAAGCCUGCUCUAGCUUCUGCAGCGUGCAUGUUGGCAGCGCCACCGUGGUUGCUUAAGCAAAUGCAUCCAACUAGAUCGUCCUUGUGCUGAAUAAUUGGAUAUCGUAUCCACUUAAAGCUGCCUUGUGUAGUACGUCUUUGUGUCUCUCUUUAUAUUCCAAUAAGGUCGGUGAUCUUGAUGCCACACACUCAGAUGUGUGUUCAUCUCCAGAUACUACUCCAUGCUACCUGCCCUUUGUGUUUUGUUCAAUAACUGGGUAUCAUAUCCCAGCCAGUAUGCCGUCUGUUUUGUGUUUGUUUCCUUCUAGUUCCAAAGGGGUCAUCAUGAUGUUACCUUCUUUCAAUAUGGUGCUUUGCAUGACUACUGUUGUAUGGUACCAUCUUGUGGCCAAUAAGUACAUCUUAUCCUAUGACCUUUGCUAUGACCCUUUGCAAAUAAGUAGAAGAUUGUUAUAAGCGUCAAUACUCCGUAUAAAUUGAUCGCUGCUGUGAGUUCCCUUUCAGCUUAUCGUAGGCAUACAUUAUUGCUAGCACGGUAAAGCCAACCAACACGAAUGAUGAAGUAAACGUAGCGGUACUUCUGUAUACCAACACCCUUACUUAAAUGUACCGGUGUCAUUCCCUACUGGCACAUAUAUUCUUAUAUGCUAGCCAGCUUGUAAAAUUAACCAAUUAAAAUAAUUAUUUCAAGAUAGAAAUAACUUAUCGGUUUCUGGAAGCAUGUGUAAUGUGAAUUCAAGGACUCGACGGAAGUUGAAUCACUUCAUCUAUAUUGCUUUCAGUAUUUUGGGUAACUAAAUUUAACAUUUGCACAUACAAAUGUUAAAGUACAAAUGUUAAAUCUAGUUACCCAAGCAGAAUAUGAAGAUAGUUUAUAGUAUAUAUAUACUAUAUAAAUCUAGUUAACAUUUAGUCUAAAUGUUAAAUCUAGUUACCUAAAAUCCUGAAAGCAAAAUGUAUAAAUAUAUAUCUUUUAAGGCAGUAUAAGCUUCGAUUCCUAUUGCUGCUCUGUUAAAUCUCAUCUUUCGUUGUGGCCCAACACUCUAGUAUGCAUGUUGCACCAAGCUUCUUUGAGCCGCUCUGCCCUCUGAUUUUGCUGCGUAGGGGAAUCUUUAUCAGGUUGGGCUACUUCCAGUUGUGCGAUGUAAAGAUUCGUAUUUUCUAGAAGGUAGACAAAAAACUCGCGUUCUCUUAAGGCAACAACCGGAAGAUUCUGCAGCGCACAGGGCAUACCAUUAUUGUAGAAACGACCUUUAGUACCGAUCUCCAACCCCCUUUAAAACUGGUUUUGCAACCGGUACCGUUAUGUCGGUCCUUUAGUACCAGAUCAAAUAAGUACCGGUUGGUAACCAGUAUCAACUUGUUUUGCGGCCAAAAAAAUAAAGAAAAAAACAGUCAGAAGGCUCGCACACACGCGCAUCACAUGAAAUAUGCGUGUGCGGGGUCCAUGGGAUUCGAACCCAUGAAAUCAAGCUGCACGCGACCCUUCGUUACCAUCUCACCUACAUAGCGCAUAUGCUUUCCUGAAGUAACCCGUGGAGGAGGCUUUAGUACCGGGUCAUAACACCACCCGGUACUAAAAAUGACUCUUCAGUACCGGGUCAUAACACCACCUGAUACUAGUAUCGGAUGGUGUAAUGACCCGAUACUAAAAGGCCUCUAGGGACCCUCAAAUUUGAACCCGGUACUAAUGCUAAUAUUAGUAGCGGGUCAAAGUGCAGCCAGAACUAAAGCAUGGGAUGAAAGGUCAUAUUUCUAGUAGUGUAUAGUUGUUGUGAAGGACUGACUUGGCUGUCCUCUCUCUUCUCCAUCCCCUUGGUCUUACGCCGCCGCUCGCACGCGAGCCGGUGCCCAACCAGAGGAGUGAGAGCUAGGGGCAGGUUGGGAGGUGGGGAUAGUGACUGGUGGCCAGGGUGAUGGUUGAUCCUGGUGGGGUUAGGGUUUCAGGGUUUUCGAGCUUCCUAUGGUCGGCGAACCUAGAGGAGAAGCUCAACAUCAGCUGCAACCCGCGAUGGUGGUGGUUUGGCCGGCGCCCGAGGCGAGGCAGCGCGGGAGUGCUGCCGGUGGGUUGGUGUUGGCACUCAUUAUUGACAACUAUUUUGUUCAUAAAAUAACACUCAAACUUGCUGCUGCUGCUGCUGCCAUCGCCACCCUAGCCAUAAUAUAAAGGCAAAAUUUGCUAAAGGACAUGCAAAAUGAUGCUAGUUUGCUGGCGGGCAUCGUUGACCUUGUAAUAUGCUACAAGACACUCUAGUUGUGUAUCAAUUUGCUGAAAGACAUUGCUAUGACUAAAAUAAUGUUUCUGGACUGAGUUGGAGAGAGAGAUGGAGUGAAAUGUCUGUUUUGCCCAUGACCCCACUGGUCAGAUCCUUCUUCUUCCACCCUCCUUUGUUCUUUCUUCAACCAUUACCCAGCUCCAGCGUGUUGCAGAUCUACGAGGGUGGCGGCCUGGGGCGAGGGGCAUCGCUCGCCCUUGGAGGAGCGCUGCGAGCGACGGCGCGGGGGCGGCAACAGCGCGUCAGAACCUGACUGUUCGUUAGCUCCUCUCGCUGCUGGGGAAGAAGGAGGGGGAUGGGCCAUGGACGGGGUUCCCUUGAAAACCUCAGCGUCGAGCUCGGGCGGCUACGCGCAGGCAGCACUAGGCUGCUUCACGGGGAGGGGGCGCGGCCAAUCAUUGGCACCCCACUGGUCCAAUGCUGAUGAAGAUGGUGCCAGCGUCGUGUGAGGACAUCUCAUCUCCUCGAGUUCCAUGGCCAGCACAGGUGAGCUGCCGCUACCACAAAACAGAGGUUUCGUGAGAGUCAAAAAACCUUAUGAAAAUAGCUAAAACCAUCAUGAAAAUAAUCCGUGACAUGACACUCUCACGAAAAUCCUCUCACAAAUAUGGUGCCAUGAAAAUACCAUUUUCAUGAGAGUGAACUGUCAUGAUUUUAUAAGCGUCAAUACUCGGUAUAAAUUGACUACUGCUGUGAGUUCCCUUUCAGCUUAUCGUAGGCAUACAUUAUUGCUAGCACGGUAAAGAGAACCAACACGAAUGAUGAAGUAAACGUAGCGGAACUUUUGUAUACCAACACCCUUACGUACCGGUGUCAUUCCCCACUGCCACAUAUAUUCUUAUAUGCUAACCAGCUUUGAAAAUUAAGCGAUUAAAAUAAUUAUUUCAAGAUAGAAAUAACUUAUCGGCUUCUCGAAGCUUGUGUAAUGUGAAUUCAAGGACUCGAUGGAAGUUGAAUCGCUUCAUCUAGAUUGCUUUCAGGAUUUUGGGUAACUAAAUUUAACAUUUGCACACACAAAUGUUAAUGUACAAAUGUUAAAUCUAGUUACCCAAGCAGAAUAUGAAGAUACUCUAUAGUAUAUAUGUACUAUAUAAAUCUAGUAAACAUUUAGUCUAAAUGUUAAAUCUAGUUACCUAAAAUCCUAAAAGCAAAAUGUAUAAAUAUAUAUCUUUUAAGGCAGUAUAAGCUUCAAUUCUCUGUUAAAUCUCAUCUUUCGUUGUGGCCCAACACUCUAGUAUGCAUGUUGCACCAAGCUUCUUUGAGCCGCUCUGCCCUCUGAUUUUGCUGCGUAGGGGAAUCUUUAUCAGGUUGGGCUACUUCCAGUUGUGCGAUGUAAAGCUUCGUAUCUUUUAGAAGGUAGACAAAAUACCCGCGUUCUGGAAGAUUCUGCAACGUGCACGUUGGCGCUGCCACCGUGGUUGCUUAAGCAAAUGCAUCCAACUGAAUCGUCCUUAAGCUGAAUAAUUGGAUAUGGUAUCCACUGCUUAAAGCUGCCAUGUUUAGUACGUCUUUGUUUUUCUCUCUUUAUAUUCCAAUAAGGUCGGUGAUCUUGAUGCCACACACUCAGAUGUGUGUUUAUCUCCAGAUACUACUCCAUGCUACCUACCCUUUGUGUUUUGUUCAAUAACUGGGUAUCAUAUCCUAGCCAGUGUGCCAUCUGUUUUGUGUUUGUUUCCUUCUAGUUCCAAAGGGGUCAUCAUGAUGUUACCUUCUUUUGAGGUGUCUAUGAUGACUUCGUUAAUAUCAAUAUUAACCAAUUCAAUCUGUCUUAACUAUUUGUAAGGGGUAUGAUGUAUGCAUGAUUAUAACAAUGAUUGCGCAUACAAUCGCCGCCAAAGAAACGGUCAAUACCAUUAAGACAUAUUACAGACAAUUCUCAUAAUCUAUAAUGAAUAUACAUAUUCACUACUGCAGAAGACUGUCAUUUGUAUCGGCUCAUACGUGCCAGGGCAAAGGUCACCCUUGCAUUAAGUACAUUUGCACGGUAAAGACAACCAACACGAAUAAUGAAGUAAACAUGCCGGUGCUUUUGUACACCAACACGCUUACUUAAAUGUACUGGUGUCAUUCCUCACCGGUAGCCGGCUUGAAAAUUAACCAAUUAGAACAAUUAUUUAUUGUAUCGGUGUGAUUUUUGACCUAUUGGAAUAUGAAUUUGACCGUUACUGCAUUCGUCAAGACUCAAGAGAGAAAUAACUGAUCGGCUUCUUAGAGCGUGUGCAAUGUGAAAUCAAGGACUGGAUGGAAGUUGAAGCGCUAGCACUAGUAGAGAAACGACUUUCCAUCCACCCCCUUUUGUCCCGGUUUAAAGUUGGCUCGGGAUAAAAGGUUCACCAACCGGGACUAAAACUCAGUCACUGGUGGGAGGCUCACCAACCGGAACCUUUUAUCCCGGUUGCAAAGGCUAAUGGGAAAAAAAGACUCUGAGAGGCCUUUUAUCCCGGUUUGAAACACCAACCGGGAUAAAAGACCCCCCUUUUAUCCCGGUUGGUAACACCAACCGAGAUAAAAGGGUCAAGAGCCUUUUAUCCCGGUUGGAAACACCAACCGGGAUAAAAGACCCCCUUUUAUCCCGGUUGGUGUUUCAAACCGGGAUAAAAGGGCCCCCACGAGGUGACUGGAAGGUGACUGGAAGGGGAUUAAAUCGUGGGGGACCCUUUUAUCCCGGUUGGAAACACCAACCGGGAUAAAAGGGGGUCUUUUAUCCCGGUUGGUGUUUCCAACCGGGAUAAAAGGGUCCCCCACGAGUUAAUACAAAAGGAUAGUAUCCCCUACAUAGUCAGAUGUGGUGUGUAGGUGGGAUGGUAAGGAAGCUACGCGCGAGCUCCGGAAUUUUUUUUUUUUUUUUUUGCAGCGUCGGCGCUCUCUACCCUUUUAUCCCGGUUGGUAUUACCAACCGGGAUAAAAGGGGGUCUUUUGUCCCGGUUGAGUGACCCGGGAUAAAAGACCCCCCCUUUUUUCCCCGGUUAGUUUAUCCCGGAUGCAUUUUCGGGAUAAAAGCACCCUACCAACCGGGAUUAAAGCUCACUUCUCUACCAGUGUAGCUUCAUCUUCCGCUGCAAGUUAAUUGCUUGGAUAAGAAGUUGUAGCCGCUGCAAGUUAUAAAUAGUCCCGCUGAUGCUGUGCUCCGAAGUCUAUACUAUAUAUGCGGAAACUAGAUUGCUUUCAGGAUUUUGGGUAACUAAAUUUAACAUUUGUACAUAAAAAUGUUAGUUUACGAAUGUUAAAUCUAGUUACCCAAGCAGAACAAGAAGAUAGUAUAUAGUAUAUACUAUAUAAAUCAAGUUAACAAUUAGUCUAAAUGUUAUAUCUACUUACCCAAAAUAUUGAAAGCAAAGAAAGAAUAAGUAUAUAUCUUUUGUUGGAAAAUUGGUCCACGGAGAGGCCCAUUUAGGCCUCGUUCGUUUCACCGGGAUGGGAUUCCAGUCAGGAUUACUUCCAAGUUCGGUUUGAGUGAUUCCACCCGUGUCACUCAAUCCGGCUAGGAUUCAUUCUAUGGGUGAGGAGGUAUGGUUUCAAUCCAGGCCAUCUAAUGUAGAAGGAUUCCAAUCCAGGCCGGUUUUCGUUCCAGGCCAGACUAAAACGAACAACACUUUCAAUGCAAGUCUGGUUUCAAACCGGGCCAUUUCAAACCACCCGGAAUGGACCUCGUUCCAGGCCAAUCCGGUGAAAACAAAUGAGGCCUUAAUGGAAUCCCAAAGCAAGAGUUCAGUGGCAUUCUAUAGUCCCAUGCUGCUAGUUUGAGUUGGUCGAAGCCAACUUAAAUAGGAGAGCUCUCUCACUUCUCUAAAUACGUAACUGAAGGAGAGAAGGGGGCUUGGGUUACACAACGCACGCACGCACGCAUAUUUGCGUUCUUUUCGCGUAACCAACCGCGUGACUUGAAACUUGCGACGUAGCGUGCUGCUAAGUCAAGUUGAUAUAACCUUUUUGCCGUUUGCAUGUAAUCUUUUGACAACGGUCAUUGGAGGUGAUAAGCACGCAGUCAAUACCUUAAUCUUGAGUUAAUAGGGUGGUUACUACUGCCAAUUAGUGGGGCAAUUUUGUAGGGGAAACGGUUAGCAGAGGGCUACCGUCUUCUCUAUAAGAAGUUCUGGAGACGUCCAGGAACACACAUGUACAUGUGAGAGACCCACAAAUUCCUUCCCUUCUCCCUUUUCCAUGUGGUGAAGUGUGCUGUGGUACUGAGCUGCUUGAUCUCGCCGCUCUUCUCCUUGGCAUGCACCGAGGAGGAGGGUGAGCGGUAUCUCCGAGCUAUUGCCGUCAGGAAGCCUGCACGAGGGACAACAAAAAGUUUUUGGGUAGCGCAACUGCCAGCACAACUCUCCCUCCGCCUCUUCUUCACGGUUGAUGGCCACCACAAGCAUAAACCUCGCCUUCGCAUCCACGCAAAAGGGUCGCUGGGGUGCCUUCUUGCAUCGCUUCUCAGCCUCCUUGACUUGCGGCCAGCCAAGAACUGCGCCACCACCUCGGGUGCACGCCACCACUCCAGGGCUGCUACCCCAUGCCUGCGGCCGCCGCCGGCCACCACGCGUGUGCAACCGCGUCGCACCGCUUCCUUGCUUUGUGCCACCACUGCUGCUGUACCACCAGCUCCACCACCUUGGGCUGGUCGCCAGAGUGACUGAUAACUUAUUAUCUGUAACUACUAUUAACUCAGGGAUACAUGCGUCUUUUGCUUCUCCUACUAAUAUGUCCUAAAAUAUCUAGGAUGCCUUAUAUUUCUGGACAGAGGAAGUAUUUGAAUAAAAUGAACCAAUUUAAAAAAAUGUGUUGUACACUACUACAGAAAGACCUAUCAGUGUCAAACCCAAAAAUGUUGUCACCGCCAGUUUUGGGCAUCAUUGGUGAAAGGUUGGCGGUGAUGGGCUUUCCCUUCAACAACGGCACUGGAGCCGACGGUGAUUGACAUUAGAAAACAAAAAAGGGGACCCUACCUAGCCACCCCUGCAACCCGGCCGGCCGUGCCUCCCCUCAUCCCCACCACCUCGCCUCCCCAUGACCCCCCGCCGGCGCCCUUGCGCCUAGCCCCCUCAACUGCCCAGCCGGCCACCCUCAUCACGAGAGAGAGGUGCAUGUUGUAUAAUUGCGUGAAUUUUUUAAUGUUUAAUUUCAUGUAAGUUCCGUGUAAUAAAUUGUACAAGUUUUAUUGUAUAUAUGAAUUCCAUAUAUAUAUAUAUAUAUUUAUAAUUUAAUGUAUGGUUUCAUGUGUAUAUUUCAAUCAUGUGUAUAUUUAGUAGAUUGCCGAUUUUCUUUUUCUACUAGACAAGGGUUGAUGUAUAAUUACGUGUAUAUGUUUAUUGUACGGGCAAUUAGGACAAGUUUUGUAUAAAUUUCUUUUAUUUGAUGGUUGUUGUAUGGUUUCAUGUAUAUACAUUUAUUGUACUACUUUAGACAAUUUUUAAUUUAAUGUUUCUAUGAUUAGAUGUGUGUAUAACUAAUUGUAUUAUUAGUUAAGAUGGGAGCUAAAGAGGAUGAAAGGUAUAUAAUGGAGCAGAUUAUUGCUAGCUCAAACGUUGCAAGAACCUACACCGAGGGUGAGGGUAGCUAGGUGGACAUGUACCUCAACAUGUCCAGUGAUGGCAAUGACGAUGAGGAGCACGAGCAUGACAUCUAUGAUAAUGCGGAACAAGACAUUGCAGAAUUGGAAGGUUCUAAUGAGGUGUGCUUCAUGUUGACAAUCUAGUUGGCUUUUUUUCGUUGGUCACACCUUAGUUACCAUAGAACUUCGUCUCGGGAGAAGAUUGGUGGUGGUAUGGUGAUUGGAAUUUUAUUUCCACGAAAUCUGAUUUCCAUCGAAUCAUAUCCCUUGUAUUUAUCUUCUUUUUAUUUGUGAGAGCAUCUUCUUUAUGCUUGCAAAACAAUUCAAGUGCACAUACUACCCCUAGGGUGACGAUUGGGAGUAGAAAUAAUUGCCAACAAAACAACACCACAUCCUAAGAUUCUUAACUUGUGGCAUAAUUAGUCUAGUAAAAAGAAAGAUAAAAACCUAAUGGGUGUAUGUGAGUGCAAUGUGUAUAUGCAUAUGAGUGGAAGGCAUAUAAGCAAAGACAAUAUUUACACAUAGUUCUAAACACCAUGUUUACAGCUAGGUUGCUGAAUUUCUCCAUAGCCAUAGAGAUUAAUUAACCAAGGUCAAAACACGAUGUCUAUCCCAAGAUCAGUAAUUAUUUAUAGCACAAGAAAAAGAAAGCGCAUUGCAAAGUUUAUAAACCAACCAAUACAGCAUGAAAACAAGAUGAAUAGCUAGCAAGGUUUAUUAAACUGAAUGAUGACGGUCUGUAAGCAAGUUUAAACACCAUCUUUACACAAGAUUGCAAAUGGAAAAUGCCCAUAUGAAGCACUAACAUGGAUAUGAAAUCAUUCAUCAUAAAGCGUAAAGAACAACCAAGCCAACCAUAUGCAAAGCAUGAAUGGAAUGCAAUGAAGGUGCAAGAGAACAUUUUUGGAUGAACACAUUAUGAUGAUGGCAAAAUGCAAUGCAUGCAGAAAAAAUAAAUAUGAACAUGAAUAUGAUGAUCAGGGGCGGACCCACUAUUGUGGCCUGGGUAUUCCUCGGCAUACCCAAUAUUUUUGGGAAAAUGUUUAGUAGUUUUUAAUGGCAUAUACAUGUAUAAUAUAGUUUAGGUGUUAAAAUUGAUAUUCACAGCUAUUUUGGGCUCCAAUUCGCGUCCAAACCAACCUGGCCCACAGACCGCACCCGGCCGCCCGGCCCAUCGGCCCAUCUUGUCACUGAUCCUCCCACCACCACACUCAGCCCGUCAGUUAGUCAGGUCCCGAGCUCCUGCCUGACCUAGUCCGCUACCACCGCCAGGCGCCAGGCACAGCUGUACACGCCGCCCCCGUCCACCCACGUCCGCCGCACGGCCGCGUCGCGCCCCCCCCCGGCGCCCGCUGCUGCCAGAACCCAUUAGGCCUCCACCGGCAAGUCCACCCACAGUCCCGCGCGACGCGGCAGCCUCUUGGCUCUCGGCGCUCGCGGCGCGCCAAUGCCUGCGCAGCCCCAGCAGGCGACUGCCCCCCCCCCCCCCGCAUCGGGCCUCGGCCCCUCCCCAGCUCCCCCUCCCCCCUCCACCAGGACUGCCUGCUGGCCCCCACCGCGAGGUAAUCGAAAUGGACUGCUCAAUCUCUCAAUCUGUUGACAUGAUGCACACGGUUGCAAAAAUAGAUGUGUCAAAAUAGAUGUAUUGCCAAUUGCUAUAGAUGCAUAUGGUUGACAUGAAGAAGUCAAAAAUGACAUUUGGUUCCUUGUAGGCAGUCAAAAAUGAAGAAGUCAAACAAUAUUGAUCUGAAAUCAAUGCGGGAAAGGGCUACGAAGACACACGGGUAGAUUCCCUUGUGAACUUUUUAUGUCGUUCGUCUAAAUAUAUUUUUGCAAUGGGCAUACCCUACUCUGAAAUCCUGGGUCCGCCACUGAUGAUGAUGGUCUAAACAUAAAACAAGCCUAGAUUAAUUAGCUACAACUGAAAUUAAGCAAAGGUUAAUGUCAUUGACCCUAGCUCUAUCCUAGCUUUUACUAAAGUCCCGGCACAUAUAGUGGUUGGGCCCACUCUCUCUACUUCCCUCUCUGCUGCAUGCACACACACGAGCAACUGGAGGCCCAACAAAGCCCAGAAGGGUUCGGCCGAACCCGUCCGAUCCAGUCUGAGCGCCGCUCCCUCCCAGCCUUCGCGCAGAUGCUCCUCCAACGUUCCUUGACCCCUCCCUCAGUGUCCCAUUGGGUUUAACAUUGUAGGAGAGGAGUCCCUUUUUUAAAAUCUCAACCACCUCCUCUCCUCAUUCACUCCACUCUCAUCUCCAUCAAACUCACCAAGAUCCACAUCGGAAAUACCUGCUUACCACCAUGGCUGGCAAAGCCCUCGUCCCUUUCACCAACUUGGGCUUGACCAUUGAUCUCGAUGGGAAAAUCACUCCAGCAAAUGUCAUUGUCCCUGUCGGCGAUCUGGCGAUGGAGGAGGUCCAGGCACUAGAGGUCGAGCCCCUAGCCAUCAUACCGCCCAAGGGGUAAAGCAGGAGCAUGACAGGCGCUGCUAGGGGUUCAGCCGAACUCCCAGUUCAGCCAAACGAGGACGGCGUCGCCUCGGCCUCCCGCUCGACUGCAUGCUUCCCCUUGCCAAGGAGGACUCCAGAACAGCGGGCGCGUGCGUCAAGUCCCUACAAAAGGCUGAAAUACAAUGAAUAUCCAGGGUCACCCUUGAAGAUGGGUGAACGCUACGCCGGGUCCUUGUUUGACUAGUACGGCGAUGCAUUCUGCCACCGCUAUGUCGUUGUCGAGAUUAGCGGAUCAAGACUUAGACUAGUAAAUUUCUUUUAUGCGCGUAAGGCUUCAGAUGGUGGCGUGGGAGACAUGGGUUUUAUACUAGUUCGGGCAAUGGAAUACCCUACGUCCAGUGUCUGGAGCUGCUUGUGUUGCCCACGCGGGGUUCUGUAGUAGGGGUUACAGGUGUGCGAGAGAGGGAGCUAAUCCCAGGUCUCUUAGGCGUGUUCCGGUCCUCUAGAUGGGAGAAGUGUGUUCUGUUUGCUUGGGAGUAUCGGUUGUGUCUGAGUUGUCUCCGGAGCCUCCUCCCGUCUCAGGUCCCCGAUUCUCCUUUCAUAGCACAAGGAGACCAUCGGGGUUACAGACGAGACCGAGCGUGGGGAGGAGUAAAGAGAUAAACAUAGCUAGGUAAAAAUACAACAAGAAAGGGGGGAACCAAGUUUCUAGGUCACCGGCGUCCUCGCCGGCCUUCGACUUCCGCCGGCGCAUUUGUCGGAGGAGGGUGGCCGCCAUCGCGUUCUGUCGAUGGCUUCCUCGGUGACUGUAGCCACCGGGCGUGAUGAUGGCAUUUCGUCGUGACCCUUUGUCUGUUGGGGGAGGCGGCGGAUCCUGCCAUUCUGCUGACGGCUCGCGGAGUGCGAACGUCGCAUCCCUGCCGCUGGGCACGCGGGGCGCGAGAACGUGCGAGGCUUCCCCCUACCCCAGGCGGCGCAGGCCAUGAGUGCCCUGUGGCAAAUCGGAGGAGGCCGCAGCUACUGUAGCUUGUACUGUGCAGCCACGUAUGGGUACUUGUGGCAGGUUGCGUGGUGGAUGCGGAUAUCCUUCUCCCUGACAGAUCUGCGGCGCAUUUAUGGCGAGAUCGACAUGGGGACCCACAAGACCCGCGCCCAAGGCGGAUACUUGUCUGGAGGGCCCGGGUUAGCCUGACCCCCUACGCUUGGGGUCGGGCGAGGCGGAGACUUGCGGCGGGGCGUCGGACGCUCCCGACACUAGACCUGCGGUCGCGCAAGGCGGAGCUUGGUCUUCCGGGGGUCGGGGGUGCCGGACCCCAGGAUGCGGGGUCGGGCGAGGUGGAGCGUAAUUCUUGCCUCCCAUGUUGGGCCGAUGGCAGUCUUUGUUACCUCUAGUGGGCUUGGGCCUUUAUGUUUUGUUGUUUCCAUGGGCUUCGAGAGGUCGUUAAUAUUUCCCCCCAACAGUAGCCCCCGAGCCUGUGGUGGAGUGGGGGCGCUCCUCCGGAGGCUACUAUCAUCGCCCCUAGGGAAUCCUCGCAGUUGAUCCGGGAUAGGAGGUGUUGUUUGCACGGCUUGACCGAGGGGGUCGAUUAGGCGACGCAUCCUGUGAGCGACUCGGUGCGGGAGGGUUUCUUGUUGUUCCCUUCUGUCUGAGAGCCUUAAGUCGAGACCACCUGCGUGGCCUUUGGUUGCAAGGCCAGCCCCCGAGCCCCCGCACGUUGCAGGGGACCGGUCGGAGGCUAGGUCGACUUUUGUUCAUUACCCUCAAGCGUCUGUUCGCUAGGACGGAGGGGGCGAGCCGUGCCAUGCUAUCCUCAUCGGACGAACCAUGGUGCUCAUUGAGUUACUAACGGGUUGAUUCGAGUGGGAUCCCGGUCCCCGUUCGGGGGGGGUCCGGCUUGGGCCAAGCUGGUGGCGUACCCCAGGCUCCGGUCGGCCAGUUCAUAUAGUUCCUGAGUCCGUUCGGUCGGACCGGGGGCUCAUUGCCUUUCUUCGGGGAAAAACCAUGAACUUUGAUGCCGGUCCAGACUCGAAUGUGAGAUUGAGACGCCCGGGGCUGUCGCGUGCCCGGGUGAUGGCCGCUAGCGGACCCGUCUCCUCUCACCCCUCACUCGGGGGUAUCCUGAGGCGGCUGUCGAACCCGUGGCGGGCCAGCCUUCGAACCUCUGGAUCGUAAUGGGCCGUAGGGGCGUUUUCAGCCCCGUAUCCCUUUUUACCUUUUGGUGGGCCUUGGGCCGAAUCAUGGAGGAGGUCGGGCCUUGGGCCGGAUGCGGAGGAUGUCGUGCCUUGGGCCGGAUGUGGGGGACGUCGUGCGUGUCUUCCGGGAGACGAAGUGGUGGAGGGUGCCAACCCGCGAAUCGAGGGAGGAGGGGAUGUUUCUACUGCAGGUCAUGCGCACGGUUUCCGAAAAGGCAGCGGGCGUGACGGGACGUACCUCGCGCCGCAUUUAUUGCGAUGGGGGCGUCUGUUCUGCUUCCCUCGUGCCUUCCCUAUAAAACGAGGACUUCGCCUCGCCGGUUCCGCCCGCCAUCUACCUUCAAGCCUUUUCGCCUCCUCGCGCGCCCUUAGCUUUCCUGUGCCCGCUUCGUCUUCCUCCGCCCAGUGCCGCGCCCUUUCUCCCCAUCCGCCGUCGAGUUCUUCUCCCUCCGGCGAUGGGAUCCUGGGCGCGUUCCCACUUCGGCCCCUCACGCGCCGAAGGCCUAGUGAGGAAAGGCCUCCUUUGCGAGAGGACGGAGACGGAUGAGUGGGGGUUCCCUGAGAUGGAAGAGGUGCCGACUCCGCCCACCGGCUACGUCGUUUCCUUUGCCCACUUCCACGAGAGGGGGUUUGCGACUCCGCCGAGCCUCUUCUUCCGCGGGCUUUUGUAUUACUACGGGCUUGAGCUGCAGCACCUCAACCCCAACGGGAUUCAGCACGUCGCGGCGUUCGUUGCGGUGUGCGAGGGGUUCCUGGGCAUUGAGCCCAACUUCUCGCUGUGGAAGUACUUCUUCACGGUCAGCCUAUACCAGAAGGCCGAGAAGAGGGGAAGCCAGCAGCGGUCGACCCCGGUGCCGAUAGGGUGCGUCGGAAUCCACCUCUGCCAUACUCGCGCCAAGGAGUAUAUCGCGAUGAAGACCGCGGCAUCCCACAAGGGGUGGCACCAGCAAUGGUUCUACGUGAAGAACUACUCCAACCCCCCCUGCCGGAGUUCACCGGCCGCAUUAUUGAAGCGGCGCCGGAGGUGUGGGUGUACGGCCCGGUGGAGAAGGAGAAGAAGCGGAUCACCGGCCUGCUGCAGGCCAUCGAGCACCUGAAGGAGAGGGGACUGACCGGAGCCGGAGUCAUCGGGGCGUACCACGCCCGGCGGGUGGCGCCGCUGAUGCUCCGGGUCCGCUCGCUCGCCGACAUGACCCCCGGUGCUCUCACCGAUGGCACUGUCCUCGCGACGGGUGCUCUCGCUGCCUCCGAGAUCCGGCAGCGGAUCCGGGAGGCGCUGGAGGACAAGGACGCCGAUUACCCGGUGCCCGGCCACCCUCCGAUGCGCCCGGACGAGAAUUUCAUUGAUCUGGUAAGGAUUUUGCGCGCCAGUUUCCCUCUCUUGCGUUUCUUGGUAUGCCGUUCUGACGCGAGGCCCUCUGUGUUUGCAGGGUAGCAUGACCCGGGUCGUCGACUUGCGUCCGCCAGUGUCGGAGGACGCCGAGUGGCGGUAGCAGAACCGUCUCCUUGCCGAGAAGCAAAAGUGACGCAAGGACAAGAGACAGCGAAGAAGAAGAAGAGGGCCGCCAAGGAGUUCCAGCGGCGGCGGUGGGGAUAGGUCGUGUCGGAUGACGAUGACGAUGAGAAGGAGGAGGAGGAUGACGAGGAGGAGGAGGAGUUUAUCCUGUCCCCCCGGUCAGGGGCGCUUGUUAUCCGGGAGCCGCGCUCCCAAGCGGCCAUGGGGGACAAGGCGGGCGAGCUGCCUGCCCGGACCCGAUCCUGCGAAGCUUUGGGGGCGCGCCCCAGGGGUCGGCGCAGAGCGCCCCCCGGGGGUCGACGGAGCCGACCCCCAUCCCUACACCUGCAGCCCAGGAGCAGAGGAGCAGCGACAAGCGGCCGUUGCCAGAUGCCCCGGGGUCGGCGUCCAGCUCAGAGGCGAAGCGCGCGCGCCGCCCUUGCGCUGGGGGAACGUGAGUUGAAUUUCCUUGCGAAUCUCGUUCCUUUCCAUGCAUUGUGUUUGUUUCCGCUGAUGCUGUUUGUUGUCUCACAGCACCGCCCCUCAAGGCCUUGUCCCGCCGUUGGCGCCAAAGAAGGCGUUGCGGUGUUGUCGCCUCUGCGGGGCGGACCGCGGCUCCGCCGGCGGCGAGUGGCGGGGUCACUGGUGAGACCGCGGGUCCUACCGCGGAGGUGGCCCCUGCGGCGGCAACCGGUGGAGUGGUGCCACCGCCGGGCAUGGGACAGGGUCUGGACCCCGCUCCGUCCUCCGCCUCUUCGGCCGACCCCGCGGUGCAGAGUAUCGCUCCUGGGGGCCCUCAGGCCGGGGAGGUGAUUGACCUCGACGCCGACGAGGUGGAGGAGACGGCGGCGGUGGAGACGGGGGCGGUUGCCCCAGCGGCCAUGACGGGGACGACGACGGCGACGGGGGAAGGAGAGUCUACCCCCGCGGCCACGGCGGGGACAGUGGCGACAGAGGAGGCGGGGACGCCCGCCCCGGCGGCUGCGACGGAGGAGGCGGCGGUGACGGAGACGGGGGCUUCCGCCCGGGAAGCCACAGCCGAGGUGGCAGCGGCGACGGAGGUGAAAGUGCCUGUUCUGGAGGCCACGGUGGGGGUGGGGACGCCUGCCUCGUGGCCACGACGGAGGGCGAGGCGGCCCCAGGGACACUUGCUCCGGCACCCGCGUUGGAGGCGGUGGCGCCGACGGGUUGGCCCGUGGCGGCCUCGACGGGGGCGGGGGUGCGUGCGCCGGGACCGUCGGUGAGGCCGGCGACUUCCGGGAUGGUGGUGCCCGUCUUGACGGCGGCGGCGGCGCGGUCGGCCCCCGCCCUUGCCUCUACCACUCCCAUUCCCAAGGCGUGGAGCGGAUCCGUCCUGCGUUGGUCGUCUCGUGACGACCCGCAGAGGCCCCUCUUCACGUUGGAUGAUGCCACAGAAUGGGGCAAGUGGCAGGCGCUGCAGGGCGGACUCGCUAACGUCCGCGCCGCUCUAUCUUCGGCGUUGGGGGAGCUGGACGGCGUCAUCUUCCCCGGUGGCCGGGUAUGGUGCUUUCUCCGUUGGUUAUUUUCUUCCCGUUACUUCGUCCCUGAUGGCACAUUGUUCUGCAGGCCCUCCAAGAAUGUAGCCGGGGAAAAUCUGAUUUCCUUUGGCUCGAGCAGGGGCUCUGGGAGCGCUUCAACUUGGAGUUGCAGCGGACCGGGGAGCUGACCAUGCAAGUCGCCACCGUCUAGCAUGUCAUCGACGAUCUGCGAAGGCACGAGCAGGCGGCACAGGAGGACGCGCGGCGGGCGGAGGCCAAGUUCCAGGUCGUUGCCGAAAGGGCUCGCUGCGACCGCGAGGAGUUCCAGGCCGUUGCCGAAAAGGCCCGCCACGACGCUGAGGAGCUCGCACGGCUGAAGGUGCAGCAUGAAGCUCUUCAGAAGAGCGGCAGAGGGCCUGGCAGGACCGGGACGCCGAGAAGGUCCGGAAGGAGGAGGCUGAGAAGGUGGCGGCCAACCUUGGGGCUGAGGUCAGCCAGCUCCAAGUGCAAGCGCGAGAGCUUCAGGCCUCCGUGGCCCAGGGGCUCGACCAGGAGCGCCAGCUGAAGGCCUAAUCCGAGGGUAUGACUCUGUUUAUUUCUUUGUCUUUGUGAUGUUGCGGUGAUAUUUUAUUUGGCGGGUUCUUCUGGAUGAUCCUUGCAGAUGAGCUCAACUGGCUGAGGGAGGUGCUUGACGCGGAGCGCGCUGAGCACGGCGACCUGCGGGACGCGGUCCGCGUCAUCUGUGACUUCCUUAGUGUGGUCCAGGGGGAGGGGACGAGCUCGCUGGCGGCUCGUGUCCUCGGGACGUACCGCCGGACCAGCGAGAUCGCCCUGGAAGCGCUUCGCACCGGCUUGAGGCAAGCCUUUGGGGUCUUCGGCUCCCACUAUUCCGGCAUCAACUUCGCCGGGAUGAGCGGGGGAUACGCCACCGGCUACUACGAGGCCGAGCUGGAUGAGAUCGACGUGUCGGUGCUCAGCCCGGCGGAGGCCUUGGUGAAGCUCCUCGAGGAUGAGGCCGUCCCGCCCGAAGAUCCCCGGACGAGUUAACUAUAUCGGGCUGGCGCCCCAGAUGUAAAUACGUUAGGGAAAGACUUGUUUUUUGUGAGGGCCGUAGAGGCCUUUUCUAUGAAUUGUCGUAAAAAAGUUUUUGAUUCCCUUUCUUGCUUUUUGGACUUGGAAAGUUUAGAGCACGUUGUCGGGCGUGUCAGUAAGCUUUGAUGAGCGAAGGCACCGUAGCCGCUGGGGCGUCGUUUUUUUUGCAGUCCGAUCAAUCUUGCCUGAACACCGUUCGUGCACUUUCUCCUUUUUAUGCCCAAAAGUUCAGAAAGAGGGUCGGCUCGGAAAGAGAAAGCGUUUUGAGAGGGUGUCAAGUGGCUUAGGUACUUGCGGCAGGUUGCGUGGUGGACGCGGAUAUCCUUCUCCCUGACAGAUCUGCGGCGCAUUUAUGGUGAGAUCAACAUGGGGACCCACAAGACCCGCGCCCAAGGCGGAUACUUGUCUGGAGGGCCCGGGUUAGCCCGACCCCCUACGCUUGGGGUCAGGCGAGGCGGAGACUUGCGGCGGGGGGUUGGACGCUCCUGACCCUAGACCUGCGGUCGGGCGAGGCGGAGCUUGGUCUUCCAGGGGUCGGGGGCGCCUUACCCCGGGAUGCGGGGUCGGGCGAGGCGGAGCGUAAUUCUUGCCUCCCAUGUUGGGCCGACGGCAAUCUUUGUUACCUUGGGUGGGCCUGGGCCUUUAUGUUUUGUUGUUUCCAUGGGCUUCGAGAGGUCGUUAAUAUUUCCCCCCAACACUAUGAGGAGGACUUGUGGGCAGAAAGUCAGCUACCACAAACUUGCCUCUGAAUAUUUGGAGUGCAAACAUUGGAUGGUGGUUGUGGAGAGCCCCAGCCAUACCUCGCACCCGUGGAGAGGUAAUUGUCGGAUUGCUUGGUUCGUCUCUAGAAUGCGACAAGGUCAGGCGCCACCUCUCACUGCUGCCAGUCAGAAGGCCGAGGGGCCAGUUUCAACAUAGUAAUGAGAAUCUCCGAAGGCCAAUAUGGUUAAGCAGCUAACCUCCAUGAUCAUAGACUUACGUUUAGAAAAUAGGAGGCUUAGCGAUGCGUUAACAGAGCAGAAGUUAGAAACAGAAGAACUUAAGGACGACUUCCGUGUCCUCCGCCUUGGUCUUUGUGCUAAGAUAAAGCGCUUGUACAAUGCCACGGGGAAUGACGGUCUCUACGAUGCAGCUCAAUAGACGUGCCCCUUGUAUCCUUUCCUUUAGGCACUUUAGAAUAUGUUUAUUUGUUUUCCUUCAUUUUAAUUUCCAAUAGAUUGUUAGCGCCUCCAAUUUAAUUUCAAUAAAGUGUAGACUCACCGGUCAUCCAACUUGAUGGAGUCCUUUUGUCACCUAGUUGUCUUUGGAAGAAGUAGCUGGGUACAAAAUAAGUGUGGGGGAGAGCCACAGACUCUCUAGAGCUGAAACAAUGCACAACACCCACAAAUAGAGAAAACCACGCUGCACCAGCACGUACGUGAAAGUGGAGCCAGAGCUGGACCCAUAGGGGUUUGGCCAACCCAAGGGGUGGCCCACUCGGGCCAUCUUCAUCCACCGCGUCGGUUUGUGUCUCUUUACCCCUGAUCUCCCUGAUUCAUGAGUUUGAAUGAAUUUUAAAUCUGAUCAACUAAUUCAAACUCAACUAAAAUGAAUCAACUGCUCCACCUGCUCUACAUGUUUUCUAUGGUUGGCUUGCAUAUGUUUUAUUUCAUGCUUAUCAUCUUGAUGCUUGUGAACAAAUAUCUUUAGGACAGCAUGCUCAUCUAAGUAGUUGAUGUGUAUGAUAUGGUUCGAUGAUAUGAUCUUCACUCUUAAUGCUUAAGUGCUUGGGAAAAUCUAUUUGAAAAUUUAAAAGCCUUUUUGAAAUCUCCUCUUUGAUGUGCCAAAGUCCUACCAAAGCCAUAUGAUAAGUUAUCUUGAAAAACCAUUUGCAUAUGUUGCUUGUCUUUGCAUUGAGCUUUGUCAAAUUGGUGUGACCCUUGUCACAAUUCUUUUCAUACUUUCAUGAUCAAGACUCAUGUGCACGCCAUAUACCCCUUGCUAUGCUUCUAUGAGAUGUUAGCAUUGUACCAUCCAUUCAUUCCACAAAAUAAAUGCUCCACCAUAUGUGUUGGUCUCCUUCUAAGAUUAUUGUUACAAAAGAGAUAUGGGCUAUCAAAAAAAAAUAUGAAUGUCCAAGAAAGUUGGACACAUGAAUGUCCAAUAAAAAGAAAAAGAAAGAUAGCCAUGUCCUCAGAAAUAUUUACAAAGGGAGAGAGAUCAUACAAAAAGGAGUUUCCAUUCCAUCCACCACAUCCAUACAUGUGCACAUCUUGAUCUGAUUGUAUGACUUAUUUUUCUCUUUGGAUCUGGUCUUUGACUUUGCAAUAUAUGUGAUGCAAGCAUGCCUUAUCCUUCAUAGCCUACCUUGAGCUCCACAUAUAGCCAUCAUUAGAAGUAGGAUGAAGAAAGGCAAGUCUAAUGCCUUGGUGAGGACAUAUACACAUUGAGUGAUCUGAGAGAAUCAAAUGAGGAGCUAAGCAAGGUUUUGUUUUGAAAACUAAUUGAAAAAUCCCAAGCUACUUGGCAUAAGGAGUUGAGGUGACUUGAUUCAAGACCAUUACAUUCCUCAACUACCCAAGAUGGCAUGAUAGACACUCCAAAGUUCACAAGUGCAGGUAUGGUUUGGAAUAUCUUUUAGGCUCGCUUCAUACCUUUGAAAGUUAUGUUUCACCUUAGUCCUUUCUCGUUCACUCAAGGAUAAGCAAAGGCUAAGUGUGGGGGUGUUGUUGAUGGCUCUUAAGUACAAAAUCUGCGCCAUCAACUCUUGCAUAAACACAUAAAAUAUGAGCAUCAACAAUAGUGGUAGGAGUUAUUACAAACGAAUUCCACAAGUCUUGGUGAAUAUUUGUAUGCAAGCCCAAUAGGAGAGAAAAGACACCUCAAAAGCAAGGAAACACACUCUCAACCAAUCAAGAGCAAGCACAUGGAACCAUGGGCCCACAACCAAAAGGAAAUCGACUACAUUCCAAACACCCUAUACCCACAUGAGAACCCAUAGGGCAGUGACCCAGAGCAAAGGUGAUGCCAGAGUGUAGAUGGUAGUUAGCAUGCCAAAUUUUGAACCGCAAGCGCUCGGAUUAGUUGUUUCUUUUCCCUUAGAGAUUCCCCCAAGGUUUAUCAAUCCAUGGAACAAGGGAUUUGCACGUUUCACUAAGCACUAAUCAAUGUAAUUGAAAGCUUUUCGAAUAAGAUAUGAUUAUGCUAACAAAGGAACUAAGCAAUCUAGAUUAAGAUGGAUAGAGAGUACAGGUUGUGAACAAGAUAGAUUAAACGCUUGUAGAUGCAAUCACCAUGCAUGAAUGAAUUAGAUCUAGGUGUUAUUGUGAGUGGUUGUGAACCAUGCCCAACACUUUCCCACCCGCAACAUUGUCACUACAUGUGGGUACUCAACUAUCGGAACAUAAGAACACAUCAAGAUGAUCAUUCUAGGUAAGCAAAUAAGCAACCCAAAGUAGCGCUGGCCAGCCUUUUCAUGAAAGAGCAUCAUCAAGAUAAGAUUGAUAACAAAAUAGAUCUCAACCAAAGGUUCAGCGAUUACAAAUCAAGAUCUUCGUAUAACCCCGAUGACAAAUAGAGGUAUUACCCCCAUGAUCUUACACAUGUUGAUGAAUUUUAGGGUAAAGGACACCCUGUAGAUCAACUGGACCAAAGAUGAUGAUGAACGGGGGCAGGGAAGGCCCAGGUUGAUCAGCCUGCGCACUUUUGAGCCGAUCAGCUCAGGGGGUUUCCUCCUCCCCUGGUGCUCCUCUUCGCGUGGCCUCCUCUGGAUCCAAUCUUCUCUUCAUUUCUCCUACUUGUGGCGGCAAUGGAUGGUGUUUGCAUGGUGAUUUCCUCUUCUCCCCAACUCUCCCUCCUUGAAGUCCAUGAGGGGGUAUUAAUAGUCUCCAAUAGGCGGCAGCUCUGGGUCAAUGUCAGUGAAAAAAUCCUAGAGAUCAUCGUACACUUCAUGCUGAGGAAACAAGAGGUUGACCGAGCCCUGGGAUAGACCAAGAGGAUCAUCCUAGAGGGUCCCAGGCUAAUCGGUCUAGGCCCUUCCUAGCCCUUCUAGUCCUCUCCUUCCUCGUGCUGGCUUUUCUCGAUGACCCUUGUCCAAAUAUCCAUGAAGCUCUAUAUACAUACCCCCUUGAUUAUGUUGUAUUUCCUGUCAAAAUACAAUGCUCCAAAAUACAACACAUAUGCAAUAAUAGGGUUAUUUCAGGUGCCAAUUGGUGGGUUAGUAUACGAAUAAGCAUGAAAAUACUGUUUAAAUGACACUAAAAGUGUGUCAAUAACGAGCACCAACAAUCCCCCCACGCUUAGAUCUUGCUCGUCCUCGAGCAAGUCUAGCGACUAAAAGAUCUUGAAUUAAACCUGAGCAAGCGAGUCAAGUACCUAGCCUUGAAACAAAAGAUUAGAGGAGCAGCAAAGAUAAUCAAAGUCUGGGUGUUCAAAGAUUUAUCUAAGCAAAGAUUCCCCUACAACUAUUAUUCAGAACCAAGUAACUUCAAAAAUCAACUACACUUAUUUUCUGGCUUUUUUCAGAGGGUUUUUCUUUCAUCAUAAAACAAUCUCCCUGCAACAAAAUUGAAAAAAGAAUUAUUUUCAAGGUGCUUACAUGUCGCUUAAAUGAAUGUUGGCUAUCCUACUUAUUUGCAAGCUCUCAUCUCUCAAAAUUCAUUCAAUUAUAUGGUGGAGUUUGGGUAAGGUUAGCUAGAAUCAACACGUAUAUUAUUGAAUUAAGAAAACCCUCUAACGGUGGCCUACCUUCCGAGCCAUUGAUCAUAAGAAUAUCCACAUAAUGUGAAGUUUUCAAGGAUGAGAAGAUAUAGAAUGGUGGACAUGUGCAAAGGCAAAGAAAUAUAGUGACUCUGAGGCACAAGCAAUGUCCUCGUCGUUGGAUUGCAUAUGGUUGUAAUGAAAAUAUGUUCCUUAAACAAGUCUAUCUUUUCUUUGCACCACUCUUGAUCUUCAUGACAGUAAAAACUCCUCCUUUAUUUCUUUCUCUCUUUUCCUAUUAUUUCUUUUUAUUUGUCUCAAUACUUUUAUUUCUUUAUUUCUUUAUUUUAAUCUCUUCUCUGAACCUCUUCUGAACACCACAUAAUAAAAAUAAGUUUUAGAUCCUUCCAGAGACCUUCCAGGAAUUUGCUACAUGAAAACCGAGGCAAGGAGACCCCAGGCCGAUUGGCCUAGCCACUCCUUUGCUCUCCUCUAGCUCUUCUUUCUGGUGAAGCUUCCUUAUCUUGUAUCUUUCCAAAAAUUUCAUAAAGCUCGACUAGAAACGGAACAGAUCUUCAUAUAAUGAGUUGUGUUCAAGGAAUUGGUAAUAAAAUUGAGAAAUUUGUGGUUCGGGUUUACGAAUUCAGUACAAAAAUAUGAUUGUUCCAAUGAAGAACUCUCAUUACUGAAUAUUGACGAGGCAAGCAUUCAAAGAUGGUAAAAAGGAUAUGAUCAAUUCUCAAAAUUAAAGCAAACCAAGAGAGAGCGAUCCUAAUUCAAUUCAAAGUGUCAAAUGUUGCUUAUGGUGGUAUGAAUAAAUAUUUUUAGGCAUUGGGUAGGAUAAAUAAAAACUCUCAACCUGGUUAAAAGAUAUUGAUCAAUCUUGUUUUUGCAGAGGUUUUAAAUAAAAAAUAAAAUUUUAAAUCACCUCCAAUUCAAAGCCUUACUCAUAAAUCAUAAUCAAAACUGAAGCACUUGAUCAUCAUAAAGCAUGGGUAUUGCAUAAACAAAUCGAUUACUAAAACUCCACAACUACGAUUUAGAAUUCAAGACAAUGCUCAUAAUCUAAAGUUGCAAAGAUAAAAUAAAAGACAACCAAGCCAAGGUAGACACUAAAAACACUUGCACGAUCCUUGAAUUUUAUUCAUGCUUCUUCUCACAAAGACGCUAAAGUAGCCAUGUAGGCCUAAGUCUUCCCAAAAGCUUAAGAAAACUACUACUUUAUCUACUUUUGGUUGAAAUAAAAAGACUAAUCUAGACUCUCACAUGAUUCGACUCGACCAAAUUAGAUCCAAAAACUCAUACGAGCGACGAUCUCCCCCCCCUCACGCUUAAAAUCUACGACCUCCUCGUCGUAGCCAUAUGGAGUACAAGGAAAAGAAGCUUGUAAACGCUCUAAUGACGCUACCCGCACUACUUGCACACGGGAUGGUUGCUGCUUCCUUCGCUUUGUUCUUCCUCAUGUUGCUGCACAUCCCGAAGAGCUUCCUCACGUUCCUCUGCAAGAACUUGAACUCGUCCUCCUGACGGCGAUCAUUAUCUUCUGCCUUUUGAUCCAGAGCUUGUAAGGCUUGCAUGAUGUCAUCGAACGCAUCGAAGAGGUAGUGGAUGUUCUUCCUGCAAGCUGUGGAACAUGUACGAUCAUGCUCCUCCGAUUCUGGCCCGUCGUCUUCUAGAUCCUUCUCUUUGCCCUUGUCUUGACGGUGGCUAUCUUGCUCCUUGCUCGCCUUCUUGCCUUCAGCCCAAUCCCAGUACGUGUUGUCAUCUUCUUCAUCGUCACGGCCUGCAGCACCCUAUGAUCCAUUGUCUAUCUUGUAUGAAAGAAUCAGAAGCUUGUUCUCCUCAGGGUGUCUUGCGCGGUGCAGCGUUUGCAAGUGCAAGACUUGCUAGUUCCUUUUACACAUUGUAAUGUUCAUUGCAUGCUCUAAUUGUUCUACAUUUGUAAUUUCUUGGUGAAGUUUGGUUACUGAUCCACUGUUUGAUUAACUCUUGGGCCCAAACACUGUACUACUUCUGAUUAGAUAUCUGUAUCUUGACUUUGACCAAAAAAAAUAUCCGGCAGUUUUUGCCAUUAAAGUUUCAUAAAUCAUCUUGCAAAAAUCGUACUAUACAACAAGGGACGGUUUAUUAUAAAAUAUACGUUCCCCUUAUCACAUGCCACUUCCACUCAAAAGGCAACGAAUCAGUUUUCAAUCCUGAGUGAGCAAUUUGCUUUUAUUACCGAUGCCUCCUAUUCCCUUGUGCACCAAGUUUAUUUUGGAUAGGGCUGCAAAAAACGACUAACCAGCUCGGAUUCUCCACCUGCAAAACCGCAUCUGCAGCAACCAACCCCACGCGGUGGAAAAAAAAACAAAACCUAGAAACCGGACGGGGGUGGAUGUGGGGCUCGGAGCCCAAGCAAAAAACGGAUCGGGAGCGCCGGAGCAGGCCAUCACCGGAUGUUAGAGAUAGAAAAUGGUUGAAGUUUGGAGUGGAAAUCAAACAAGCCUUGGAGCAAAGGAAAAAAAAAGAUCAAACCACUCAAGCAUUCAUUUGAUUUAGAAAAGAGAACAUUUGUUAAGGUGGGGAGUUGAAAUCAUCUUUUAAUUAGUUCCACGUAUCUGGUAUCAUUACAGUUGGUUUACUUGUGUAAGUAUAAGUAGCUCUGCCGAAGCCUUUGCUCCUAUAAUUUAGUAACUAGUACAAAUGGAUCAAUAGGAAAAUCAAGUUGCAAUCAUUUCUCAGCCAACCAAACCUAUGUAAAUCAAAUUAUUGUCCAUGCCCGGCAUGCACAGGUGCCUGCCAUGCAUGCAUUGUUGCUCCAUUGUAAUAACCAUUAUUGUCCAUCGAUGUUGCAGCGCAUGUGUGCACUGUGCAGACACCAAGCAUCGAGAUUAUGUACUAGUAAGGUGUUGAAAUAAUGGGCCUAGCCCAUAAGUAAUUUCAGAAUUUCAAAUAAAUCUCAAAGGCCCAUGUGGGCAAGAGGUGGAGUGGUGCAAGUCUUUAGUCCCACAUUGCUAGUCGAGGGGAGGGAUGACCAACUUAAAUAUGGAAGUUGUCUCCACUCCUCCAAGCUAUGUGUGAAGGGCGCGGGCGCGAGGCACUUGCGUGAAUGGUCCGCCGAAAUCUGGCCCCCCUUGCGGGGGCGCGGCUUCCUUUUGCCGUUUUAUUUUUUGGUUACUUGGUCGUUAAGUCAUGGAAUCCUAACCGGUUUAGAUCACGAUCGUGAAGGUUUUUGGGAAGCGCUCUGCGCGACUGCUCGAUCGCUUCUUCCGCUUCGUCAAGUUCUUCGUCGACUCCUUCACCACGGCUCGUCUACCUCUUCGUCGCUCGGGCCUCACUCGUCGUCGCGAACAACGUCAGGCUGCUGAUCGUCGUCGCCUGCUGUAUCCGGUAGUCGUCCAGGAGCCGGUUUUCAUCAAGAAAGAAACGUACGGUCUCUUAACUCACAUUAUGUCUUCCAUACUAGCUAUUAUGAUUGUUGCAGUCUGAUAGCUCUGGAUAGUAUGGUAGAAUGUCUGAUUCUAUUUGCAAUGAUAGACUUGUCUAGAUCUUGCGUAGACAUGUCUAGUUUAAUCUGCUGCUUGUUCAUCAUAUUCAUGAUUUAUUUCUGGAUUAAGUUAAAACUAAAAGUGCUUAUAUAUCCAACAUAAGGUACCAAGAACACGUGAAGCACCCGGGGGAGGCUGCUCCACUCCGCAUGCACAGGUGGGCACGGCACCACUACUCGUCUCCUUCAGGCUGAGGAUAAGUGAUGUACGCUGAUCAACAGACCACGACGGAACCAGCAAUAAUAGUUUCAGCCUGCCUCACAGUAAUUAAUAUAUCCUGUAUCCUCCGAGGACCCCUCCCCUUAAUCUUGGCCUAUUGCAUCCAAUAAUGAUAUGUGUGUUUAUCCAAAUUUACGGCACCUUUGGCGGGGGUUCCACCCAGCUCCGCCCUCUCCACCUUCGGUACUCCAUGGGAAACCAUUCCUUUGGAAUCAAGGAAGCUUGAACAGUAUAACGAAUAAAGUUUCAUAUAUCCAUUUGAUUUCACAUGAAAUAAAAUAUUCUGUCAGAACCAAUGGUUUCACUGAAGCUCCAGGCAGCGAGCGAAGGGGUGAGAGAGGAUAACGCUUACUGUGUGUUACCAUCGCGUGCACCAUGGAUGACCAACGCGCAGCCGAGAUGAAACGGCGGACCUAAACAGGUCCUCGCUAUUUUUGCAGGUUCUCGACCAGGCCAGUUCUUUAGGCCAACCUAUCAUUCACGAGUUAAACAUACGGUGGCUGGAGAAAUGUUCUAUUCUUUUAAACAAUACCAGCUGGUUCCUCCGUUUUUAUUCCACCAAUACAAGCACCACCUUGUAACAUUUCCUAUGUUUUUUUUCCUUUCGUCUGUUUUCUCACUACAUGCGUUGCUCUUUCAUGCAUUUUUUUCCAUUCCUGUAUUCCAAAUAGGUCUACAUGAACACAAAAUGAACUAGGGGACAGAAAAAGCCAGUGAAGUUAGUUUUGAGCUUCACCAGCUACUUGCUACAUAAAGUGUGCUAUAGUCGCAGAAAAGCUAAGCUGGAUCAGACGUGGCCGAAACAAUGCCAAAGAGCUAGGUCCCUAGCUGAUGGCAACACAUCAGAUGACUAGCCUGCUUUUCUGUAAUAAUGAUAUUGAGCAAUACACUGCAUGGCUAACCUGCUUUACAAUAAUUGUCAUUUUAUAAUAUUGGUCAUCACGAGAGAUGCACAUUGCAUACACCGGCCCAUCCCUAUAAAUAGCCAAGCCUUUCAGCCAUCUUGGGCACCUCCUCUCAGGGCCUCGUCUCACCAUCAGACAUCUCGUUCCCAGUUAUAAUUUGCGAGGUUAGAUCAGGCUGCGCCAUGGCGUCCGCAACUGCUGUCAAGAUCGUCGCCACCUUCAUGCUGGUGCUGACCAUGGGCCACCUGAUGGCCGAAGCAUCACCGCAGCCUCGGCGUGUGCUUGCAGAAACGGAGCAUGCUGCGGUGUCCGGGAAUCCUGGCCUCCCAGGUGAUGCUAGCGUCAUGCAGGUCCUCGAACCCGCCCUAGUUUCUCGGCUUGCCUGCAAACCAGAGUGCACAGUCCCUUGGCCUCCUUUUGUAUGUAUCUGCUAGAUCCUCUUCCUGGCUCAACGGAACUUCAGGGAAAUGGCUGUGACGUCGGCCAAAGAAUAAAUUGGAUGAACAUAAUAUACCCCGGGUAGUGUAGCUUGGGCUUUUGUUGAGCGUCUGGUGCUAGUUGUAUUUUGUUUGCUCAUGUGGCUUUGCUUCUGGUUGCAUAUUGGCUUUCCUAUCGCUCUCUGUUGCAGCUAUGGUUUCUGCCAGGUGUGUGUUAAUGCGGUUUGUAAGCGGUGCUUGUUCCUACCUUCUGUUUUCAAUAAAAGAAGUCGGAGUCUCCCUCCGACUCUUGUUAUCAGUCAACAAAAAUGAGUUGUAUCAUAUAUAUCUGCGUCUUUUUUCUACGUAUCUUUGGGCUGCUUCAGCUGGAAGUUUAUCGUAAGUACGUGUAUCAGGAUGAUCGUUUGAAUUAAAACGAAAUGAUAAUGUGUGGCUGCUAGAAAUGGAAUGAGCAUCUUACUAUAUUACUAAUUGGAAGCCUCCACGUGAAGCCACCUAGAAAUUCUAGGUGGACGUUUUAAAAAAAACAAAACUCAUAGAAGCCUCCACCACCUAGGAAUCCUAGGUGGACACUCUAAAAAGAGACAAAUCCUAGAAAUUCUAAAAAAAGAAAAAAAUAAUAACAAUAAGAUUUUUUUGCAGUCAAUUACAUAUAUUUUUUUGAGACACCGUGCUGCUAGCUCUUGCCAUUGCGACCAGUAAAGCAAGCAGAUAGUAAGAUGACAUGCGUGUGGAUUGAUUAAAACAAAUUCAGUUAGUUGAUUCUAAAUCGUAUGUAUCCUAAAAGGAAGAUAUGUGCGUGCAUGGUCCCUAGCGAUGACAUGUAGACAUGUAUUGCAAUUUCUUUUUUAAAAAACAUGUCUAUCUCUAAACCAACAAACAGAAAAAAUAUCAAUCUAAAUCUAAAUCUCUUCCGUUCUCACACGCCUAUUAAAGAGAAGACAACCAAUCCCAUCCAUGUUCCAUAGAAUCCAUCUAAAAGCUUGCUCACUGCGGACGGCAUUUGACGGCAAAUCAAUGAAAGAUCAUCCUCUCCAAAUAGCUGGACGGCAUCACCAUCUUUAUCUCACCAACCUACAGAGCUACAACGAUGUUGUAGAGAUCAACUAGGUAACCUACCAAUCACCCUCCCCUUUUCUAUAUGCUCUAAAGAACACGUGGAGUAAUUAUAGGCCUAUAGGAGCCGACUAACCUAGAUUAAUAUGAAAAAUAUUCCAAUAUUAAAAGCAAGCAGAUAGUAAUACUUGCCUUUGACCAUUUUUCUAGAACUGUUAUUCCUAUUGAAUGUUCAAGUGCUACGGCCAGGCAUCGAAUGCCUGCACGGAACCUUCCUAUUGAAUGGUUACUCUAGAGAUCAACGCACCGCGAGACAUUUUUAUGGAAUUUGUUUGAUUCCCCUUCUACAAUUAGAUUAAUUUUUCAUGGCAUAUAUUACUACUAUUAAAUUAUUUGUUUAUUGUCGGGCCUGCUGCAUGUGUGGUAUAUAUGACUUGCUUCUCACCAUUGUUCUCAAACUAUUAUUCCUAUCGAAUCUUUCUAUCGAAAUAUAUUUUAAUUACUUGAUUGUUGUUUGUGUACCAUAACUUCUGUAUAGAAAAAUUCCAUGUUUGUAGAUAAUGUCUUUUGUAUAGAAAAAUAGCCCAAUUAGAUCCAUCACCAUCUUUUGCUUAUGUAGUUGAACAAGUUGCAAUGUUGAACAAAACUUUAAGUGAAAUUAGACCAGGAAAAGGAAUUGUGGAACAUUAAGGCAAGGGUAACCAGAUUGUGGAAUGCAACCUUACUCAGUAGUGGCGAACAAUUAAGUCUUGACAUGAUCCUUAUUGAUCAAAAGGUAUGAUAGAUGUUCACUUUGAUUGCAUUAUUGGUAUAAUUUUUGGUUUACAAAUUAUUAAUGAUGAUGCAAAAUUAGGGAACCAUGAUCCACGGUGUUAUCAAUAAGCCCUAUAUGAAAAAGUUCAAACCAUUGAUUGAAGAAGGCAAUGUGUACAUAAUUGCAAAUGUCAGAAUCACACCAGAACCACAGAAGUAUCGGCCAGUGGAAAAUGACAGGAUAGUCAACUUCUUACCCACAACUGCACUAAAAACGAUCAAAGAUACUGAAGACAUUCCAAAGUAUAGUUUUAACUUCAUGAGCACGGAUAUGCUUUCAGCAAGAAUAAAUGUGGACAUGUACCUAUUAGGUAAAACAUUACUGGCUUUUCAAUUUUUACACUUCCACUCAUUAAAUGACCAUCUAAUAAUAAUACAUAUUUAUGUUUCAUAGAUGUUAUAGGUAUCUCAGCUCACAUUGGACCGAUAGAAGAAACAAGGACAAACUUCGGAUUUACUAAAAUCCGUGAUAUUGUGCUCCUGAUCGAGUAAUUCUCUUUUCUUUUGUAGAAAACAACUACAAAACUUUCAACAUUUACAUGUAUGUUAUAGAACUUCUGUUGAACUAAAAAAUAUCUUCUACAGUGCCCCUACAAAUAAUUAAUUUCGUAGUUGGAUAUUUAAAAUAUUUAUUAUUCACUUUUAAAUUUGUGGCCAUGAAGUUAAAGUUAGAUUUUGGGGAGACAAAGUUGAGGAAGUUGAUGAUAAGACAAAAUCCCAUGUCAUUGCAAUAACAUCUACAACUGUGAGUAAAUUUGGCAGUAAGUCUUCAUUCAAUAUGAGUUAUUCAAUAUUAGUCAUUCAACAAACUAACCUCGUAAGAAAAAUAAAUAAUUGAUGUUUUAUCAGGGUAUUCUCUAUCGUCAACCAAUGCAACAAAACUUUAUGUAGAUCUACCUAUUCCUGAAACUAAGGAUGCACAUGAUAGGUGAGAAAAAUUAGAUAUUGUUUUUCUAUUUUAAUCUAUGUAGCAUGCACUCUAACAUGAUACAUUCUUUCAUAUGAUAAAAAAAUGUUAGUUCAAUUGAAAAUAUUGUCAAAGAGAUUCAUAUUGAGGACCAUCUAAAAGGGACAUUGGAAGACCAAAUGCAGUACAAUAGAAGAACUUUAGAAGAAUUAAAUUUCAUAUUAUUUGAAACAUCAAAUCAGGUAUGGAUUAGUAUGUUCAUUGUACACUAUACUAUUUAAAGACUUACAUACAUAAUGAUGGUAUUGUUCCUACUUUCAGGAUGAGGUAUUUACUAUUGAAGCAACAAUAAAUGAAAUUAAUGCAACAUAUGGUUGGUUGUCACACCCGAUUUUAAGGACAAAAUUGAGUGCAUUAAAUACAUGUGCACCAGGAUCAAGUUACACACAUCCUAUGAGUACCGUCCUUCUUUGGCACAAAGAUAACCGGUGCUCCCCAUGGUGAUGAACUAGGCCGAAUAAACUAUUUUGCUGAUAAUUCCUCUAGUUGUUGUUUCAAUUCUUUUAAUUGUUCAACCAACAUUCUAUAAGGACGUUUGGAGAUAGGUGCAGUACCAGGUAAAAGAUCAAUAGCAAAUUCAAUGUCGCGGUCAGGUGGCAUACCUGGUAAAUCGUCGGGGAACACAUCCGGAUAGUCACACACCACUUUGAUAUCUUCCAAGGAUUUUCCAGCCAACUGAUUAACUGCACAAUCUGCUGCUGAGGGUAGAGUAGCUACAAACUCCACUUUCUCUCCAUCAGGACCUGUUAGCAGAACUGUCCUCUUGGCACACUGAAUCGUUGCAUCAAAAGCGGCUAACCACCUCAUCCCCAGAAUUACAUCGAUUCCACUGGACUCAAGGACGAUAAGAUCAGCCGGAAACUCUAUACCCAUUAUUCUCAGUUUAACUUGUGGACAGAUGUAUUGAGCCUUCAUUGACCCCCCAGGUGAACUCACUAGCAUAUGACGCCUCAUGGUAUGCAUGGGUAAAUUAUGCUUUGCUACAUAAUGACUAGUGACAAAAGAAUGCGAUGCUCCAGAGUCAAAUAAAACUGAUGCGGGGGCAGAGUUGACAAAGAACAUACCAAGCACUACAUCUGGAGCCUCCUUAGCAGUCUCGGCUUCCAUGUGGUUCACCUUGCCACAAACAAAGCUUUGCUGCCCCUGAUUGCCUUGUGGGGUCUGGUUCCCAUUCCUCGGUUGCUGCAUCUGAUUCUGCCGAGGAGCACUGCUGUUCUGCACGGGGGUAGCUGGCCCACCUCUCUUAGGACAAGAGCUGGCAUAGUGACCAACCUCGCCACACUUGAAGCAGGUAGGACCCACUGGAGCAUUGGGCCUUGUUGGAGUGCCAGUAGGGGUCAUCUGGCGGUUCUGCGUAAAGCUUGGGCGCGGAGUCUGCAUAGUCUGCAUCCCUGGAUGCUGGAACUGAGGGCUAGGGCGCUGGAAUGACUGCUGAGCAGGGCGCGGAAAUGAGUGCUGCCAAAAAUUCCCACUCGGGCCCCCUGCGCGGAACGGCGUCCCUUGCUGUGGAGCAAAGCGAGGGCGGGUGUUGCUUCCUGAAGACUACUGGGAAUUGAAUUUCCUCUUCAUCUCCCCGAGCUCGUUCCUCUUGUGUUCCAGGCCAAUUGCCUUGUCUAGCAUCUUCUGGAAACUGGGGAAGGUGUGCGACAUAAGCUGAUAUUGGAGUGGUCCAAUCAACCCAUCCAAGAAUAGCUCCUGCUUCUGCUCAUCAUCAGCAACAUCUUCGGGAGCAUAUCGGGACAACUGGACAAACUUGUCCCUGUACUCUGCCACUGUCAUGUUCCCCUGCUUGAGAGCAAGGAACUCCUUCUUCUUAAGCUUCAUCAAUCCGGAAGGAAUAUGAUGACUUCUGAAGCUAGUCCUGAAUUCAUCCCAGGUGAUGCCAUUAGCAUUGGCAUGGGUGGUGGUGUAAGCAUCCCACCAAUCAGCAGCUGGCCCUUCCAGGCGUCCUGAAGCAUACAGGACCUUCUCCCUGUCAGUACAUUGGGCGAUAUCCAGCAUCUUCUCCACUGUUUUCAGCCAAUCAUCAGCAUCUAAUGGAUCCGGAGAAUGUGAAAACGUCGGGGGCUUGUGGCUCAUGAACUCCCUAUGCCUGUCCCUUGGCGGCGGCUGCUGCUGGUUGUUGUUGUUGUUAUUGUUCAGCUGAGCUUGUAAAGCUGCCACGGUGUUGGUCAGUCCGGCGAGAAGCUGAGUCUGAGCUGCUAGAAACUGCUCCAUCCCUGCAGGUGCUUGUUGGUUCUGUUGCGGAGCGGUGUUGGGAUUGCUGCUGUUGUCCCUGUGGCGUGGCACUGUGGGACGGUCAACUCCUGAUCCGGACCUGGUGUUUACCAUCUGAGCGUUAGAGACAAUGGAUUUAGAUAGAUGUGUGAAAGAAUAACUGAGAAAGAUAAAGCGACCAGAUGUAAAAGUAACACAGAUUCUGUUAGCUCCAUUUAAUUAGGUGUGGUCGUCAGAAGAAGUGUCCAUAAAUUCUGAACAAUUACCAAGUCGUAACUUAUUAAAUUUGUAAACCAACCCAACUGGAAUCAUCUCAAUCGGACUUCUGGAUCUCGAGUUACAAAAUUAACAAGCUGACAGUGUCGGUCGAUAGGUUCAGAUUCUGAGUGCUUUACUAAUUCGCAUACACCUCCCAGACAGAUACACCAAAAAUUCUGAAAAAUUUACAGAUAGUACUCCACGAAAUUCUGAAACUAACCCCACUGGUUUCAUGUCAUUUGGACUUCUGUAGCUAGAGAUAUAAAUAAAAAAGUACUGGCGUGUCAGUUAAUGUCGAGAACAGAAUUGAAUGUCGCUUAGCUUGCGUGAUGGAUAGAUUUAGACAGAUGGUAGAUCAUGAUUAAGGAAGAUUAAAUACUGAUUUAGAACAGAAAUAAAACCCAACUAAGCACUUUAUUUAUUAAGACCAGUAUCGUGUGGCAAUUGCCCCACAUACCGCACUCAUUACAAAAUCCAACUCAAACAUGUAGCACAAAACCAAUCAUCUAAGCACACUUUAACUAACACACUCGAACGACGUCUAACGAUUACAAGAAUUUAAACUAAAACACUCCUAAUUUCCUAGAGGUCUUCUGCGGCGGUGCCGGGCGAGUCGUAGCGGGGACGCUUAGGCGACGGCGACGAAGCGGGAUGAACAGCAAACUCCUGCGGCGGCGGUGCUCCCGUCGCGGCAGCCAUAUUCGCAUCCCUCUCCCACCGGAGUUCCUGAACCUCCUGUUGAAGCUCCUGGAUGUGGUUGUUUGCUUCAUUCAAUGCGGUGAGAGCUGCCGACGUGUACUUGCGGAGGAAGUCUGUAGCCAUGUCAACCCCAUCGUUAGUAGCGAUGAAGGUUCUUGCUUCCCCACUAGCUCGGUAAGGAAGGAACCGAUGGUAAGUGUGCUGCAAUCGCGGCCGUUCCUUGUGGGAGACGACCUCAAGUGCCCUCCUGGCGGCCUCGGCAAUGCCGGAUUCCAUGGUCCUCCUUAUGGUCACAUCAUGGUGAAAAGCCUUCACCUCCCAUCCUCCCUCGUGCUCCUCACGAAGGACAACCUUCACCUCCCAAAAAGUGGGAUAGCGAGGGUGGGUGAACCGGGAGCACUUGUAGAGUGGCCUCAUGCCGUACCCCAAGCGGUGACAAGUCCACCUGAGUAUGUCGGCCAUGUGCACUCCUUGGCCAUAAUCUUCCUUCACCCAUUUGAUCCAUGUCUCGGGCUCGGGAUCUGCUUCGGGCUCAUCAUCCGUCAAGUCGACGACCGGUACGGGCGUCGGGGCUGGUGCAGGAGCGGGCGCCGGUGCUGGCGACGGUGCUGGUGACGGCGUGGUCUCCUGCUCCACGGUCACGGCGUCCCCGUCAGAGUCAUCCCCCGGAUGCUGGAAGAUCUCUUCCUCUUCUUCCUCGUCCCAAGGCUCCAUGGGGGCGUACGACGGCGCGAUGCCAUGACGCGGCGGACGGGUGCUCUUGCGUGCGGUCAACCGGGUGCGAGCCAUCUAACAGAAAGAAAGAAGAAAAUUUUAGAAUAAAAUUUUGAACAAAGCUAGAUAAUAAAAUAGCAAUAAGGAUGAGACAAAUCAAGUUUAAGAAUAAUUAAGUAGAUUUAAAUUAAGAAAGGUAGGAAUGGCUACUAGAUUAUUAUAAUCCUUAAAUACGACCAUUUUCUAACUAGGCUAACGUCCUACAGUCAACACGGCUCUGGUACCACUUUUGUCACACCCGAUUUUAAGGACAAAAUCGAGUGCAUUAAAUACAUGUGCGCCAGGAUCAAGUUACACACAUGUACGACAAUAGUGAAUAGUAAAGCCAGUGCUAAAUCGAAUAAAGAGAGUAUUAACCAUUAUUACAUGACCGAAUGUCUCAAAUAAACCACAAAGUCUAAUUAUUACGCAGCGGAACUCCAAAGAUGACGACGACUCCAUAGGCAGCUGACUGAAGAAACGUACGCCUAGAACUCCUCGAAGUCGUGGAAGUACUCCUCUUCCCAAUUAACUUGGUCUGAACAGCGGUUUUGCAAGGGUGAGUACACUUAUGGUUGGUACUCAACAAGUCGUGGGAAGUAGUGUAGUGUAAGGCUAAUUCAAGGUAUGGCUAAGGCGUAAAUAGCAUUCGCUUUUAAUUAAGUUGGUCAAAUUUUAUUAGCAUUUACUAAGUAUAAGUUCAUACCACCCGAAAUUAAACAUGAACAUAAAGUAAACCACAUGUGCAUGAAAUGAUAACAAAUUAAAUCCAUCUUCCGAUAAUAUUAUCAUGUGAGGGUCCAGGCCGCUCUUAACCGUGAGCACGGCUGAUUGAUCAGUUUAACACUCUGCAGAGGUGGCACAUCUUUACCCACAAGUCGCGUAAAAGUUCAAAAGAACUUUGGACCCAACCAUGCGGUGUUUGCAAGGCACCAUACCACACUUCCGAGGUGUGAUUGCAUAGGGACGCUACGAGGCCUUUACAAAGAUUCAUUAAUCAGUGGUAACCCGCUAAGGUUUCGGUGUCUGGCGUGCACCACCCAUCCCAGGUAAAAUGCAACGACUCAGUCCCCCCCCUUGAAUCAUCACGAGUAAGGUCACCCCAGACUAAGGUUUCUAAUUAAUCAGCCAAGACCAGAGCUAUUUAGUCUUGUGGUAGCACUGUUUUCCUGGGUGGUCGCUCCAUGUUCUGAUUAACAAAUAAUGAUCUUGUCUUAAUGAAAGGUAUAACAGAAAUAAGGCAAGAUUAAGCAUUGUUUUUAGUUAAACCACCAUGUACCAAGUAAGCACUAAGCAUGAGCUACCCAACAUAAAGUAAACCGGUUGGUCAAGGCAAAGGUAAAACAAUCUAGGCCAACCUUAAUUGGGACCCAUCAAUUUAAUCUUAAUAUGUGCACAGCAUAAAUGUUGAGUACGAGAAAGUAAAGGUGUAUAGGACAAAAAGGUAGUGAUCAAGGACACGACUUGCCUUCUUGGCCUUGCUCCUGCUGUUCGUACUCCUCGAAGGCUUGAUCGGCAACUCCCUCGAACUGCGGGGCGUCUACACGCAUCACACGAGCACAUACAAGCAAACAUGGGCAAAAGUAAGAAAACAGUAUACCAAACAUAGUCAAACAGAGAAAACAAGCUUGAAAAGAUGAUCUACGCUUUAAAACGAACACGCGGAUAUAAAGAACGCGAAAAACGGAGUUAAGAUGCAAAAGAUAUGAUUAAAACAAAAUCCAGGGACUUUUCUGUAAGAAAAACAAAACUUUUAGGGCCUAUCCGCGAAAACCGAGGGCUUAUACGUAAUUAUGCGUAUAAACCGAGGGUCUGAUGCGUAAAAACAUCAAACCCGGACGGCGGGUUGAUUUCUGGAAAGGUCAAGGGUUAAACCGAAAAAUGCGAGGGCAGAUCUGUAAAUACUUUCAACGCGAUCUGGACCGCGGGUUGAUUUGCGAAAAAGGCGGGGGCUAAAGUGCAAAAACUGCACGGCGCGGCUCGGUUGACCGGUACGCGAUCUUGAUUGACUCGCGUCCGGCCGUCGGAUUAAGAUCCGACGGUCGCGGUGAUCCGCGACAUCGCGGCGGCGGCGGCGAGCGGCGGCGAGCGGCGGCAAGCGGCGGCGGGUCGCCGGAGUUAGGCAAAAUAGCGCCACGAGGCACGGUUUAACGCGCGGGUUGCACCAAAAAAGAGAGGGGAACACGUCGAUCCCGUUUUGGGGGUUCUUGUCGACGGGGGCUCACCGGCGACGGCGAACGGCGGCGAGGAAGAGGCGGCGGCGCUAGGAGCUCGGGCGGCUAGGGUUUCGGGGAGCUGCGGCGCUGGUUUUGGGCGGAGGAGACUGGGAGGAGGCGGCGGCUUUUAUAGGGCUUGGAGAUAGAGCCGGCGCGGGUUCAAAUCCCCCGGAGGAGUCGGAGCGGAUGGAGUCCGGGGCGGAGACGGCGCGCGGCGGUUGCGGAGUUCUGACCGGAUUCGGCCGGAGGUGGGAGACGAUGGGUGGGGUCCACCCGUCAGUGGCGGAGGGGAGCGGUAGACGGGCCGGCGCGACCGUGGGCUGGCGCGCGCUCGUGGGCUGCGGGGAGCGGGAGAGAAGCGGCGAGCGGGCGCUGGCGGAGCAGGCCGAGCGGAGGUAGAGCUGGGCCGCGGAGAAAAAGGAGGAGGCCGGCGGGCUGCUUCGCAGGCCGGUAAGGAUGAGGCGGCCGGGCCGAAGAAGAAAAAGAAAAGGAGGGACAAGGAGCUUUCGGCCGAGGGAAAAGAAGAAGAAAAAGAAAAGGAAGAAGAAAAGGGAAAAGGUUUUGGAAUUUGAAUUUAAAUCUGAAAUUCAAAAUUUGAUUCAAACUCAAGCAACCAAAAAUUAUGCUCCAGCAUGAAUGCACAAAUAAUUCCUAUGAUGAAUUAAUUGAAUUAAAGAAAAUGAAUUUAAAUGCCUAGAAAUUAAAUAACACCCUAAUUUGAGCAAAUUUUAAUGAAUUUGAAUUAUUGAAAUUUUGGGUGUUACAUUGGUACUACAUCUCAUGUAGUAGAGGCGAUUGUAAGAAGCAACUUGAAAAGAAGUUUGAUCACUACUAUUGCAAUAAAUGUGACAAGAGAGCCGAACCUAAAGCCCAGUAAAUUAUUUAGUAGUUUACAAUCUUAUUAUAAUACUUCUAUUUCUAAUAGGAGAAUAAUAUUUUCAGAUUCAAAUUAAGCUUCAAAUAAGUGAUCCAACAACAAGUGCAACUUGUGUACUUUUGACAAGGAAGCAGAAAUGAUAAUUAAUGAAUGAGCAGAUUCGAUGAUCACCUCAGUUGAUCAUGAUAAUAAGUAGCUACCAAAAUCAAUUCAGGAAAUAUGUGAAGAAACAUUGAUUUCUCAAUUCAGAUUGACCGAGUACAACUUGACAAGUUUUAGACCUGAUUAUACUGUUUCAAAGAUAUUUUUUCCAAAAGAAAAGGGCAGUUCAAGAAUUGGUAUGGAAAGUGUAAAAAAGGUAACACUUUAUUAUUAAUUUUUUAUUGCACUUUUUUCUUUUGAAUCCGUAAUACUUAAUAAUUUUACUAUAUCAAUGAAACAAAUUCUAACCUAAAUUUAUUUUCUUUUUUAUUAUUUGUAGGAAGUAGAAGACAACUCAGACAAAUGCUACACGAUAACUACCGAGAAUGAAGAGGUAGACACUGAUGACUCUUUUACCGAGAAAGUAACAUUCGUAGAAGAAGCCAUAAGGACUGGGGAAAGAUUGGCUAGAAAAGUAUACUCACUUCCAUGUCAGUGUUCAUUCUAUUUACAAUACAUGCAAAAAAAAUAUUAUUCAUGCAAAAUUGCAGGUCUACUAAGCAUUAAAGGAAUAGCGGAUAGUGCAAUAUGUAAUCUGAGCAGCAUGCAUUACAAAGUGCUCUACUGCAAUUAAAUUAAAAAACAUGAUAUAUGUUGAAUUCUUAGACUUUAUUAUUAUACUUUUCUACGUGACAAUUCACAAUUUUUUAGAAAAAAGAAGAUCCCAGAAGAAGUGACCAUGAAAAAAGGUCUAUGACCAGCAAUAAGAAAAAAUGCAAGCAUAGAAACAAAUCCGUAGAAAACAUAGAAAAUAAGGUACUCCAUAAACAAAAGUAUUCUCUUAUAUUUUUAUUAAAUAUUUUUUUAACACUUGACAAGUUCUUUUUUAGGAUCAAUAUAUCAGCAAUUCAGAUGUCAUUGGAGAUGAAACCUUAGUUCAUCCAAAAGGUCAAAAAAAAACAUCUGAAGAAAGGUGUUUGGCUGAAAAGGAAAAGCAAAAAAGUGGUAAUGCAGACAAACACAUGCAGAAAAAUAUAAAAACAUGUCAUAGGGAGGCAGACCAAUCUUGCAAGGAGGUAUAGACGAAACGUGAUACACGACCUGCCUACCUUGUCGUGGAUACCCCAAGAAGAUGUCAUAGAGGUGCAGACCAAGCUAGCAAGGAGGUCGAAACGUGAUACACGGCCUGCCUACCUUGCCGUGGAUAUUAGCCCUGAGAUCAUUCUACUGUUCAAGGAAUAACACUCAAUGCUGCUGCUGCUGCUGACCUGGCUCCAUAAAGUUAUACUCCUCUAGGUGCUUGCACUAACUUUAUCUGAAGUAUUAUUCUCUCUGCACUGUAUAUAUGGUUAUGGAGUUUGCUGGAGUAUCCGGGGCGAAGAACCUACAUAAUACGUCUUGGAACUAAUUGACAUUGAUUCACAGACAAACUCUACAAGGUGCUGUUCUUGCCAUUUUAGAGCAUCCAAAGGACUAUAAAUAACAUAGUUUACCAUAUACCAUAUACCAUAUACCAUAAUAUGUUAGCUAAAAUAAGAGCAUACACAUGUUGCAGGAGUCCAAAAGCACCGGUUGAGGACCAGGUACAUUGAAUUACUAGAAAAAGACAGGGGACAAGGUUUAGGUAACCACAUGAAACAUUUGAAUUUAUUGUACUAUGAACACUUAGUUACCAUGCCAGGAGCACAUAGUUAACACUAACAUUUAGCCACUUUAGAUCAUCCCGAAUCACCAAUGACCCUCAAUAGUGACAAAUUUUGGUUUAAAUGCCAUCACCAAUGAUCCUCAAUAGUGACGUAUUUAGGUUUAAAUCCCGUCACUAAUAACCCUCAAUAGUGACCUGUUUUGGUUUAAAUCUCAUUACCACUGAUCCUCAAUAGUGAUGUGUUUUAGCAAAACAUGUUAUCAAUGACUUGUCAUUGGUGACGUGUUAAAACGCGUUAUCUCAAUGGCAAAUCAUUGGUGACGUGUUAUCUCAAUGUUAUCAAUGUUCUAUUCUUUUCAACAAUACCAGCUCGUUCCUCCGUUUUUAUUCCACCAAUACAAGCACCACCUUGUAACAUUUCCUAUGUUUUUUUUCCUUUUGUCUGUUUUCUCACUACAUGCGUUGCUCUUUCAUGCAUUUUUUUCCAUUCCUGUAUUCCAAAUAGGUCUACAUGAACACAAAAUGAACUAGGGGACAGAAAAAGCCAGUGAAGCCAAUUUUGAGCUUCACCAGCUACUUGCUACAUAAAGUGUGCUAUAGUGACGUGUUUUAGCAAAACAUGUUAUCAAUGACUUGUCAUUGGUGACGUGUUAAAACGCGUUAUCUCACUGGCAAAUCAUUGGUGACGUGUUUUAAAAAAACAUGUCACCGUGAGAGUCAUUGGUGAAGGGUAAUUAAAAUGCGUCACUAAUGUUGUAGCAUUAGUUAUGAUAAUUUAGUAACGCAAAAAUCUACCAUCAGUAUUGAGCUUUAGAGCCAUCGCUAAUGUGGGUUUCUUACAUAGUGAUGCAAGCUCUACAAGGUGCUGUUGCUGCCAUUUUAAAGCAUCCCAUGACUACAUGUUAAUAACAUAGUUUACCAUAUAUCAUAAAAAUAUUAGUUACAAUAAGCACAUACGCAUGUGGAAGAGUCCGAAUGCACCGGUUGAGGACUAAACACAUUGAAUUACUAGAACCAAAUGUAUGUUUAGAACAAAGACAGGGGUCAAGGUUUGGGUAACCGCAUUAAAAACAUUGGAUUUUACUGUACAUGAACACUUAGUUACCAUUACCAUGCCUUGAGCACCUAGUUACAACAAACAUUAAUUUAGCCACUUUAGAGCUUCCAGAAUCGCUAUAAAUAAUAUACCUACGCCGUACCAUGAAAACAUCAAGAAGAGAGACGGAUACAUGGACCACCAUCAAGCGAGUAGUGACAGCACGCACAAGAAUACCCGGAACCUGUUAGCUUGUCUGUAGUGAUCUGUUUUCUUCCCCAUAAAAUCCAUGAGUAUUGCCACAAAUAAUGAAAGAGGCUGACCAAGCUAGCAAGGAGGUAGAGCAAACGUGAUACACGGCCUGCCAAGAUUGCCCUGGAUACGCCAAUAAGAGCGACAGAUACAUGGAUCACACCAAUAUGGUGAAACGUAUAUUCAUCACACAAGCAAAGCUGGUCAGUUUAUCCAUGGUCAAAUUGUGGUCUUUGUUUUCACUUGAGAGCUAAUUGAGGCACUAUAAUAUGGGCAGGCCUAUCUUCAACAGACAUGACAGCUACAGGGAACUUGACAUAAUUUGCUGGGCCGCCUGUGCACAAUUAUUUGUUUUAUUGUCCUUGCAUAGAAUGCUAAAAUACUCUUUACAAAAUGUUGGAUCUAAUAUUUGAAAUAUAGAGUAGUAAUCAUAUAUUGAUCAACAACUUGAAAUUAUCUGUACAUUCUCGGUGAAGCUGUUGAACUAAUUUUUGCAAAUUAUUAAUUCAUCUCAUUACGUAAAGAAAAAAGUAAGUGGAUAAGAUAUUUCGUGGACCACAUCACUGCAAACAUGUCAUGGAGAGACAGACCAAGGAGGCAGGACGUGAUACACGACUUACCCUAGGUUGCCGUGGAACCGCCAAGAAGAGAUACAGAUACAUGGACCACACCAUCUUGGGAGUAGUGACAGCAUAUAUGCAGAAGAAUACCCCGUGCCUAUUUGCAUGCAUGUCUCAAGUGAUCUGUUUUCUUCAGAAAAUACAUGAGCAUUGCCAGAAAGAAUGGCAAGAGACAAACAUGUCAUAGAGACUUGCAUGUCUUGCCUUGGAUACGCCAAGAAGAGGGACACAUACAUGGAUAACACAAAUCUAGUGACACGUAUAUUCAUCACAAAGGCAAAUCUGAUAAUUUUAUCCAUGGAGCAGACCAAGGAGAAAUUGAUGACGGACAUGUGAUCUCUGUAUUCAGUUGAAAGCUAAUUGAGCUACACUAAUAUGAGCAGGACUAUAUUCAAGAGACUUGUUGAGAGCUACAGGGAACUUGUAAUAAUUUGCUGGGCGGCCUGCGCACAAUGAUUUGUUAUACAUAGUUGAAAUAUUUCAAGAAUUUAUCAACCUCAUACUCUGAAACCCUUGGUGCAAUGUACUCUGCUUUCCGAGGUAGACUGUUCACGUAAAAUGAGGUCAUGCGUAAGACGGAAUCGGAUUGGAUUCACAGGGAAUCAGAUUUGGAUAGCACCUUUUAGCAGGUUUUUAGUCAAAUGCAAAUUCGGAUCCACAUGUGGUUGAAUGCGAGUUCAAAAUUCUACUUGGAUAUCCAUUUAAUUUAGGUGAUAGCAAUUAGCACAAAAUGUUGGAUGAACAAAAUCAUAGUUAGACAUACAAUUACAUGUAUGGUUAAAGUAUAAUACAAUACACCAAGAUUAUUCCUUGAAAAUAUUUCUUAAAAAUAUUAUAAUAAAUGAAUAAAUAUAAUUGUGGCCACCAACAAAUAGUCGGUGGUCGCUAAGUUGGAGCCAUUUCUGGUUACUAAUGCGGCCUUCUCCUCGACCAGCGACGACAGCUGAGCUUGUUCCUUCUGACACUAAAUCAUCAGAGUCUUCCCUCCACUACUAUAGAAUGCACCUUUAGCACCAAUUGGGAAAUCCCCUUCAGUAUUGGAUGCUGCAACCAGUGCUAUAUAUCAAAAUGGAGACUAAAAGCCUCGGUCUUGGGUACCGGUUGCAUAACGCAUUACUAAAGGAGGCAAAAGAGAAAUGUAACAAAAAAAAUAUUUUGAAUUCCAAGAAUGUUUCACUAUUCAAGAUGACUAGCUGAGAGUCAACAGACAAGAUACUAGGAAUGUGGGUGCUUGAAUGCAUUUGUACAGAGGUCAUACUAUUUACAAACUCUUCUAUGUUUCCAUAUGACUACCUACUUCAAUGUCACGCGAGCCAUUCAGCUGGACACAUGGCACACUAGCUUGCAUGUCGAAUCCAUGAUUAAUUAUUUGCACUUGUGAUCUCUUACCAGUAUUUGUCCAGACUAGAAACGUGCAACACAUUUUUAGGAUAUGGACACGCAUAUAUUUGGACUAGUAUACAGGUCACCUUUGGAUGCGUACAAGGAUGACCGGGAGGGACUAAUGGAUACAAGGAAGGGACCAUCAGGAUUAAUAUUGACAUAUGCCACAUGACAAUCUUCAUUGUCAUGCAAUCCCUAUCAACAAUCAUGGAAUCCCUAGUGUACUAAUCCCUGGAGGGUUGUGUGGAAAUUUAUUUUACCUUGCGGUGAAAAUCUCAUGAGCAGUCAUUAGUUAAGCUGACUAGCUGAGAUAUAAUAGACAAGCUAGUAAGAUUGGGAGCAUCAAUGCAUCCAUACAGGGUCACAAUAUCCUUUCCAUUCACUUUUAUAUAUAACCCUACGAAUACAAGUCCAACGAAAUGCGGGCCUUUCGAUCAAGAUAAAUUAAAUGGCCCACUUGUAUUUCUAAUCCAGGAUUAACUAUGCCCUCUGUUCAUCUCUUGCAAGCACGUGCAACACAUUUUCACGAUAUGGACAUGCAUGGAGGUUAUUAUACUGUUUGGACAAACUCUGAUGUGCCAUGACCUAAAUGCUUAGGGCCUGUUUGGUUUGAGUUGCUUAUUAUAAGCAACUUAAAGUUGCUUAAAGUUGCUUAUUUGAAGUUGCUUAUUUUUAGUCUAAACUGUUUGGAUACCCUUGCUUAUGAGCAUUGAAUGAGUUGGACAUUGUCAAAUUUGCCCCAUGUGUUGCUACCCCUCCAAUUUGCCUCCCCACCCUUCUUCUUCCUGCACACGUCCGAUCCCGGGGGCCGACGGCGGGCAGGGAGCAGCAGCAGCUGGCCAGGGCGGCGGUGGGGCGGGAGCGGCGGCGCACACCAGCACGCGCUCGCACGCCAGGUGCUAGGGCGCGGCGAGGCAGUCGUCGUAGCCCACCGGGAGCGGGUGCUCGGGCGCGAGGCGGUACUCGACGGAGAUGCCGAGCGUCGGGCGCGCGGCGGCGAGCGCGUUGAGGAAGCGAUGGUAGUGCGGCGACGUCGCGGACUCCGCCACGAAGCCGCCGCCGUGGACGUACACCACCACGGGCAGCUUCGUCUUGCCGUCGGCGGCCGCGGCCGCGGCCUGGGGUGGCAGGUAGAGGCGGACGGAGCAGGAGCCGAGGUCGACGUCCCUGGAGUCGACGCCCGUGGCGGCGUCCAGGCUGGGCCCGACCGGCGGCGGCACGAGCGGGCGCUCGAUGCGGCCGCUCUUGUAAAUCCGACGGGUCUGUGCGGAGGCGGGCGGCGGGCGGGAGCGGCGGGUGGGAGCGGCGGCAGGUGGUGCGGAGGCCGGCGGCGGCGGGUGGCGCGGAGGAAGGGGAGCUGGUGAGUGGUGACAGGGGAGGGGGGGAGAGAGAGGGGGGGUAGGGUGCAUUGAAUGAGGGCAGGAGGUGUAAAGUGCACCUUUUAGUCCCCAUGAGCAACCAUAAGCAGCCCAAGAGUUGCUUAUUUGCUUAUAAUAAGCAACCUCAUAAGCAAGAGUGAUUGGUUUCAUAAGCAACUUAUUUGCUUAUUUUAAGUUGCUUAUGCAUAAGCAUGUGAAACCAAGCAGGUCCUUAACCUAUGGUUGUGGCACCACACAGUACAUAGUAUUUAAUAAUGCUAUUCGUUUGGUAUGUGCACAAGGGCACGCAUGAAAUGUCUGGCCCACGGUAAACAAGUACGGACGCUGCAAAUAAUCUACUCUGCUCGUCCAGUCCCUAGCCUAUAAAUAGAUGCCAUGCUAGCUCUUGUUGUGCUCACAAUUAAUCCUGACUACACACGAGCUUCUCUCCCUGGCCAAGACACAAUCAUAGUAUGAUGAAGAACAUGGCACUAGCCGGCAAUGGUAUGAAGAACUUAAUCCUCGCUGUUCUCUUACUGUGUCUAGUUAUAGGGCAGAUACAAGUGGAAGCUAAGAGCUGCUGCCCAUCCAUUACUGCAAGAAAUAUCUACAAUGCCUGCCGUAUCACGGGUACAUCCCGUCCAACGUGUGCAAAACUGUCAGGCUGCAAAAUUAUCAGCGGGGACAAAUGCAAGCCCCCUAACGACCACCUCACCCUUGACCCGGACACUGGUAAAUAAUAAAUUUAUCUCACUUGAUUUCUUCGUGUUUUGAGUCGUUAAUGUAUUUUCCAUCUGAUGAAACGUAUUGGUUUUGCAUUGAAGAGGAAGUUAAUGUGCUUAACUUCUGCAAGUUGGGGUGUGCGUCGUCUGUGUGCAACAACAUCAACGCUGGUAAGCACCUUUUGCUCAGACGGAGAAAACAAUAAUCAUUAAUUAGCGGCAGCUAGAAUCCUAUAAUCUAAUAUAUUUAUAUAUAUAUAUAAUUUUAUCAGCUCUGGGAAAUGAAGAGGCGAACGAUGCCGUUGAGAGUUGCGACCAAGCCUGCUCUAGCUUCUGCAACGUGCACGUUGGCGCUGCCACCGUGGUUGCUUAAGCAAAUGCAUCCAACUGGAUCGUCCUUGUGCUAAAUAAUUGGAUAUCGUAUCCACUUAAAGCUGCCUUGUGUAGUACGUUUUUGUUUGUGUCUCUCUUUAUAUUCCAAUAAGGUCGGUGAUCUUGAUGCCACACACUCAGACGUGUGUUCAUCUCCAGAUACUACUCCAUGCUACCUGCCCUUUGUGUUUUGUUCAAUAACUGGGUAUCAUAUCCCAGCCAGUGUGCCAUCUGUUUUGUGUUUAUUUCCUUCUAGUUUCAAAGGGGUUAUCAUGAUGUUACCUUCUUUCGAUAUGGUGCUUUGCAUGACUACUGUUGUAUGGUACCAUCUUGUUGGCCAAUAAAUACAUCUUAUCCUAUGACCCUUUGCUAUGACCCUUUGCAAAUAAGUACAAGAUUGUUAAAUACUCGGUAUAAAUUGACUACUGCUGUGAGUUCCCUUUCAGCUUAUCGUAGGCAUACAUUAUUGCUAGCACGGUGAAGACAACCAACACGAAUGGUCAAGUAAACGUACCGGUACUUUUGUAUACCAACACCCUUGCUUAAAUGUACCGGUGUUACUCCCCACUAGCACAUAUAUUCUUAUAUGCUAGCCGGCUUGAAAAUUAACCGAUUAAAAUAAUUAUUUCAAGACAGAAAUAACUUAUCGGCUUCUCGAAGCAUGUGUAAUGUGAAUUCAAGGACUUGAUGGAAGUUGAAUCGCUUAAUCUAGAUUGCUUUCAGGAUUUUGGGUAACUAAAUUUAACAUUUGCACAUACAAAUGUUAAUGUACAAAUAUUAAAUAUAGUUACCCAAGCAGAAUAUGAAGAUACUCUAUAGUAUAUAUAUACUAUAUAAAUCUAGUUAACAUUUAGUCUAAAUGUUAAAUCUAGUUACCUAAAAUCCUGAAAGCAAAAUGUAUAAAUAUAUAUCUUUUAAGGAAUCCCAAAGCAAGAGUUCAGUGGCAUUCUAUAGUCCCAUGCUGCUAGUUUGAGUUGGUCGAAGCCAACUUAAAUAGGAGAGCUCUCUCACUUCUCUAAAUACGUAACUGAAGGAGAGAAGGGGGCUUGGUUACACAACGCACGCACGCACGCAUAUUUGCGUUCUUUUCGCGUAACCAACCGCGUGACUUGAAACUUGCGACGUAGCGUGCUGCCAAGUCAAGUUGAUAUAACCUUUUUGCCGUAGGCGUGUAAUCUUUUGACAACGGUCAUUGGAGGUGAUAAGCACGCAGUCAAUACCUUAAUCCUGAGUUAAUAGGGCGGUUACUACUGCCAAUUAGUGGGGCAAUUUUGUAGGGGAAACGGUUAGCAGAGGGCUACCAUCUUCUCUAUAAGAAGUUCUGGAGACGUCCAGGAACACACAUGUACAUGUGAGAGACCCACGAAUUCCUUCCCAUCUCCCUUUUCCAUCUGGUGAAGUGUGCUAUGGUACUGAGCUGCUGGAUCUCGCCGGCUCUUCUCCUUGGCGUGCACCGAGGAGGAGGGUGAGCGGUAUCUCCGAGCUAUUGCCGUCAGGAAGCCUGCACGAGGGACAACAAUAAAGUUUUUGGGUAGCGCAACUACGCAACCGCUCGAUUCGAUCGACUAUGUUCUGCGCUGCCUCAUCUUCGAUCUGCACUGCAACACGUAACCCUGCAGCAAGUCUACACAAGGACGGAGCACUAAUCUGUAAGUCCUAGAUUGGUUUCUUACAGAGUUGUAGGUUACACAAGAUCUAGAAUUGUUACAUACUUAUUAUUAUGGGUUACAUGAUGUUUUGUACGGUUACGUCUAUUUUGCAUAUGCUAUUUUUACAUACCGUUUACAUGCAUAUGUAAUGGUUACGCCUAGCUAUUUGAAUCUAGAAUUGGGUUACAUAGCAGUAGCAAUGACUUACGUAAUAUGCCUCAUGUUUAUAUCUGGUAGAAUUUAACACGUAUCUCCAACAUAUUUUGAGGCAGUAUAAAUUUCAAUUCCUUUUGCUGCUCUGUUAAAUCCCGUCUUUCGUGUGGCCCAACACUCUAGUAUGCAUGUAGCACCAAGCUUGUUUGAGCCGCUUUGUGCUCUGAUUUUGCUGUCUGUAUCAGGUUGGACUGUUUCUUUGUCUUGCGAUGUAUAGCUUCAUAUCUUCUAGAGGUUAGACAGCAAAACCCGCGUUCUCUUAAGGCAACAACUCGAAGAAUCUGCAGCGCUCCUGAUAUAUCACUGCUGCAGAAACAAUCUUUAGUACUGAUUUCCAACCCCCUUUAGUAUCGGUUUGGCAAUCAGUACCACUACGUCGGUACUAAAGGGAGUUCUCUAGAAUCGGGUCAAAUAACUGGUACUAAAAGUGCUCCUCUACUACCAGUUGGUAACACCAAUAGGUAGUAACUUUUUUUGCACCCAAAAAAUUAAAGAAAAACAGCCGGGAGGCUCGCGCACACACGCAUCAUGAGUAAUAUGCGCGUGCAUGGUUUGUGGGAUUCCAACCCACGACCAAGCUAUAAGCACGUAGUUACAAAAAAAUUAAACACUUAGACAUUUUAGAGCAUCCCAAAUAACUACAAAUUCUUUAGUUUACCAUAUACCAUAAAAUAUUAGUUAAAAUAAGAGCAUACGCACGUCGGAAGAGUCCCAAUGCACCGGUUGAGGAUCAGACCAGGCACUUUGAAUGCACAUGCCAUAAGAUAAUUCUGCAGGACGAUGAUUGCAAUAAUGGACCAUCGAGAAGAUAGGGGCGAUGGGGUUGCCUCAUCAAUUAUGACUUGGCGCAACAAGACCAGCAAAGUCUUUAUCGACAGGGGUGGAUCAAGGGGUGGGGCGGGUAGAGCUCCAAUCUUCCUACCGCCGCUCGAACAAUGGAGCCCCCCUUAGCCCCUCCAUAAAUUUUUAGGUAGAAGAAAAAAGAAGAGAAGGGAAGGAAGGGGAAGAAUAGGGAGCCCCUCCUAAGUAGGUCGCCAUCGUGCUUCCCAACGCAUGAUCGCCGCACCGCAUCCAUUCCUCUACAAGCCUCCAGCGUCUCUCCUGCCGCUACCUCUGAACCAUGUGCAGCUGCAGACCCAACUAGUGUCUUGUCACCCAUCUCAAUCCCAACAGAGCGGCGGCUCCUGCCAGCACAAAUCUCCCUCCGCCUGUUCUUCACGAUCGAUGGCCACCACAAGCAUAAACCUCGCCUUCGCAUCCACGCAAAAGGGUCGCCGGUGUGCCUUCUCGCAUCGCUUCUCAGCCUCCUUCACUUGCGGCUGGCCAAGAACCGUGCCACCACCUCGGGUGCGCGCCACCGCUCCAGGGCCGCUACCCCAUGCGUGCGGCCGCCGCCGGCCACCACGCGUGUGCAACCGUGUCGCACCGCUUCCCUGCUCUGUGCCACCACUGCUACUGCACCACCAGCUCCACCACCUUGGGCUGGUCGCCAGGGUGACUGAUUGGUGGAUUAUUACUACAAAUAAGUUCCUUAUUAUCUGCAACUACUAUUAACUCAGGGAUACAUGCGUCUUUUGCUUCUCCUGUUAAUAUGUCCUAAAAUAUCUAGAAUGCCUUAUAUUUCUGGACGGAGGAAGUAUUUGAAUAAAAUGAACCAAUUUUAAAAAAUGUGUUGUACACUACUACAGAAAGAACUAUCAGUGUCAAACCCAAAAAUGUCGUCACUGCCAGUUUUGGGCAUCGUUGGUGAAAGGUUGGCGGUGAUGGGUAUCCCCUUCAACAACGGCACUAGAGCUAACAGUGAUUGACAUUAGAAAACGAAAAAGGGGACCCACCUAGCCACCCCUGCAACCCGGCUGGCCGUGCCUCCCGUCAUCCCCACCACCUCGCCUCCCCCGUGACCCCCCGCCGGCGCCCUUGCGCCUAGCCCCCUCGCCUGCCUGGCCGGCCACCCUCGUCACGAGAGAGAGGGGUGCAUGUUGUAUAAUUGCGUGAAUUUUUAAUGUUUAAUUUCAUGUAAGUUUCAUAUAAUAAAUUGUACAAGUUUUAUUGUAUAUAUGAAUUCCAUAUAUAUAUAUUUAUAAUUUAAUGUAUGGUUUCAUGUGUAUAUUUCAAUAAUGUGUAUAUUUAGUAGAUAGCCGAUUUUCUUUUUCUACAAGACAAGGGUUGAUGUAUAAUUACGUGUAUAUGUUUAUUGUACGGGCAAUUAGGACAAGUUUUGUAUAAAUUUCUUUUAUUUCAUGGUUGUUGUAUGGUUUCAUGUAUAUACAUUUAUUGUACUACUUGAGACAAUUUUUAAUUUAAUGUUUCUAUGGUUACAUGUGUGUAUAACUAAUUGUAUUAUUAGUUAAGAUGGGAGCCAAAGAGGAUGAAAGGUAUAUAAUGGAGCAGAUUAUUGCUGGCGGUAGUGGCUCAAACGUUGCAAGAACCUACAUCAAGGGUGAGGGUAGCUAGGUGGACAUGUACCUCAACAUGUCCAGUGAUGGCAAUGACGAUGAGGAGCACGAGCAUGACGUUUAUGAUAGUGCGGAACAAGACAUUGCAGAAUUGGAAGGUUCUAAUGAGGUGUGCUUCAUGUUGAUGAUCUGGUUGGCUUUUUUUCUUUGGUCACACCUUAGUUACCAUAGAACUUCGUCUCGGGAGAAGAUUGGAGGUGCUAUGGUGAUUGGAAUUUUAUUGCCUCCAAAUAUGAUUUCCAUCGAAUCAUAUCCCUUGUAUUUAUCUUCUUUUUAUUUGUGAGAGCAUCUUCUUUAUGCUUGCAAAACAAUUCAAGUGCACAUACUACACCUAGGGUGAUGAUUAGGAGUAGAAACAAUUGCCAACAAACGAACACCACAUCCUAAGAUUCUUAACUUGUGGUAUAAUUAGUCUAGUAAAAAGAAAGAUAAAAACCUAAUGGGUGUACGUGAGUGCAAUGCGUAUAUGCAUAUGAGUGGAAGGCAUAUAAGCAAAGAUAAUAUUUACACAUAGAUCUAAGCACCAUGUUUACAACUAAGUUGCUGAAUUUCUCCAUAGCUAUAGAGAUUAAUGAACCAAGGUCAAAACACCAUGUCUAUCCCAAGAUCAGUAAUUCUUUAUAGCACAAGAAAAAGAAAGCGCAUUGCAAAGUUUAUAAACCAACCAAUGCAGCAUGAAAACAAGAUGAAUAGCUAGCAAGGUUUAUUAAACUGAAUGAUGACGGUCUGCAAGCAAGUUUGAACACCAUCUUUACACAAGAUUGCAAAUGGAAAAUUCCCAUAUGAAGAACUAACAUGGAUAUGAAAUCAUUCAUCAUAAAGCGUAAAGAACAACCAAGCCAACCAUAUGCAAAGCAUGAAUGGAAUGCAAUGAAGGUGCAAGAGAACAUUUUUGGAUGAACCCAUUAUGAUGAUGGCAAAAUGCGCCGUGCCCCCCAGCCCCCGCGGUGAGAUCCCGCCGCUCGCUGCCGCCAGACCCUAUUAGGCCUCCACCGGCAGGUCCACCCACGGUCCCGCGCGACGUGGCAGCCUCUUGGCUCUCGGCGCUCGCGGCACGCCAGUGCUGGCGCAGCCCCACCAGGCGACUACCCUCCCCCCAUAAGGCCUCGGCCCCUCCCCAGCGCCGCCCCCCAACACCAGGACUGCCUGCUGCCCCCCACCGUGAGGUAAUCGAAAUCGACUGCUCAAUCUCUCAAUCUGUUGAUAUGAUGCACACGGUUGCAAAAAUAGAUGUGUCAAAAUAGAUGUUUUGCCAAUUGCUAUAGAUGCAUACGGUUGACAUGAAGUCAAAAAUGACAUUUGGUUCCUUGUAGGCAGUCAAAAAUGAAGAAGUCAAAAAAUAUUGAUCUGAAAUCAAUGUGGGAAAGGGCUAUGAAGACACGCAGGUAGAUUCCCUUGUGAACUUUUUAUGUCGUUCGUCUAAAUAAUUUUUUGCAAUGGGCAUACCCUACUCUGAAAUCCUGGGUCCGCCACUGAUGAUGAUGGUCUAAAAAUAAACCAAGCCUAGAUUAAUUAGCCACAACUGAAAUUAAGCAAAGGUUAAUGUCAUUGACCCUAGCUCUAUCCUAGCUUUUACCAAAGUUCCGGCACAUAUAGUGGUUGGGCCCACUCUCUCUGCUUCCCUCUCUGCUGCAUGCACGCACACGAGCAACGGGAGGCCCGACGAAGCCCAGAAGGGUUCGGCCGAACCAGUAUGAGCGCCGCUCCCUCCCAGCCUUCGCGCAGAUGCUCCUCCAACGUUCCUUGACCCCUCCCUCAGCGUCCCGUUGGGUUUAACAUUGCAGGAGAGGAGUCCCUUUUUUAAAAUCUCAACCACCUCCUCUCCCCAUUCACUCCACUCUCAUCUCCAUCAAACUCACCAAGAUCCGCACCGGAAAUCCCUGCUUACCACCAUGGCUGGCAAAGCCCUCAUCCCUUUCACCAACUUGGGCUUGACCACUGAUCUCGAUGGGGAAAUCACUCUGGCAAAUAUGCGUGUAACACUGCCCCCUUUGCCGAGGGUUAAAGCCAAAACACUCAGCAAAGUGGAUAGUACCCCCCUUUUUACCCGUUUUGUCAUGUAUAACGGACCCCUCUCAAUUCACAAUAGACAUCAUCAUAGGCAUUUAUAAUAAACAAUCACAGGCAUAAUUCACAAUCACCAUUACAAGCAUUAUUCAUAAAUAUCACAGACAUAAUCCAAAGUAAGCAUGAAACAAGCCAUAAAUCCAAGUUCAAGUCACAACUAAGUUUCAUCCAAGUUCAAGUCACAAAUGCAAUGUCUAAAUCCAUGGAGGCCAAGGAGACCACUGCGACAAAUCUUGGUCUUCAUUAUUCGAAGCCGCCGAUUGAUUCUGCACAUAGGAUAGGACAUUCUGAGCUAACAUCUAAAGUUGUCAAAAUUAAAGUAUUCAAUCUUAAGCACAAUGUGUCAAAUGACUCACAGGAGUAGUUGUGGGUGGCUGAGGCGGAGGGAACAGCAUCGAUGGCGGUGGCAAAGAUUGACCCAUGCUCGAAGCAAAAUUCUGCAUGUACUGGAACAUCUGGUCCAUCCUCAUCCGAUUUUCUUCCUCCAUCCUCUGCCGCUCGGCCUCUAACCUCCGCUGAACCAUCUGCUCCAUCCUCGCCGCCAUCUCCUCUUGUUGCUUCCUUGCUGCUUCCACCUGGGCCUACAAUAUUUCAUUGCAAUGUUACAAUGCAAAGCUAAAGUAUAGCAACCAACGAACAAUGAAUGGAAGAGAAAGAACCUGGAGAGCCUCCAUCUGGAACUGUCCAAUGGUUGGUCGUAGCCGUAUCGCCGGGCUCGAGUCCGUGCUCCUUGCUUGGAUCUGGGAGAGAGUGGCAGUAGAGGCCGUGUUGAUUACGCCGUCGCCAAUCCAAUAUCGGCCAUGCUUCUUGCCUCCUCCCACCCUCAUCACGAUUUCUCCAUCAAUAUCCUCAGAGCUUGAAUCGAAGUCUGGCCCGUGAACCUCCCUUGCCAUCACUGUAUAUUCCUUUGCCGAGUGCCCGAGAUAAAGCACUCGGCAAAUAGAAAACACUCGGCAACUUUACUGUUUCCCGUAGUGUCGCUAUUUUUGCAGGUUCUCGACCAGGCCAGUUCUUUGGGCCAACCUAUCAUUCACGACUUAAACAUACGGUGGCUGUAGAAAUGUUCUAUUCUUUUCAACAAUACCAGCUGGUUCCUCCGUUUUUAUUCCACCAAUACAAGCACCACCUUGUAACAUUUCCUAUGUUUUUUUUUCCUUUCGUCUGUUUUCUACAUGCGUUGCUCUUUCAUGCAUUUUUUUCCAUUCCUGUAUUCCAAAUAGGUCUACAUGAACACAAAAUGAACUAGGGGACAGAAAAAGCCAGUGAAGCCAAUUUUGAGCUUCACCAGCUACUUGCUACAUAAAGUGUGCUAUAGUGACGUGUUUUAGCAAAACAUGUUAUCAAUGACUUGACAUUGGUGACGUGUUAAAACGCGUUAUCUCAAUGGCAAAUCAUUGGUGACGUGUUUUAAAAAAACAUGUCACCGUGAGAGUCAUUGGUGAAGGGUAAUUAUAAUGCGUCACUAAUGUUGUAGCAUUAGUUAUGAUAAUUUAGUAACGCAAAAAUCUACCAUCAGUAUUGAGCUUUAGAGCCAUCGCUAAUGUGGGUUUCUUACAUAGUGAUGCAAGCUCUACAAGGUGCUGUUGCUGCCAUUUUAAAGCAUCCCAUGACUACAUGUUAAUAACAUAGUUUACCAUAUAUCAUAAAAAUAUUAGUUACAAUAAGCACAUACGCAUGUGGAAGAGUCCGAAUGCACCGGUUGAGGACUAAACACAUUGAAUUACUAGAACCAAAUGUGUGUUUAGAACAAAGACAGGGGUCAAGGUUUGGGUAACCGCAUUAAAAACAUUGGAUUUUACUGUACAUGAACACUUAGUUACCAUUACCAUGCCUUGAGCACCUAGUUACAACAAACAUUAAUUUAGCCACUUUAGAGCUUCCAGAAUCGCUAUAAAUAAUAUACCUACGCCGUACCAUGAAAACAUCAAGAAGAGAGACGGAUACAUGGACCACCAUCAAGCGAGUAGUGACAGCACGCACAAGAAUACCCGGAACCUGUUAGCUUGUCUGUAGUGAUCUGUUUUCUUCCCCAUAAAAUCCAUGAGUAUUGCCACAAAUAAUGAAAGAGGCUGACCAAGCUAGCAAGGAGGUAGAGCAAACGUGAUACACGGCCUGCCAAGAUUGCCCUGGAUACGCCAAUAAGAGCGACAGAUACAUGGAUCACACCAAUAUGGUGAAACGUAUAUUCAUCACACAAGCAAAGCUGGUCAGUUUAUCCAUGGUCAAAUUGUGGUCUUUGUUUUCACUUGAGAGCUAAUUGAGGCACUAUAAUAUGGGCAGGCCUAUCUUCAACAGACAUGACAGCUACAGGGAACUUGACAUAAUUUGCUGGGCCGCCUGUGCACAAUUAUUUGUUUUAUUGUCCUUGCAUAGAAUGCUAAAAUACUCUUUACAAAAUGUUGGAUCUAAUAUUUGAAAUAUAGAGUAGUAAUCAUAUAUUGAUCAACAACUUGAAAUUAUCUGUACAUUCUCGGUGAAGCUGUUGAACUAAUUUUUGCAAAUUAUUAAUUCAUCUCAUUACGUAAAGAAAAAAGUAAGUGGAUAAGAUAUUUCGUGGACCACAUCACUGCAAACAUGUCAUGGAGAGACAGACCAAGGAGGCAGGACGUGAUACACGACUUACCCUAGGUUGCCGUGGAACCGCCAAGAAGAGAUACAGAUACAUGGACCACACCAUCUUGGGAGUAGUGACAGCAUAUAUGCAGAAGAAUACCCCGUGCCUAUUUGCAUGCAUGUCUCAAGUGAUCUGUUUUCUUCAGAAAAUACAUGAGCAUUGCCAGAAAGAAUGGCAAGAGACAAACAUGUCAUAGAGACUUGCAUGUCUUGCCUUGGAUACGCCAAGAAGAGGGACACAUACAUGGAUAACACAAAUCUAGUGACACGUAUAUUCAUCACAAAGGCAAAUCUGAUAAUUUUAUCCAUGGAGCAGACCAAGGAGAAAUUGAUGACGGACAUGUGAUCUCUGUAUUCAGUUGAAAGCUAAUUGAGCUACACUAAUAUGAGCAGGACUAUAUUCAAGAGACUUGUUGAGAGCUACAGGGAACUUGUAAUAAUUUGCUGGGCGGCCUGCGCACAAUGAUUUGUUAUACAUAGUUGAAAUAUUUCAAGAAUUUAUCAACCUCAUACUCUGAAACCCUUGGUGCAAUGUACUCUGCUUUCCGAGGUAGACUGUUCACGUAAAAUGAGGUCAUGCGUAAGACGGAAUCGGAUUGGAUUCACAGGGAAUCAGAUUUGGAUAGCACCUUUUAGCAGGUUUUUAGUCAAAUGCAAAUUCGGAUCCACAUGUGGUUGAAUGCGAGUUCAAAAUUCUACUUGGAUAUCCAUUUAAUUUAGGUGAUAGCAAUUAGCACAAAAUGUUGGAUGAACAAAAUCAUAGUUAGACAUACAAUUACAUGUAUGGUUAAAGUAUAAUACAAUACACCAAGAUUAUUCCUUGAAAAUAUUUCUUAAAAAUAUUAUAAUAAAUGAAUAAAUAUAAUUGUGGCCACCAACAAAUAGUCGGUGGUCGCUAAGUUGGAGCCAUUUCUGGUUACUAAUGCGGCCUUCUCCUCGACCAGCGACGACAGCUGAGCUUGUUCCUUCUGACACUAAAUCAUCAGAGUCUUCCCUCCACUACUAUAGAAUGCACCUUUAGCACCAAUUGGGAAAUCCCCUUCAGUAUUGGAUGCUGCAACCAGUGCUAUAUAUCAAAAUGGAGACUAAAAGCCUCGGUCUUGGGUACCGGUUGCAUAACGCAUUACUAAAGGAGGCAAAAGAGAAAUGUAACAAAAAAAAUAUUUUGAAUUCCAAGAAUGUUUCACUAUUCAAGAUGACUAGCUGAGAGUCAACAGACAAGAUACUAGGAAUGUGGGUGCUUGAAUGCAUUUGUACAGAGGUCAUACUAUUUACAAACUCUUCUAUGUUUCCAUAUGACUACCUACUUCAAUGUCACGCGAGCCAUUCAGCUGGACACAUGGCACACUAGCUUGCAUGUCGAAUCCAUGAUUAAUUAUUUCCACUUGUGAUCUCUUACCAGUAUUUGUCCAGACUAGAAACGUGCAACACAUUUUUAGGAUAUGGACACGCAUAUAUUUGGACUAGUAUACAGGUCACCUUUGGAUGCGUACAAGGAUGACCGGGAGGGACUAGAAAUGGUCUAGUUUUGAUUGGACUACAAAACUUUUUGUACAGUGAAUAGAGAAUAUAUAUUAUUGUUGGAAUACGAGGUAGGCUACACUAUCGCAAUUCUGAUAUUCUACCGCGUAUAACCAAGAAGAACUGUCGUAUAAGGAUCACGGGAUUACCACUCGACGCACUACUGGUGCGGAAGAUGUAGAUAUGCGUCGAUGCAGUGAAGACGAUCACGUAGUCGUAUGUAGUCGAUCAACGUAGUCGUACAUAGUCGAUCACGUCCAGCAGCUCCUCAGCAGCUCGUCCACGUGCAGCAAGAUCGCCUCCGGUACCGCGGCUCGUCGUUGGCUUGUCGUGGCUCGUCGACGGCUCGUCGGCGGCUCGUCCAAGUGCUGCAGGCGCAACACCUCCAAGGUAUCCACACGUGCAGGGAGGAAGCGUCGCAAGCCGGACUGCUAGAUCCACGAGUUGCAACAGGCGAGGGCGUGGGAGGCGCGGCAGGUGUGUUUCGCCAAAAAGGUGUAAACCCUAGGGCGCCCCCACCCCUCUAUUUAUAGAGGUUCCUGACGGGCCUCUGGAUCCGAGGCCCAUUAGUACUUCUAAACCUAAUCCAACUCGGAUCAGAUCCGAAUUGGGCUUCCAGCCCCUUAAGUGUGUGACCCUAUAAGUUCGGAUACGUAUAGACAUGGCCCGAGUACUCCUACUCGGCCCAAUAGUCGGUAGCGGCCUCUAGCAAGACGUGCCAACUCCUAUACGCACACGAAGAUCAUAUCAGACGAACCAUCACAACAUAAUAUACAUGCUAUUCCCUUUGCCUCACGAUAUUUGGUCUAGCUUCAAGCCGACCGCUCUUUCUCAGUCCUGUGAUUCGGAAUCCCUUUGUAGGUUAACUCUUAACCGUACGUAGCAUGGCCAUGCAUUUUCGGAUCUGAUCACUCGAGGGGCCCAGAGAUAUCACUCUCAAUCAGAGAGGGGCAAAUCCCAUCUUGAUUGACCAUGUCUCAUAGCAUGCUUCUUGACAAACCUAAAAACUACCUUUAUAACUUCCCUGUUACGGCGUAGUGUUUGAUAGCUCCUAAGUAGGUCGAUCCACAUCUAGAAUACAUGCGACAAUUUCAGGUCUAAGGACAAAGCGUAUAUGUUGUUUAAAGAGAGAACUACUUCUCGUGUUGGGUCAGUCCCAGCACAUGUCUCCACAUGUGUCCACAUUAUUAGUUCAACAUCUCCAUGUCCAUGACUUGUGAAACAUAGUCAUCAACUAAUACAUGUGCUAGUCUAAUAUUCAUGUGUGUCCUCACAUGAACUCCGACUAGGGACAACUUUAGAAUAACCAUACAAGUAAAGAGUUUCACAUACAAUUCACAUAAUUGCAAAUCAAUUCAAGUAGCCUUCAAUGGAUAUUCAAUGAACACAACAUACAAAUCAUGGAUACAAAUGGAAUAUCAUCAUCUCUAUGAUUGCCUCUAGGGCAUACCUCCAACAGUCUCCCACUUGCACUAGAGUCAAUCUAGAAGGUACCUAAUACCCAUAGCUCUUACAUGCGCAUCAUGCUUAGCCUGCGGGAGUGGUUUUGUCAACGGAUCAGAAAUGUUCAGAUCCGUGUGUAUUUUGCAUAUCUUGAUCUCACCCCGGUUAACGAAGUCUCGAAUGAGAUGAAAUCGCCGCAUUACAUGUUUGUUCUUCUGGUGGUUCCUUGGCUCCUUUGCUUGCGCAAUUGCCCCAUUGUUAUCACAGUAGAGAUUCAAUGGGCUGGACCCAUUCGGGAACACACCAAGCUCAAUGAGGAAAUUCCUUAUCCAAACACCUUCCUUCGCGGCUUCCGAAGCCGCGAUGUACUCGGCUUCUGUCGUAGAAUCGGCCACCGUCUCCUGCUUGGAACUCUUCCAACUAACAGCACCACCAUUUAGCGUGAACACAAAUCCUGUUUGUGACUUUGAAUCAUCUCUGUCGGUUUGGAAACUAGCAUCGGUGUAACCUGUUACAACGAGCUCCUCCUCACCUCCAUAGACGAGGAAUAUAUCUUUAGUCCUUCUCAAGUACUUAAGAAUGUUUUUCACCGCUGUUCAGUGACUCUCACCUGGAUCAGAUUGGUGUCUGCUUGUCAUACUUAGCACAUAUGAAACAUCUGGGCGAGUACUUAUCAUUGCAUACAUGAUAGAUCCAAUAGCCGAGGCAUAUGACACUCUACUCAUGUGAUCCCGCUCAUCAGCAGUCGAAGGACACUGAGUCUUGCUGAGAUGUAUGCCAUGUGACAUAGGCAAGAACCCUUCCAUGCUGAACCGCUUCAACACUUUGUCAAUGUAAGUAUCUUGGCUUAAACCUAUAAGCCUUCUCGAUCUAUCUCUAUAGAUCUUAAUGCCCAGAAUAUAUGCCGCUUCCCCUAAGUCCUUCAUCGAAAAACUAUUUUUCAGUGAAGUCUUUAUGGACUCAAGCAUAGGAAUGUUAUUUCCAAUCAGUAAUAUGUCAUCCACAUAUAAGAUUAGAAAUACUACAGAGCUCCCACUAACCUUCUUGUAAACACAAGACUCUUCUUCGUUCUUGGUGAAGUCAAACCCUUUGACCACUUCAUCAAAACGAAUGUUCCAACUCCUAGAUGCUUGCUUCAAUCAAUAAAUGGAUCUCUGAAGCUUGCAUACCUUUCCAGCAUUUUUCGGAUCGACAAAACCCUUGGACUGUAUCAUAUACACGUCCUCAGUUAGGUUUCCAUUCAGGAAAGCUGUCUUGACAUCCAUCUGCCAUAUCUCAUAAUCGAAAUAUGCAGCCAAACUUGAUUGUCUCCCAUGGACUCUAUUUCGGAUUGCAUGGCAUUCUGCCAUUUUUCGGAGUCUGGGUCCAUCAUUGCUUCUGCAUAUGUCACAGGCUCAUCAUUGUCCAACAAUAAUAUUUCCUGCAUUUCGCGGAGCCUUGCCGACCUUCGUGGUUGUGGCGGUGCUUCUCUUGCCAUGGGUAUCUCAACUUGUUCUGCUACGUUAGCAUCACUCAUUGAUUCUUGCCCGAUCGGCUCAUCUUGAACUUCUUCAAGAUGCACUGUCUUUCCACUCUUUUCUCCUUUGAGAAACUCUUUCUCUAGGAAAACCCCGUUCCGAGCGACAAACACUUUGCCUUCUGAUCAGUUGUAAAAAUAAUAUCCCAAAGUUUCCUUUGGAUAUCCCACGAAAAUGCACUUAUCCGACUUGGGUGCGAUCUUGUCCGACUGAAGUCGCUUGACAAACACAUCACAUCCCCAAAUCUUUAGAAAAGACAAACUAGGAACCUUUCCAGUCCAUAUCUCAUAUGGUGUCUUAACUACGGAUUUAGAUGGUACCCUAUUAAGUGUGAAAGCUGCUGUUUCUAGAGCGUAUCCCCAAAAUGACAACGGUAGGUCCGACUGGCUCAUCAUUGAUCGAACCAUGUCUAACAAAGAUCGAUUACGUCGCUCGGACACACCGUUUCUCUGAGGUGAUCCAGGCGGCGUAAGUUGUGGAACAAUUCCGCAACUCUUUAGAUGAUUGCUAAACUUGUGGCUCAAAUACUCGCCUCCACGAUCAGAUUGUAAGGCCUUAAUUUUCUUGACACGCUAAUUUUCAACUUCAUUCUGAAAAUCCUUGAACUUUUCAAAGGUUUCAGACUUGUGCCUCAUCAAGUAGACAUAGCCAUAUCUACUAAAAUCAUCAGUGAAAGAUAUGAAGUAUUGGAAUCCUCCUCUAGCCGUCGUGCUCAUUGGUCCGCAUACAUCACUAUGUACGAGUUCCAACAAGUCUACUGCUCUCUCAGGAAAUCCUGUGAAAGACGUCUUGGUCAUCUUGCCUAGCAAGCAAGCCUCACAUGUCUCGUAUGAUUCAAAAUCAAACGAAGUUAGAAGUCCAUCAGAAUGGAGCUUCUUCAUGCGUUUUUCACUUAUAUGACCCAAACGACAAUGCCACAAGUAGGUAGGACUCAAAUCAUUAGGCCGAGGCCUUUUAGCACUUACAUUACAGACAGGUGAACCAUCAAGAUUUAAAACAAAUAAUCCAUUCACAAUGGGUGCAAAAGCCAUAAACAUAUUAUUCUUAGAGAUCACACAACCAUUGUUUUCACUCGCAAAUGAAUAACCAUCCUUCAUCAAGCAUGAAGGAGACAAAAUGUUUCGACUUAAACUAGGAACAAAAUAACAAUUAUUCAACUCCAUAAUAAAUGCUGACGGGAGGUGGAGUUGCAUCGUCCCGACGGUCAACGCAGCAACUCUUGCAUUAUUGCCCACGCGGAAAUCAACUUCUCCUCUUUCCACGCUUCUACUUCUUAUCAUUCCCUGCAUCGAAUUGCAAAUAUGAGCAACCGAUCCGGUAUCAAAUACCCAAGAAUUAAUAAUUGUAUCAGCGAGAAAUAUGUUGUCUAUGACAUUAACAACAAGCGUACCUGAGGUAGAAGUACUCUUACUUCCUCCAUUCUUCAACGAAGCUAGGUACUGCUUGCAGUUUCUCUUCCAGUGACCAAGUUCAUGACAGUAAAAGCACUCUUUGUCUGGAGCAGGUCCAGGUCCAGCUUUAACCUUGGGCGCUCGCUGGGUUUGGCUUGGAAAUUCCAGCCUUGCCCUUCUUCUUCCAAGAAUUGCCCUUCUUCUUAAAGCUAGGCUUGUUCUGUAUAGCCAUCACAUGGCUAGUACAAGCGCUUUUCUUGAUGUCUACCUCUGCUGUCUUGAGCAUACCACACAGUUCAUUCAAACCCUUCUCCGUCCCAUGCAUAUGGUAGUUCGAGAUGAAGUUCCCAUAGCUAGGCGGAAGAGAUGAAAGAAUGAAGUCAGUGGCCAACUCUUUGCCCAUUGGGAAGCCCAGCUUCUCCAAUCGCUGAGUGUAACCAACCAUGUUGAUUACAUGUGGUCCUACUGCUGCGUCUUCUGCUAGCUUGCACUCCAGAAAAGCUUUGGACACAUUGAACCUUUCAGUCCUAGCCUGUGUCUGGAACAUGUCCUUGAGCGCCACGAUCAUAUCGUGUGCCUCAUGAUUUGUUUCGAACUGCAUCUGCAGCUCGGGUUCCAUGCAAGCAAGCAUAAGGCAGCUUACCUCAAGAUUAGCAUCAAAUGCCUUCUUGUAAGCAGCCUUAACGGCAGCAGAUGCAUCAUCAGCAGGUACUGGUGGUAGUGGGGUAUCUAGAACAUCUUCCUUUUUAUCGGCCCUGAGAACAAUUCUCAGGUUACGGAUCCAAUCCGAGUAGUUUGUUCCAUUCAACUUGUCCUUCUCAAGGACCGAGCGCAAAGCAAACGAUGUGGUGGUGUUGCUAGGUGCCAUUUAAUCUACAACAAAAGUAAUGCAAAAUACACUAAGACAAACGUAUCCAUGAUAGAGCAAAUUACAUUAAACUAUUUUAACAGAAUCUACUCCCACUAAAAUCAAUAUCCCUCUAUUGAAACUUAGUGAUUCAGGAUCCACAACUAACAAGUCUACUAGUGAGCUUUAGCAUCACCGCUAGCAAACGAGGUAGAUCGGUAAGCAACUUUUGCUAAUCAUAUCACAUAUGACUCCUGUUGUUGGGUGACAUCUCCAUGUCUCGGCGCCCAACCAUUAUGCCCCAAGGUCCUUAACCGUUAAGAUGACCUCGUUAAGCAAACCAACCCUUAUGCGUGUAAGUGUCCGACACAAACCCGUCUAGUCAAGGAAAACUAGUGGCACCCUAAUUUCAUAGACCCACCACUAAUUGUACAAGACAUGGGACGGUGCAAGUUUUAGUUGGGAGGGCAUACUAACUUAAAUUUUUUGUGAGGGAUCGUUCUACUUCUAACAUCACAGCAUGCAGAAAGUAAAACAUAAACAGAAUAGCAUUCACACAGCUGUGACACAGUAUGGCCCGUUUUUAUAUGGUGAUCUCCAUCUCCAUAGAACCUGUUCACCAUGGUGAUCUCCAUCUCCAUGUUCCAUGUGCGCCAUCCUCCUGGUGAGGAGUCCUCCAAGAACUAGAACAUGCUAUUACACCUAAUAGCUAGUAAAGAAUCUAGUAAUGAAGAUUACAUAGUUGCUUGGAUCAUCACAGAUUGGUACGCAGACCAUUAAAUACAAUAAAGUGACAACACAUAUGGCUCCUGCCGUGUUGCCGUACGCGCGACACGCAGGUCACGAAUGAGUUACACACAUGCAUCACAUACACAAGGGGGCCAUACUGAUCACAAGAUACAUACAUACAUCCUGCAAAACAGAGUUAGGCGUCCUAACGUUCCAAACUUCGAAGGCCCGAAACUCCAUCUUCCAAGCCGAAUUUGGGAAAUCUAAUUUUGCCGAAAACGGCAAAGCGGUUGAAUUUCAUGUGUAACUUUUUCUGUAGAUCAAUUUUCAUAUAAAAUUCGCCCCGAUCCGAGAUCGUACCGAAAAGUUACGGCUGAUUUACCGAAGCAUACGCAUACGGCAAAAAUUCCGACCCCGGCAGUAGAUCCCAUCUACUAUUGCACAUCUAAUGCGCCUGGCGUAUGAUCCUGGAUUUCGAUUCGACCAAUCAUAUUGAUCUUCGCUCACUGCAACUGGAAUUACGUGUAUCACUUAACUCGUCGGCGGCUCGUCGGCGGCUCAUCCAAGUGCUGCAGGCCCAACACCUCCAAGGUAUCCACACGUGCAGGGAGGAAGCGUCGCAAACCGGACUGCUAGAUCCGCGAGUUGCAAUAGGCGAGGGCGUGGGAGGCGCCGCAGGUGUGUUUCGCCAAAAAGAUGUAAACCCUAGGGCGCCCCCACCCCUCUAUUUAUAGAGGUUCCUGACGGGCCUCUGGAUCCGAGGCCCAUUAGUACUUCUAAACCUAAUCCAACUCGGAUCAGAUCCGAAUUGGGCUUCCAGCCCCUUAAGUGUGUGACCCUAUGGGUUCGGAUACGUAUAGACAUGGCCCGAGUACUCCUACUCGGCCCAAUAGUCGGUAGCGGCCUCUAGCAAGACGUGCCAACUCCUAUACACACACGAAGAUCAUAUCAGAUGAACCAUCACAACAUAAUAUACAUGCUAUUCCCUUUGCCUCACGAUAUUUGGUCUAGCUUCAAGCCGACCGCUCUUUCUCAAUCCUGUGAUUCGGAAUCCCUUUGUAGGUUAACUCUUAACCGUACGUAGCAUGGCCAUGCAUUUUCGGAUCCGAUCACUCGAGGGGCCCAGAGAUAUCACUCUCAAUCAGAGAGGGGCAAAUCCCAUCUUGAUUGACCAUGUCUCAUAGCAUGCUUCUUGACAAACCCGAAAACUACCUUUAUAACUACCCUGUUACGGCGUAGCAUUUGAUAGCCCCUAAGUAGGUCGAUCCACAUCUAGAAUACAUGCGACAAUCUCAGGUCUAAGGACAAAGCGUAUAUGUUGUUUAAAGAGAGAACUACUUCUCGUGUUGGGUCAGUCCCAGCACAUGUCUCCACAUGUGUCCACAUUAUUAGUUCAACAUCUCCAUGUCCAUGACUUGUGAAACAUAGUCAUCAACUAAUACAUGUGCUAGUCUAAUAUUCAUGUGUGUCCUCACAUGAACUCCGACUAGGGACAACUUUAGAAUAACCAUACAAGUAAAGAGUUUCACAUACAAUUCACAUAAUUGCAAAUCAAUUCAAGUAGCCUUCAAUGGAUAUUCAAUGAACACAACAUACAAAUCAUGGAUACAAAUGGAAUAUCAUCAUCUCUAUGAUUGCCUCUAGGGCAUACCUCCAACAAUUAUUUCAUGUAAAUUUUUGACAAUUUUUUAAAAUUGUUUGAUAUUUUUUAAAUUUUUUUUAAAAUAACUUUGCCGAGUGUCCUAUUGUAGACACUCGGCAAAGCAGCCUUCACCGAGUGUUACCCCUGGGACACUCGGCGAAUUAAUGCCCGGCCGCUCAAGAAUAUGUGCCCGGCCCCCUCACUCUCCCGGCCCCCCUCACUCUCACUCCCCUCACUCCCUCCUCUCUCCCUCCUCUCUCCCUCUCGCCGCCGCCCGAAACCCCCGCCGCCGCCCGCCGCCCGGCAUGCCGCCCAGCGCCCCCCGCCGCCGCCCGGCGCUCCCGAAUCCGCCGCCGCCCGCCCGGCGCCCGGCCCCCGGAUCCGCCGCCGCCGGCCGCCCGGCGCCCCCGGAUUCGCCGCCGCCCGCCCGGCCCCCGGCCCCCGGAUCAGCCGCCGCCCGCCGCCCGGCGCACGGCGCCCCCGGAUCCGCCGCCGCCUGCCCGGCGCCCGGCCCCUGGCCCCCUGAUCCGCCGCCGCCCGCCCGGAUCCGCCGCCGCCCGCCCGGCGCCCGGCCCCCGGCCCCCGGAUCCACCGCCGCCCCCCCGGCCCCCGGAUCCGCCGCCCGCCCGUCCCCUCCACCGGAUCCGCCGGCGCCGGGGCCUGAAGAGAAGAGAAGAGGAGAGGAUGGUGGCGGCGGCGGCCGCGGCGGCGGAGCAGGUGGCAGAGCAUGCAUGAUUUUUUUUUAUUUUUUCAAUAAUUGUUCGCCAAGUGUUUUCUGGGCACUCGGCAAAGUCUUUGCCGAGUGCCCGACACAAAACACUCGGCGAACCAGUGUUUGCCGUCAAGAUUUUUGCCGUGUGUCGUUUGCCGAGUGUUACACUCGGCAAACGCUUUGUCGAGUGUUUUUGGGGUUUCGCGGAGUGACCCUGGCACUCGGCAUCACGCAUGUUUCCCUUAGUGAACUUGAAAUUAUCUGUACAUUCUCGGUGAAGCUGUUGAACUAAUUUUUGCAAAUUAUUAAUUCAUCUCAUUACGCAAAGAAAAAAGUAAGUGGAUAAGAUAUUUCGUGGACCACAUCACUGCAAACAUGUCAUGGAGAGACAGACCAAGGAGGCAGGACGUGAUACACGACUUACCCUAGGUUGCCGUGGAACCGCCAAGAAGAGAUACAGAUACAUGGACCACACCAUCUUGGGAGUAGUGACAGCAUAUAUGCAGAAGAAUACCCCGUGCCUAUUUGCAUGCAUGUCUCAAGUGAUCUGUUUUCUUCAGAAAAUACAUGAGCAUUGCCAGAAAGAAUGGCAAGAGACAAACAUGUCAUAGAGACUUGCAUGUCUUGCCUUGGAUACGCCAAGAAGAGGGACACAUACAUGGAUAACACAAAUCUAGUGACACGUAUAUUCAUCACAAAGGCAAAUCUGAUAAUUUUAUCCAUGGAGCAGACCAAGGAGAAAUUGAUGACGGACAUGUGAUCUCUGUAUUCAGUUGAAAGCUAAUUGAGCUACACUAAUAUGAGCAGGACUAUAUUCAAGAGACUUGUUGAGAGCUACAGGGAACUUGUAAUAAUUUGCUGGGCGGCCUGCGCACAAUGAUUUGUUAUACAUAGUUGAAAUAUUUCAAGAAUUUAUCAACCUCAUACUCUGAAACCCUUGGUGCAAUGUACUCUGCUUUCCGAGGUAGACUGUUCACGUAAAAUGAGGUCAUGCGUAAGACGGAAUCGGAUUGGAUUCACAGGGAAUCAGAUUUGGAUAGCACCUUUUAGCAGGUUUUUAGUCAAAUGCAAAUUCGGAUCCACAUGUGGUUGAAUGCGAGUUCAAAAUUCUACUUGGAUAUCCAUUUAAUUUAGGUGAUAGCAAUUAGCACAAAAUGUUGGAUGAACAAAAUCAUAGUUAGACAUACAAUUACAUGUAUGGUUAAAGUAUAAUACAAUACACCAAGAUUAUUCCUUGAAAAUAUUUCUUAAAAAUAUUAUAAUAAAUGAAUAAAUAUAAUUGUGGCCACCAACAAAUAGUCGGUGGUCGCUAAGUUGGAGCCAUUUCUGGUUACUAAUGCGGCCUUCUCCUCGACCAGCGACGACAGCUGAGCUUGUUCCUUCUGACACUAAAUCAUCAGAGUCUUCCCUCCACUACUAUAGAAUGCACCUUUAGCACCAAUUGGGAAAUCCCCUUCAGUAUUGGAUGCUGCAACCAGUGCUAUAUAUCAAAAUGGAGACUAAAAGCCUCGGUCUUGGGUACCGGUUGCAUAACGCAUUACUAAAGGAGGCAAAAGAGAAAUGUAACAAAAAAAAUAUUUUGAAUUCCAAGAAUGUUUCACUAUUCAAGAUGACUAGCUGAGAGUCAACAGACAAGAUACUAGGAAUGUGGGUGCUUGAAUGCAUUUGUACAGAGGUCAUACUAUUUACAAACUCUUCUAUGUUUCCAUAUGACUACCUACUUCAAUGUCACGCGAGCCAUUCAGCUGGACACAUGGCACACUAGCUUGCAUGUCGAAUCCAUGAUUAAUUAUUUGCACUUGUGAUCUCUUACCAGUAUUUGUCCAGACUAGAAACGUGCAACACAUUUUUAGGAUAUGGACACGCAUAUAUUUGGACUAGUAUACAGGUCACCUUUGGAUGCGUACAAGGAUGACCGGGAGGGACUAAUGGAUACAAGGAAGGGACCAUCAGGAUUAAUAUUGACAUAUGCCACAUGACAAUCUUCAUUGUCAUGCAAUCCCUAUCAACAAUCAUGGAAUCCCUAGUGUACUAAUCCCUGGAGGGUUGUGUGGAAAUUUAUUUUACCUUGCGGUGAAAAUCUCAUGAGCAGUCAUUAGUUAAGCUGACUAGCUGAGAUAUAAUAGACAAGCUAGUAAGAUUGGGAGCAUCAAUGCAUCCAUACAGGGUCACAAUAUCCUUUCCAUUCACUUUUAUAUAUAACCCUACGAAUACAAGUCCAACGAAAUGCGGGCCUUUCGAUCAAGAUAAAUUAAAUGGCCCACUUGUAUUUCUAAUCCAGGAUUAACUAUGCCCUCUGUUCAUCUCUUGCAAGCACGUGCAACACAUUUUCACGAUAUGGACAUGCAUGGAGGUUAUUAUACUGUUUGGACAAACUCUGAUGUGCCAUGACCUAAAUGCUUAGGGCCUGUUUGGUUUGAGUUGCUUAUUAUAAGCAACUUAAAGUUGCUUAAAGUUGCUUAUUUGAAGUUGCUUAUUUUUAGUCUAAACUGUUUGGAUACCCUUGCUUAUGAGCAUUGAAUGAGUUGGACAUUGUCAAAUUUGCCCCAUGUGUUGCUACCCCUCCAAUUUGCCUCCCCACCCUUCUUCUUCCUGCACACGUCCGAUCCCGGGGGCCGACGGCGGGCAGGGAGCAGCAGCAGCUGGCCAGGGCGGCGGUGGGGCGGGAGCGGCGGCGCACACCAGCACGCGCUCGCACGCCAGGUGCUAGGGCGCGGCGAGGCAGUCGUCGUAGCCCACCGGGAGCGGGUGCUCGGGCGCGAGGCGGUACUCGACGGAGAUGCCGAGCGUCGGGCGCGCGGCGGCGAGCGCGUUGAGGAAGCGAUGGUAGUGCGGCGACGUCGCGGACUCCGCCACGAAGCCGCCGCCGUGGACGUACACCACCACGGGCAGCUUCGUCUUGCCGUCGGCGGCCGCGGCCGCGGCCUGGGGUGGCAGGUAGAGGCGGACGGAGCAGGAGCCGAGGUCGACGUCCCUGGAGUCGACGCCCGUGGCGGCGUCCAGGCUAGGCCCGACCGGCGGCGGCACGAGCGGGCGCUCGAUGCGGCCGCUCUUGUAAAUCCGACGGGUCUGUGCGGAGGCGGGCGGCGGGCGGGAGCGGCGGGUGGGAGCGGCGGCAGGUGGUGCGGAGGCCGGCGGCGGCGGGUGGCGCGGAGGAAGGGGAGCUGGUGAGUGGUGACAGGGGAGGGGGGGAGAGAGAGGGGGGGGUAGGGUGCAUUGAAUGAGGGCAGGAGGUGUAAAGUGCACCUUUUAGUCCCCAUGAGCAACCAUAAGCAGCCCAAGAGUUGCUUAUUUGCUUAUAAUAAGCAACCUCAUAAGCAAGAGUGAUUGGUUUCAUAAGCAACUUAUUUGCUUAUUUUAAGUUGCUUAUGCAUAAGCAUGUGAAACCAAGCAGGUCCUUAACCUAUGGUUGUGGCACCACACAGUACAUAGUAUUUAAUAAUGCUAUUCGUUUGGUAUGUGCACAAGGGCACGCAUGAAAUGUCUGGCCCACGGUAAACAAGUACGGACGCUGCAAAUAAUCUACUCUGCUCGUCCAGUCCCUAGCCUAUAAAUAGAUGCCAUGCUAGCUCUUGUUGUGCUCACAAUUAAUCCUGACUACACACGAGCUUCUCUCCCUGGCCAAGACACAAUCAUAGUAUGAUGAAGAACAUGGCACUAGCCGGCAAUGGUAUGAAGAACUUAAUCCUCGCUGUUCUCUUACUGUGUCUAGUUAUAGGGCAGAUACAAGUGGAAGCUAAGAGCUGCUGCCCAUCCAUUACUGCAAGAAAUAUCUACAAUGCCUGCCGUAUCACGGGUACAUCCCGUCCAACGUGUGCAAAACUGUCAGGCUGCAAAAUUAUCAGCGGGGACAAAUGCAAGCCCCCUAACGACCACCUCACCCUUGACCCGGACACUGGUAAAUAAUAAAUUUAUCUCACUUGAUUUCUUCGUGUUUUGAGUCGUUAAUGUAUUUUCCAUCUGAUGAAACGUAUUGGUUUUGCAUUGAAGAGGAAGUUAAUGUGCUUAACUUCUGCAAGUUGGGGUGUGCGUCGUCUGUGUGCAACAACAUCAACGCUGGUAAGCACCUUUUGCUCAGACGGAGAAAACAAUAAUCAUUAAUUAGCGGCAGCUAGAAUCCUAUAAUCUAAUAUAUUUAUAUAUAUAUAUAAUUUUAUCAGCUCUGGGAAAUGAAGAGGCGAACGAUGCCGUUGAGAGUUGCGACCAAGCCUGCUCUAGCUUCUGCAACGUGCACGUUGGCGCUGCCACCGUGGUUGCUUAAGCAAAUGCAUCCAACUGGAUCGUCCUUGUGCUAAAUAAUUGGAUAUCGUAUCCACUUAAAGCUGCCUUGUGUAGUACGUUUUUGUUUGUGUCUCUCUUUAUAUUCCAAUAAGGUCGGUGAUCUUGAUGCCACACACUCAGACGUGUGUUCAUCUCCAGAUACUACUCCAUGCUACCUGCCCUUUGUGUUUUGUUCAAUAACUGGGUAUCAUAUCCCAGCCAGUGUGCCAUCUGUUUUGUGUUUAUUUCCUUCUAGUUUCAAAGGGGUUAUCAUGAUGUUACCUUCUUUCGAUAUGGUGCUUUGCAUGACUACUGUUGUAUGGUACCAUCUUGUUGGCCAAUAAAUACAUCUUAUCCUAUGACCCUUUGCUAUGACCCUUUGCAAAUAAGUACAAGAUUGUUAAAUACUCGGUAUAAAUUGACUACUGCUGUGAGUUCCCUUUCAGCUUAUCGUAGGCAUACAUUAUUGCUAGCACGGUGAAGACAACCAACACGAAUGGUCAAGUAAACGUACCGGUACUUUUGUAUACCAACACCCUUGCUUAAAUGUACCGGUGUUACUCCCCACUAGCACAUAUAUUCUUAUAUGCUAGCCGGCUUGAAAAUUAACCGAUUAAAAUAAUUAUUUCAAGACAGAAAUAACUUAUCGGCUUCUCGAAGCAUGUGUAAUGUGAAUUCAAGGACUUGAUGGAAGUUGAAUCGCUUAAUCUAGAUUGCUUUCAGGAUUUUGGGUAACUAAAUUUAACAUUUGCACAUACAAAUGUUAAUGUACAAAUAUUAAAUAUAGUUACCCAAGCAGAAUAUGAAGAUACUCUAUAGUAUAUAUAUACUAUAUAAAUCUAGUUAACAUUUAGUCUAAAUGUUAAAUCUAGUUACCUAAAAUCCUGAAAGCAAAAUGUAUAAAUAUAUAUCUUUUAAGGAAUCCCAAAGCAAGAGUUCAGUGGCAUUCUAUAGUCCCAUGCUGCUAGUUUGAGUUGGUCGAAGCCAACUUAAAUAGGAGAGCUCUCUCACUUCUCUAAAUACGUAACUGAAGGAGAGAAGGGGGCUUGGUUACACAACGCACGCACGCACGCAUAUUUGCGUUCUUUUCGCGUAACCAACCGCGUGACUUGAAACUUGCGACGUAGCGUGCUGCCAAGUCAAGUUGAUAUAACCUUUUUGCCGUAGGCGUGUAAUCUUUUGACAACGGUCAUUGGAGGUGAUAAGCACGCAGUCAAUACCUUAAUCCUGAGUUAAUAGGGCGGUUACUACUGCCAAUUAGUGGGGCAAUUUUGUAGGGGAAACGGUUAGCAGAGGGCUACCAUCUUCUCUAUAAGAAGUUCUGGAGACGUCCAGGAACACACAUGUACAUGUGAGAGACCCACGAAUUCCUUCCCAUCUCCCUUUUCCAUCUGGUGAAGUGUGCUAUGGUACUGAGCUGCUGGAUCUCGCCGGCUCUUCUCCUUGGCGUGCACCGAGGAGGAGGGUGAGCGGUAUCUCCGAGCUAUUGCCGUCAGGAAGCCUGCACGAGGGACAACAAUAAAGUUUUUGGGUAGCGCAACUACGCAACCGCUCGAUUCGAUCGACUAUGUUCUGCGCUGCCUCAUCUUCGAUCUGCACUGCAACACGUAACCCUGCAGCAAGUCUACACAAGGACGGAGCACUAAUCUGUAAGUCCUAGAUUGGUUUCUUACAGAGUUGUAGGUUACACAAGAUCUAGAAUUGUUACAUACUUAUUAUUAUGGGUUACAUGAUGUUUUGUACGGUUACGUCUAUUUUGCAUAUGCUAUUUUUACAUACCGUUUACAUGCAUAUGUAAUGGUUACGCCUAGCUAUUUGAAUCUAGAAUUGGGUUACAUAGCAGUAGCAAUGACUUACGUAAUAUGCCUCAUGUUUAUAUCUGGUAGAAUUUAACACGUAUCUCCAACAUAUUUUGAGGCAGUAUAAAUUUCAAUUCCUUUUGCUGCUCUGUUAAAUCCCGUCUUUCGUGUGGCCCAACACUCUAGUAUGCAUGUAGCACCAAGCUUGUUUGAGCCGCUUUGUGCUCUGAUUUUGCUGUCUGUAUCAGGUUGGACUGUUUCUUUGUCUUGCGAUGUAUAGCUUCAUAUCUUCUAGAGGUUAGACAGCAAAACCCGCGUUCUCUUAAGGCAACAACUCGAAGAAUCUGCAGCGCUCCUGAUAUAUCACUGCUGCAGAAACAAUCUUUAGUACUGAUUUCCAACCCCCUUUAGUAUCGGUUUGGCAAUCAGUACCACUACGUCGGUACUAAAGGGAGUUCUCUAGAAUCGGGUCAAAUAACUGGUACUAAAAGUGCUCCUCUACUACCAGUUGGUAACACCAAUAGGUAGUAACUUUUUUUGCACCCAAAAAAUUAAAGAAAAACAGCCGGGAGGCUCGCGCACACACGCAUCAUGAGUAAUAUGCGCGUGCAUGGUUUGUGGGAUUCCAACCCACGACCAAGCUAUAAGCACGUAGUUACAAAAAAAUUAAACACUUAGACAUUUUAGAGCAUCCCAAAUAACUACAAAUUCUUUAGUUUACCAUAUACCAUAAAAUAUUAGUUAAAAUAAGAGCAUACGCACGUCGGAAGAGUCCCAAUGCACCGGUUGAGGAUCAGACCAGGCACUUUGAAUGCACAUGCCAUAAGAUAAUUCUGCAGGACGAUGAUUGCAAUAAUGGACCAUCGAGAAGAUAGGGGCGAUGGGGUUGCCUCAUCAAUUAUGACUUGGCGCAACAAGACCAGCAAAGUCUUUAUCGACAGGGGUGGAUCAAGGGGUGGGGCGGGUAGAGCUCCAAUCUUCCUACCGCCGCUCGAACAAUGGAGCCCCCCUUAGCCCCUCCAUAAAUUUUUAGGUAGAAGAAAAAAGAAGAGAAGGGAAGGAAGGGGAAGAAUAGGGAGCCCCUCCUAAGUAGGUCGCCAUCGUGCUUCCCAACGCAUGAUCGCCGCACCGCAUCCAUUCCUCUACAAGCCUCCAGCGUCUCUCCUGCCGCUACCUCUGAACCAUGUGCAGCUGCAGACCCAACUAGUGUCUUGUCACCCAUCUCAAUCCCAACAGAGCGGCGGCUCCUGCCAGCACAAAUCUCCCUCCGCCUGUUCUUCACGAUCGAUGGCCACCACAAGCAUAAACCUCGCCUUCGCAUCCACGCAAAAGGGUCGCCGGUGUGCCUUCUCGCAUCGCUUCUCAGCCUCCUUCACUUGCGGCUGGCCAAGAACCGUGCCACCACCUCGGGUGCGCGCCACCGCUCCAGGGCCGCUACCCCAUGCGUGCGGCCGCCGCCGGCCACCACGCGUGUGCAACCGUGUCGCACCGCUUCCCUGCUCUGUGCCACCACUGCUACUGCACCACCAGCUCCACCACCUUGGGCUGGUCGCCAGGGUGACUGAUUGGUGGAUUAUUACUACAAAUAAGUUCCUUAUUAUCUGCAACUACUAUUAACUCAGGGAUACAUGCGUCUUUUGCUUCUCCUGUUAAUAUGUCCUAAAAUAUCUAGAAUGCCUUAUAUUUCUGGACGGAGGAAGUAUUUGAAUAAAAUGAACCAAUUUUAAAAAAUGUGUUGUACACUACUACAGAAAGAACUAUCAGUGUCAAACCCAAAAAUGUCGUCACUGCCAGUUUUGGGCAUCGUUGGUGAAAGGUUGGCGGUGAUGGGUAUCCCCUUCAACAACGGCACUAGAGCUAACAGUGAUUGACAUUAGAAAACGAAAAAGGGGACCCACCUAGCCACCCCUGCAACCCGGCUGGCCGUGCCUCCCGUCAUCCCCACCACCUCGCCUCCCCCGUGACCCCCCGCCGGCGCCCUUGCGCCUAGCCCCCUCGCCUGCCUGGCCGGCCACCCUCGUCACGAGAGAGAGGGGUGCAUGUUGUAUAAUUGCGUGAAUUUUUAAUGUUUAAUUUCAUGUAAGUUUCAUAUAAUAAAUUGUACAAGUUUUAUUGUAUAUAUGAAUUCCAUAUAUAUAUAUUUAUAAUUUAAUGUAUGGUUUCAUGUGUAUAUUUCAAUAAUGUGUAUAUUUAGUAGAUAGCCGAUUUUCUUUUUCUACAAGACAAGGGUUGAUGUAUAAUUACGUGUAUAUGUUUAUUGUACGGGCAAUUAGGACAAGUUUUGUAUAAAUUUCUUUUAUUUCAUGGUUGUUGUAUGGUUUCAUGUAUAUACAUUUAUUGUACUACUUGAGACAAUUUUUAAUUUAAUGUUUCUAUGGUUACAUGUGUGUAUAACUAAUUGUAUUAUUAGUUAAGAUGGGAGCCAAAGAGGAUGAAAGGUAUAUAAUGGAGCAGAUUAUUGCUGGCGGUAGUGGCUCAAACGUUGCAAGAACCUACAUCAAGGGUGAGGGUAGCUAGGUGGACAUGUACCUCAACAUGUCCAGUGAUGGCAAUGACGAUGAGGAGCACGAGCAUGACGUUUAUGAUAGUGCGGAACAAGACAUUGCAGAAUUGGAAGGUUCUAAUGAGGUGUGCUUCAUGUUGAUGAUCUGGUUGGCUUUUUUUCUUUGGUCACACCUUAGUUACCAUAGAACUUCGUCUCGGGAGAAGAUUGGAGGUGCUAUGGUGAUUGGAAUUUUAUUGCCUCCAAAUAUGAUUUCCAUCGAAUCAUAUCCCUUGUAUUUAUCUUCUUUUUAUUUGUGAGAGCAUCUUCUUUAUGCUUGCAAAACAAUUCAAGUGCACAUACUACACCUAGGGUGAUGAUUAGGAGUAGAAACAAUUGCCAACAAACGAACACCACAUCCUAAGAUUCUUAACUUGUGGUAUAAUUAGUCUAGUAAAAAGAAAGAUAAAAACCUAAUGGGUGUACGUGAGUGCAAUGCGUAUAUGCAUAUGAGUGGAAGGCAUAUAAGCAAAGAUAAUAUUUACACAUAGAUCUAAGCACCAUGUUUACAACUAAGUUGCUGAAUUUCUCCAUAGCUAUAGAGAUUAAUGAACCAAGGUCAAAACACCAUGUCUAUCCCAAGAUCAGUAAUUCUUUAUAGCACAAGAAAAAGAAAGCGCAUUGCAAAGUUUAUAAACCAACCAAUGCAGCAUGAAAACAAGAUGAAUAGCUAGCAAGGUUUAUUAAACUGAAUGAUGACGGUCUGCAAGCAAGUUUGAACACCAUCUUUACACAAGAUUGCAAAUGGAAAAUUCCCAUAUGAAGAACUAACAUGGAUAUGAAAUCAUUCAUCAUAAAGCGUAAAGAACAACCAAGCCAACCAUAUGCAAAGCAUGAAUGGAAUGCAAUGAAGGUGCAAGAGAACAUUUUUGGAUGAACCCAUUAUGAUGAUGGCAAAAUGCGCCGUGCCCCCCAGCCCCCGCGGUGAGAUCCCGCCGCUCGCUGCCGCCAGACCCUAUUAGGCCUCCACCGGCAGGUCCACCCACGGUCCCGCGCGACGUGGCAGCCUCUUGGCUCUCGGCGCUCGCGGCACGCCAGUGCUGGCGCAGCCCCACCAGGCGACUACCCUCCCCCCAUAAGGCCUCGGCCCCUCCCCAGCGCCGCCCCCCAACACCAGGACUGCCUGCUGCCCCCCACCGUGAGGUAAUCGAAAUCGACUGCUCAAUCUCUCAAUCUGUUGAUAUGAUGCACACGGUUGCAAAAAUAGAUGUGUCAAAAUAGAUGUUUUGCCAAUUGCUAUAGAUGCAUACGGUUGACAUGAAGUCAAAAAUGACAUUUGGUUCCUUGUAGGCAGUCAAAAAUGAAGAAGUCAAAAAAUAUUGAUCUGAAAUCAAUGUGGGAAAGGGCUAUGAAGACACGCAGGUAGAUUCCCUUGUGAACUUUUUAUGUCGUUCGUCUAAAUAAUUUUUUGCAAUGGGCAUACCCUACUCUGAAAUCCUGGGUCCGCCACUGAUGAUGAUGGUCUAAAAAUAAACCAAGCCUAGAUUAAUUAGCCACAACUGAAAUUAAGCAAAGGUUAAUGUCAUUGACCCUAGCUCUAUCCUAGCUUUUACCAAAGUUCCGGCACAUAUAGUGGUUGGGCCCACUCUCUCUGCUUCCCUCUCUGCUGCAUGCACGCACACGAGCAACGGGAGGCCCGACGAAGCCCAGAAGGGUUCGGCCGAACCAGUAUGAGCGCCGCUCCCUCCCAGCCUUCGCGCAGAUGCUCCUCCAACGUUCCUUGACCCCUCCCUCAGCGUCCCGUUGGGUUUAACAUUGCAGGAGAGGAGUCCCUUUUUUAAAAUCUCAACCACCUCCUCUCCCCAUUCACUCCACUCUCAUCUCCAUCAAACUCACCAAGAUCCGCACCGGAAAUCCCUGCUUACCACCAUGGCUGGCAAAGCCCUCAUCCCUUUCACCAACUUGGGCUUGACCACUGAUCUCGAUGGGGAAAUCACUCUGGCAAAUAUGCGUGUAACACUGCCCCCUUUGCCGAGGGUUAAAGCCAAAACACUCAGCAAAGUGGAUAGUACCCCCCUUUUUACCCGUUUUGUCAUGUAUAACGGACCCCUCUCAAUUCACAAUAGACAUCAUCAUAGGCAUUUAUAAUAAACAAUCACAGGCAUAAUUCACAAUCACCAUUACAAGCAUUAUUCAUAAAUAUCACAGACAUAAUCCAAAGUAAGCAUGAAACAAGCCAUAAAUCCAAGUUCAAGUCACAACUAAGUUUCAUCCAAGUUCAAGUCACAAAUGCAAUGUCUAAAUCCAUGGAGGCCAAGGAGACCACUGCGACAAAUCUUGGUCUUCAUUAUUCGAAGCCGCCGAUUGAUUCUGCACAUAGGAUAGGACAUUCUGAGCUAACAUCUAAAGUUGUCAAAAUUAAAGUAUUCAAUCUUAAGCACAAUGUGUCAAAUGACUCACAGGAGUAGUUGUGGGUGGCUGAGGCGGAGGGAACAGCAUCGAUGGCGGUGGCAAAGAUUGACCCAUGCUCGAAGCAAAAUUCUGCAUGUACUGGAACAUCUGGUCCAUCCUCAUCCGAUUUUCUUCCUCCAUCCUCUGCCGCUCGGCCUCUAACCUCCGCUGAACCAUCUGCUCCAUCCUCGCCGCCAUCUCCUCUUGUUGCUUCCUUGCUGCUUCCACCUGGGCCUACAAUAUUUCAUUGCAAUGUUACAAUGCAAAGCUAAAGUAUAGCAACCAACGAACAAUGAAUGGAAGAGAAAGAACCUGGAGAGCCUCCAUCUGGAACUGUCCAAUGGUUGGUCGUAGCCGUAUCGCCGGGCUCGAGUCCGUGCUCCUUGCUUGGAUCUGGGAGAGAGUGGCAGUAGAGGCCGUGUUGAUUACGCCGUCGCCAAUCCAAUAUCGGCCAUGCUUCUUGCCUCCUCCCACCCUCAUCACGAUUUCUCCAUCAAUAUCCUCAGAGCUUGAAUCGAAGUCUGGCCCGUGAACCUCCCUUGCCAUCACUGUAUAUUCCUUUGCCGAGUGCCCGAGAUAAAGCACUCGGCAAAUAGAAAACACUCGGCAACUUUACUGUUUCCCGUAGUGUCGCUAUUUUUGCAGGUUCUCGACCAGGCCAGUUCUUUGGGCCAACCUAUCAUUCACGACUUAAACAUACGGUGGCUGUAGAAAUGUUCUAUUCUUUUCAACAAUACCAGCUGGUUCCUCCGUUUUUAUUCCACCAAUACAAGCACCACCUUGUAACAUUUCCUAUGUUUUUUUUUCCUUUCGUCUGUUUUCUACAUGCGUUGCUCUUUCAUGCAUUUUUUUCCAUUCCUGUAUUCCAAAUAGGUCUACAUGAACACAAAAUGAACUAGGGGACAGAAAAAGCCAGUGAAGCCAAUUUUGAGCUUCACCAGCUACUUGCUACAUAAAGUGUGCUAUAGUGACGUGUUUUAGCAAAACAUGUUAUCAAUGACUUGACAUUGGUGACGUGUUAAAACGCGUUAUCUCAAUGGCAAAUCAUUGGUGACGUGUUUUAAAAAAACAUGUCACCGUGAGAGUCAUUGGUGAAGGGUAAUUAUAAUGCGUCACUAAUGUUGUAGCAUUAGUUAUGAUAAUUUAGUAACGCAAAAAUCUACCAUCAGUAUUGAGCUUUAGAGCCAUCGCUAAUGUGGGUUUCUUACAUAGUGAUGCAAGCUCUACAAGGUGCUGUUGCUGCCAUUUUAAAGCAUCCCAUGACUACAUGUUAAUAACAUAGUUUACCAUAUAUCAUAAAAAUAUUAGUUACAAUAAGCACAUACGCAUGUGGAAGAGUCCGAAUGCACCGGUUGAGGACUAAACACAUUGAAUUACUAGAACCAAAUGUGUGUUUAGAACAAAGACAGGGGUCAAGGUUUGGGUAACCGCAUUAAAAACAUUGGAUUUUACUGUACAUGAACACUUAGUUACCAUUACCAUGCCUUGAGCACCUAGUUACAACAAACAUUAAUUUAGCCACUUUAGAGCUUCCAGAAUCGCUAUAAAUAAUAUACCUACGCCGUACCAUGAAAACAUCAAGAAGAGAGACGGAUACAUGGACCACCAUCAAGCGAGUAGUGACAGCACGCACAAGAAUACCCGGAACCUGUUAGCUUGUCUGUAGUGAUCUGUUUUCUUCCCCAUAAAAUCCAUGAGUAUUGCCACAAAUAAUGAAAGAGGCUGACCAAGCUAGCAAGGAGGUAGAGCAAACGUGAUACACGGCCUGCCAAGAUUGCCCUGGAUACGCCAAUAAGAGCGACAGAUACAUGGAUCACACCAAUAUGGUGAAACGUAUAUUCAUCACACAAGCAAAGCUGGUCAGUUUAUCCAUGGUCAAAUUGUGGUCUUUGUUUUCACUUGAGAGCUAAUUGAGGCACUAUAAUAUGGGCAGGCCUAUCUUCAACAGACAUGACAGCUACAGGGAACUUGACAUAAUUUGCUGGGCCGCCUGUGCACAAUUAUUUGUUUUAUUGUCCUUGCAUAGAAUGCUAAAAUACUCUUUACAAAAUGUUGGAUCUAAUAUUUGAAAUAUAGAGUAGUAAUCAUAUAUUGAUCAACAACUUGAAAUUAUCUGUACAUUCUCGGUGAAGCUGUUGAACUAAUUUUUGCAAAUUAUUAAUUCAUCUCAUUACGUAAAGAAAAAAGUAAGUGGAUAAGAUAUUUCGUGGACCACAUCACUGCAAACAUGUCAUGGAGAGACAGACCAAGGAGGCAGGACGUGAUACACGACUUACCCUAGGUUGCCGUGGAACCGCCAAGAAGAGAUACAGAUACAUGGACCACACCAUCUUGGGAGUAGUGACAGCAUAUAUGCAGAAGAAUACCCCGUGCCUAUUUGCAUGCAUGUCUCAAGUGAUCUGUUUUCUUCAGAAAAUACAUGAGCAUUGCCAGAAAGAAUGGCAAGAGACAAACAUGUCAUAGAGACUUGCAUGUCUUGCCUUGGAUACGCCAAGAAGAGGGACACAUACAUGGAUAACACAAAUCUAGUGACACGUAUAUUCAUCACAAAGGCAAAUCUGAUAAUUUUAUCCAUGGAGCAGACCAAGGAGAAAUUGAUGACGGACAUGUGAUCUCUGUAUUCAGUUGAAAGCUAAUUGAGCUACACUAAUAUGAGCAGGACUAUAUUCAAGAGACUUGUUGAGAGCUACAGGGAACUUGUAAUAAUUUGCUGGGCGGCCUGCGCACAAUGAUUUGUUAUACAUAGUUGAAAUAUUUCAAGAAUUUAUCAACCUCAUACUCUGAAACCCUUGGUGCAAUGUACUCUGCUUUCCGAGGUAGACUGUUCACGUAAAAUGAGGUCAUGCGUAAGACGGAAUCGGAUUGGAUUCACAGGGAAUCAGAUUUGGAUAGCACCUUUUAGCAGGUUUUUAGUCAAAUGCAAAUUCGGAUCCACAUGUGGUUGAAUGCGAGUUCAAAAUUCUACUUGGAUAUCCAUUUAAUUUAGGUGAUAGCAAUUAGCACAAAAUGUUGGAUGAACAAAAUCAUAGUUAGACAUACAAUUACAUGUAUGGUUAAAGUAUAAUACAAUACACCAAGAUUAUUCCUUGAAAAUAUUUCUUAAAAAUAUUAUAAUAAAUGAAUAAAUAUAAUUGUGGCCACCAACAAAUAGUCGGUGGUCGCUAAGUUGGAGCCAUUUCUGGUUACUAAUGCGGCCUUCUCCUCGACCAGCGACGACAGCUGAGCUUGUUCCUUCUGACACUAAAUCAUCAGAGUCUUCCCUCCACUACUAUAGAAUGCACCUUUAGCACCAAUUGGGAAAUCCCCUUCAGUAUUGGAUGCUGCAACCAGUGCUAUAUAUCAAAAUGGAGACUAAAAGCCUCGGUCUUGGGUACCGGUUGCAUAACGCAUUACUAAAGGAGGCAAAAGAGAAAUGUAACAAAAAAAAUAUUUUGAAUUCCAAGAAUGUUUCACUAUUCAAGAUGACUAGCUGAGAGUCAACAGACAAGAUACUAGGAAUGUGGGUGCUUGAAUGCAUUUGUACAGAGGUCAUACUAUUUACAAACUCUUCUAUGUUUCCAUAUGACUACCUACUUCAAUGUCACGCGAGCCAUUCAGCUGGACACAUGGCACACUAGCUUGCAUGUCGAAUCCAUGAUUAAUUAUUUCCACUUGUGAUCUCUUACCAGUAUUUGUCCAGACUAGAAACGUGCAACACAUUUUUAGGAUAUGGACACGCAUAUAUUUGGACUAGUAUACAGGUCACCUUUGGAUGCGUACAAGGAUGACCGGGAGGGACUAGAAAUGGUCUAGUUUUGAUUGGACUACAAAACUUUUUGUACAGUGAAUAGAGAAUAUAUAUUAUUGUUGGAAUACGAGGUAGGCUACACUAUCGCAAUUCUGAUAUUCUACCGCGUAUAACCAAGAAGAACUGUCGUAUAAGGAUCACGGGAUUACCACUCGACGCACUACUGGUGCGGAAGAUGUAGAUAUGCGUCGAUGCAGUGAAGACGAUCACGUAGUCGUAUGUAGUCGAUCAACGUAGUCGUACAUAGUCGAUCACGUCCAGCAGCUCCUCAGCAGCUCGUCCACGUGCAGCAAGAUCGCCUCCGGUACCGCGGCUCGUCGUUGGCUUGUCGUGGCUCGUCGACGGCUCGUCGGCGGCUCGUCCAAGUGCUGCAGGCGCAACACCUCCAAGGUAUCCACACGUGCAGGGAGGAAGCGUCGCAAGCCGGACUGCUAGAUCCACGAGUUGCAACAGGCGAGGGCGUGGGAGGCGCGGCAGGUGUGUUUCGCCAAAAAGGUGUAAACCCUAGGGCGCCCCCACCCCUCUAUUUAUAGAGGUUCCUGACGGGCCUCUGGAUCCGAGGCCCAUUAGUACUUCUAAACCUAAUCCAACUCGGAUCAGAUCCGAAUUGGGCUUCCAGCCCCUUAAGUGUGUGACCCUAUAAGUUCGGAUACGUAUAGACAUGGCCCGAGUACUCCUACUCGGCCCAAUAGUCGGUAGCGGCCUCUAGCAAGACGUGCCAACUCCUAUACGCACACGAAGAUCAUAUCAGACGAACCAUCACAACAUAAUAUACAUGCUAUUCCCUUUGCCUCACGAUAUUUGGUCUAGCUUCAAGCCGACCGCUCUUUCUCAGUCCUGUGAUUCGGAAUCCCUUUGUAGGUUAACUCUUAACCGUACGUAGCAUGGCCAUGCAUUUUCGGAUCUGAUCACUCGAGGGGCCCAGAGAUAUCACUCUCAAUCAGAGAGGGGCAAAUCCCAUCUUGAUUGACCAUGUCUCAUAGCAUGCUUCUUGACAAACCUAAAAACUACCUUUAUAACUUCCCUGUUACGGCGUAGUGUUUGAUAGCUCCUAAGUAGGUCGAUCCACAUCUAGAAUACAUGCGACAAUUUCAGGUCUAAGGACAAAGCGUAUAUGUUGUUUAAAGAGAGAACUACUUCUCGUGUUGGGUCAGUCCCAGCACAUGUCUCCACAUGUGUCCACAUUAUUAGUUCAACAUCUCCAUGUCCAUGACUUGUGAAACAUAGUCAUCAACUAAUACAUGUGCUAGUCUAAUAUUCAUGUGUGUCCUCACAUGAACUCCGACUAGGGACAACUUUAGAAUAACCAUACAAGUAAAGAGUUUCACAUACAAUUCACAUAAUUGCAAAUCAAUUCAAGUAGCCUUCAAUGGAUAUUCAAUGAACACAACAUACAAAUCAUGGAUACAAAUGGAAUAUCAUCAUCUCUAUGAUUGCCUCUAGGGCAUACCUCCAACAGUCUCCCACUUGCACUAGAGUCAAUCUAGAAGGUACCUAAUACCCAUAGCUCUUACAUGCGCAUCAUGCUUAGCCUGCGGGAGUGGUUUUGUCAACGGAUCAGAAAUGUUCAGAUCCGUGUGUAUUUUGCAUAUCUUGAUCUCACCCCGGUUAACGAAGUCUCGAAUGAGAUGAAAUCGCCGCAUUACAUGUUUGUUCUUCUGGUGGUUCCUUGGCUCCUUUGCUUGCGCAAUUGCCCCAUUGUUAUCACAGUAGAGAUUCAAUGGGCUGGACCCAUUCGGGAACACACCAAGCUCAAUGAGGAAAUUCCUUAUCCAAACACCUUCCUUCGCGGCUUCCGAAGCCGCGAUGUACUCGGCUUCUGUCGUAGAAUCGGCCACCGUCUCCUGCUUGGAACUCUUCCAACUAACAGCACCACCAUUUAGCGUGAACACAAAUCCUGUUUGUGACUUUGAAUCAUCUCUGUCGGUUUGGAAACUAGCAUCGGUGUAACCUGUUACAACGAGCUCCUCCUCACCUCCAUAGACGAGGAAUAUAUCUUUAGUCCUUCUCAAGUACUUAAGAAUGUUUUUCACCGCUGUUCAGUGACUCUCACCUGGAUCAGAUUGGUGUCUGCUUGUCAUACUUAGCACAUAUGAAACAUCUGGGCGAGUACUUAUCAUUGCAUACAUGAUAGAUCCAAUAGCCGAGGCAUAUGACACUCUACUCAUGUGAUCCCGCUCAUCAGCAGUCGAAGGACACUGAGUCUUGCUGAGAUGUAUGCCAUGUGACAUAGGCAAGAACCCUUCCAUGCUGAACCGCUUCAACACUUUGUCAAUGUAAGUAUCUUGGCUUAAACCUAUAAGCCUUCUCGAUCUAUCUCUAUAGAUCUUAAUGCCCAGAAUAUAUGCCGCUUCCCCUAAGUCCUUCAUCGAAAAACUAUUUUUCAGUGAAGUCUUUAUGGACUCAAGCAUAGGAAUGUUAUUUCCAAUCAGUAAUAUGUCAUCCACAUAUAAGAUUAGAAAUACUACAGAGCUCCCACUAACCUUCUUGUAAACACAAGACUCUUCUUCGUUCUUGGUGAAGUCAAACCCUUUGACCACUUCAUCAAAACGAAUGUUCCAACUCCUAGAUGCUUGCUUCAAUCAAUAAAUGGAUCUCUGAAGCUUGCAUACCUUUCCAGCAUUUUUCGGAUCGACAAAACCCUUGGACUGUAUCAUAUACACGUCCUCAGUUAGGUUUCCAUUCAGGAAAGCUGUCUUGACAUCCAUCUGCCAUAUCUCAUAAUCGAAAUAUGCAGCCAAACUUGAUUGUCUCCCAUGGACUCUAUUUCGGAUUGCAUGGCAUUCUGCCAUUUUUCGGAGUCUGGGUCCAUCAUUGCUUCUGCAUAUGUCACAGGCUCAUCAUUGUCCAACAAUAAUAUUUCCUGCAUUUCGCGGAGCCUUGCCGACCUUCGUGGUUGUGGCGGUGCUUCUCUUGCCAUGGGUAUCUCAACUUGUUCUGCUACGUUAGCAUCACUCAUUGAUUCUUGCCCGAUCGGCUCAUCUUGAACUUCUUCAAGAUGCACUGUCUUUCCACUCUUUUCUCCUUUGAGAAACUCUUUCUCUAGGAAAACCCCGUUCCGAGCGACAAACACUUUGCCUUCUGAUCAGUUGUAAAAAUAAUAUCCCAAAGUUUCCUUUGGAUAUCCCACGAAAAUGCACUUAUCCGACUUGGGUGCGAUCUUGUCCGACUGAAGUCGCUUGACAAACACAUCACAUCCCCAAAUCUUUAGAAAAGACAAACUAGGAACCUUUCCAGUCCAUAUCUCAUAUGGUGUCUUAACUACGGAUUUAGAUGGUACCCUAUUAAGUGUGAAAGCUGCUGUUUCUAGAGCGUAUCCCCAAAAUGACAACGGUAGGUCCGACUGGCUCAUCAUUGAUCGAACCAUGUCUAACAAAGAUCGAUUACGUCGCUCGGACACACCGUUUCUCUGAGGUGAUCCAGGCGGCGUAAGUUGUGGAACAAUUCCGCAACUCUUUAGAUGAUUGCUAAACUUGUGGCUCAAAUACUCGCCUCCACGAUCAGAUUGUAAGGCCUUAAUUUUCUUGACACGCUAAUUUUCAACUUCAUUCUGAAAAUCCUUGAACUUUUCAAAGGUUUCAGACUUGUGCCUCAUCAAGUAGACAUAGCCAUAUCUACUAAAAUCAUCAGUGAAAGAUAUGAAGUAUUGGAAUCCUCCUCUAGCCGUCGUGCUCAUUGGUCCGCAUACAUCACUAUGUACGAGUUCCAACAAGUCUACUGCUCUCUCAGGAAAUCCUGUGAAAGACGUCUUGGUCAUCUUGCCUAGCAAGCAAGCCUCACAUGUCUCGUAUGAUUCAAAAUCAAACGAAGUUAGAAGUCCAUCAGAAUGGAGCUUCUUCAUGCGUUUUUCACUUAUAUGACCCAAACGACAAUGCCACAAGUAGGUAGGACUCAAAUCAUUAGGCCGAGGCCUUUUAGCACUUACAUUACAGACAGGUGAACCAUCAAGAUUUAAAACAAAUAAUCCAUUCACAAUGGGUGCAAAAGCCAUAAACAUAUUAUUCUUAGAGAUCACACAACCAUUGUUUUCACUCGCAAAUGAAUAACCAUCCUUCAUCAAGCAUGAAGGAGACAAAAUGUUUCGACUUAAACUAGGAACAAAAUAACAAUUAUUCAACUCCAUAAUAAAUGCUGACGGGAGGUGGAGUUGCAUCGUCCCGACGGUCAACGCAGCAACUCUUGCAUUAUUGCCCACGCGGAAAUCAACUUCUCCUCUUUCCACGCUUCUACUUCUUAUCAUUCCCUGCAUCGAAUUGCAAAUAUGAGCAACCGAUCCGGUAUCAAAUACCCAAGAAUUAAUAAUUGUAUCAGCGAGAAAUAUGUUGUCUAUGACAUUAACAACAAGCGUACCUGAGGUAGAAGUACUCUUACUUCCUCCAUUCUUCAACGAAGCUAGGUACUGCUUGCAGUUUCUCUUCCAGUGACCAAGUUCAUGACAGUAAAAGCACUCUUUGUCUGGAGCAGGUCCAGGUCCAGCUUUAACCUUGGGCGCUCGCUGGGUUUGGCUUGGAAAUUCCAGCCUUGCCCUUCUUCUUCCAAGAAUUGCCCUUCUUCUUAAAGCUAGGCUUGUUCUGUAUAGCCAUCACAUGGCUAGUACAAGCGCUUUUCUUGAUGUCUACCUCUGCUGUCUUGAGCAUACCACACAGUUCAUUCAAACCCUUCUCCGUCCCAUGCAUAUGGUAGUUCGAGAUGAAGUUCCCAUAGCUAGGCGGAAGAGAUGAAAGAAUGAAGUCAGUGGCCAACUCUUUGCCCAUUGGGAAGCCCAGCUUCUCCAAUCGCUGAGUGUAACCAACCAUGUUGAUUACAUGUGGUCCUACUGCUGCGUCUUCUGCUAGCUUGCACUCCAGAAAAGCUUUGGACACAUUGAACCUUUCAGUCCUAGCCUGUGUCUGGAACAUGUCCUUGAGCGCCACGAUCAUAUCGUGUGCCUCAUGAUUUGUUUCGAACUGCAUCUGCAGCUCGGGUUCCAUGCAAGCAAGCAUAAGGCAGCUUACCUCAAGAUUAGCAUCAAAUGCCUUCUUGUAAGCAGCCUUAACGGCAGCAGAUGCAUCAUCAGCAGGUACUGGUGGUAGUGGGGUAUCUAGAACAUCUUCCUUUUUAUCGGCCCUGAGAACAAUUCUCAGGUUACGGAUCCAAUCCGAGUAGUUUGUUCCAUUCAACUUGUCCUUCUCAAGGACCGAGCGCAAAGCAAACGAUGUGGUGGUGUUGCUAGGUGCCAUUUAAUCUACAACAAAAGUAAUGCAAAAUACACUAAGACAAACGUAUCCAUGAUAGAGCAAAUUACAUUAAACUAUUUUAACAGAAUCUACUCCCACUAAAAUCAAUAUCCCUCUAUUGAAACUUAGUGAUUCAGGAUCCACAACUAACAAGUCUACUAGUGAGCUUUAGCAUCACCGCUAGCAAACGAGGUAGAUCGGUAAGCAACUUUUGCUAAUCAUAUCACAUAUGACUCCUGUUGUUGGGUGACAUCUCCAUGUCUCGGCGCCCAACCAUUAUGCCCCAAGGUCCUUAACCGUUAAGAUGACCUCGUUAAGCAAACCAACCCUUAUGCGUGUAAGUGUCCGACACAAACCCGUCUAGUCAAGGAAAACUAGUGGCACCCUAAUUUCAUAGACCCACCACUAAUUGUACAAGACAUGGGACGGUGCAAGUUUUAGUUGGGAGGGCAUACUAACUUAAAUUUUUUGUGAGGGAUCGUUCUACUUCUAACAUCACAGCAUGCAGAAAGUAAAACAUAAACAGAAUAGCAUUCACACAGCUGUGACACAGUAUGGCCCGUUUUUAUAUGGUGAUCUCCAUCUCCAUAGAACCUGUUCACCAUGGUGAUCUCCAUCUCCAUGUUCCAUGUGCGCCAUCCUCCUGGUGAGGAGUCCUCCAAGAACUAGAACAUGCUAUUACACCUAAUAGCUAGUAAAGAAUCUAGUAAUGAAGAUUACAUAGUUGCUUGGAUCAUCACAGAUUGGUACGCAGACCAUUAAAUACAAUAAAGUGACAACACAUAUGGCUCCUGCCGUGUUGCCGUACGCGCGACACGCAGGUCACGAAUGAGUUACACACAUGCAUCACAUACACAAGGGGGCCAUACUGAUCACAAGAUACAUACAUACAUCCUGCAAAACAGAGUUAGGCGUCCUAACGUUCCAAACUUCGAAGGCCCGAAACUCCAUCUUCCAAGCCGAAUUUGGGAAAUCUAAUUUUGCCGAAAACGGCAAAGCGGUUGAAUUUCAUGUGUAACUUUUUCUGUAGAUCAAUUUUCAUAUAAAAUUCGCCCCGAUCCGAGAUCGUACCGAAAAGUUACGGCUGAUUUACCGAAGCAUACGCAUACGGCAAAAAUUCCGACCCCGGCAGUAGAUCCCAUCUACUAUUGCACAUCUAAUGCGCCUGGCGUAUGAUCCUGGAUUUCGAUUCGACCAAUCAUAUUGAUCUUCGCUCACUGCAACUGGAAUUACGUGUAUCACUUAACUCGUCGGCGGCUCGUCGGCGGCUCAUCCAAGUGCUGCAGGCCCAACACCUCCAAGGUAUCCACACGUGCAGGGAGGAAGCGUCGCAAACCGGACUGCUAGAUCCGCGAGUUGCAAUAGGCGAGGGCGUGGGAGGCGCCGCAGGUGUGUUUCGCCAAAAAGAUGUAAACCCUAGGGCGCCCCCACCCCUCUAUUUAUAGAGGUUCCUGACGGGCCUCUGGAUCCGAGGCCCAUUAGUACUUCUAAACCUAAUCCAACUCGGAUCAGAUCCGAAUUGGGCUUCCAGCCCCUUAAGUGUGUGACCCUAUGGGUUCGGAUACGUAUAGACAUGGCCCGAGUACUCCUACUCGGCCCAAUAGUCGGUAGCGGCCUCUAGCAAGACGUGCCAACUCCUAUACACACACGAAGAUCAUAUCAGAUGAACCAUCACAACAUAAUAUACAUGCUAUUCCCUUUGCCUCACGAUAUUUGGUCUAGCUUCAAGCCGACCGCUCUUUCUCAAUCCUGUGAUUCGGAAUCCCUUUGUAGGUUAACUCUUAACCGUACGUAGCAUGGCCAUGCAUUUUCGGAUCCGAUCACUCGAGGGGCCCAGAGAUAUCACUCUCAAUCAGAGAGGGGCAAAUCCCAUCUUGAUUGACCAUGUCUCAUAGCAUGCUUCUUGACAAACCCGAAAACUACCUUUAUAACUACCCUGUUACGGCGUAGCAUUUGAUAGCCCCUAAGUAGGUCGAUCCACAUCUAGAAUACAUGCGACAAUCUCAGGUCUAAGGACAAAGCGUAUAUGUUGUUUAAAGAGAGAACUACUUCUCGUGUUGGGUCAGUCCCAGCACAUGUCUCCACAUGUGUCCACAUUAUUAGUUCAACAUCUCCAUGUCCAUGACUUGUGAAACAUAGUCAUCAACUAAUACAUGUGCUAGUCUAAUAUUCAUGUGUGUCCUCACAUGAACUCCGACUAGGGACAACUUUAGAAUAACCAUACAAGUAAAGAGUUUCACAUACAAUUCACAUAAUUGCAAAUCAAUUCAAGUAGCCUUCAAUGGAUAUUCAAUGAACACAACAUACAAAUCAUGGAUACAAAUGGAAUAUCAUCAUCUCUAUGAUUGCCUCUAGGGCAUACCUCCAACAAUUAUUUCAUGUAAAUUUUUGACAAUUUUUUAAAAUUGUUUGAUAUUUUUUAAAUUUUUUUUAAAAUAACUUUGCCGAGUGUCCUAUUGUAGACACUCGGCAAAGCAGCCUUCACCGAGUGUUACCCCUGGGACACUCGGCGAAUUAAUGCCCGGCCGCUCAAGAAUAUGUGCCCGGCCCCCUCACUCUCCCGGCCCCCCUCACUCUCACUCCCCUCACUCCCUCCUCUCUCCCUCCUCUCUCCCUCUCGCCGCCGCCCGAAACCCCCGCCGCCGCCCGCCGCCCGGCAUGCCGCCCAGCGCCCCCCGCCGCCGCCCGGCGCUCCCGAAUCCGCCGCCGCCCGCCCGGCGCCCGGCCCCCGGAUCCGCCGCCGCCGGCCGCCCGGCGCCCCCGGAUUCGCCGCCGCCCGCCCGGCCCCCGGCCCCCGGAUCAGCCGCCGCCCGCCGCCCGGCGCACGGCGCCCCCGGAUCCGCCGCCGCCUGCCCGGCGCCCGGCCCCUGGCCCCCUGAUCCGCCGCCGCCCGCCCGGAUCCGCCGCCGCCCGCCCGGCGCCCGGCCCCCGGCCCCCGGAUCCACCGCCGCCCCCCCGGCCCCCGGAUCCGCCGCCCGCCCGUCCCCUCCACCGGAUCCGCCGGCGCCGGGGCCUGAAGAGAAGAGAAGAGGAGAGGAUGGUGGCGGCGGCGGCCGCGGCGGCGGAGCAGGUGGCAGAGCAUGCAUGAUUUUUUUUUAUUUUUUCAAUAAUUGUUCGCCAAGUGUUUUCUGGGCACUCGGCAAAGUCUUUGCCGAGUGCCCGACACAAAACACUCGGCGAACCAGUGUUUGCCGUCAAGAUUUUUGCCGUGUGUCGUUUGCCGAGUGUUACACUCGGCAAACGCUUUGUCGAGUGUUUUUGGGGUUUCGCGGAGUGACCCUGGCACUCGGCAUCACGCAUGUUUCCCUUAGUGAACUUGAAAUUAUCUGUACAUUCUCGGUGAAGCUGUUGAACUAAUUUUUGCAAAUUAUUAAUUCAUCUCAUUACGCAAAGAAAAAAGUAAGUGGAUAAGAUAUUUCGUGGACCACAUCACUGCAAACAUGUCAUGGAGAGACAGACCAAGGAGGCAGGACGUGAUACACGACUUACCCUAGGUUGCCGUGGAACCGCCAAGAAGAGAUACAGAUACAUGGACCACACCAUCUUGGGAGUAGUGACAGCAUAUAUGCAGAAGAAUACCCCGUGCCUAUUUGCAUGCAUGUCUCAAGUGAUCUGUUUUCUUCAGAAAAUACAUGAGCAUUGCCAGAAAGAAUGGCAAGAGACAAACAUGUCAUAGAGACUUGCAUGUCUUGCCUUGGAUACGCCAAGAAGAGGGACACAUACAUGGAUAACACAAAUCUAGUGACACGUAUAUUCAUCACAAAGGCAAAUCUGAUAAUUUUAUCCAUGGAGCAGACCAAGGAGAAAUUGAUGACGGACAUGUGAUCUCUGUAUUCAGUUGAAAGCUAAUUGAGCUACACUAAUAUGAGCAGGACUAUAUUCAAGAGACUUGUUGAGAGCUACAGGGAACUUGUAAUAAUUUGCUGGGCGGCCUGCGCACAAUGAUUUGUUAUACAUAGUUGAAAUAUUUCAAGAAUUUAUCAACCUCAUACUCUGAAACCCUUGGUGCAAUGUACUCUGCUUUCCGAGGUAGACUGUUCACGUAAAAUGAGGUCAUGCGUAAGACGGAAUCGGAUUGGAUUCACAGGGAAUCAGAUUUGGAUAGCACCUUUUAGCAGGUUUUUAGUCAAAUGCAAAUUCGGAUCCACAUGUGGUUGAAUGCGAGUUCAAAAUUCUACUUGGAUAUCCAUUUAAUUUAGGUGAUAGCAAUUAGCACAAAAUGUUGGAUGAACAAAAUCAUAGUUAGACAUACAAUUACAUGUAUGGUUAAAGUAUAAUACAAUACACCAAGAUUAUUCCUUGAAAAUAUUUCUUAAAAAUAUUAUAAUAAAUGAAUAAAUAUAAUUGUGGCCACCAACAAAUAGUCGGUGGUCGCUAAGUUGGAGCCAUUUCUGGUUACUAAUGCGGCCUUCUCCUCGACCAGCGACGACAGCUGAGCUUGUUCCUUCUGACACUAAAUCAUCAGAGUCUUCCCUCCACUACUAUAGAAUGCACCUUUAGCACCAAUUGGGAAAUCCCCUUCAGUAUUGGAUGCUGCAACCAGUGCUAUAUAUCAAAAUGGAGACUAAAAGCCUCGGUCUUGGGUACCGGUUGCAUAACGCAUUACUAAAGGAGGCAAAAGAGAAAUGUAACAAAAAAAAUAUUUUGAAUUCCAAGAAUGUUUCACUAUUCAAGAUGACUAGCUGAGAGUCAACAGACAAGAUACUAGGAAUGUGGGUGCUUGAAUGCAUUUGUACAGAGGUCAUACUAUUUACAAACUCUUCUAUGUUUCCAUAUGACUACCUACUUCAAUGUCACGCGAGCCAUUCAGCUGGACACAUGGCACACUAGCUUGCAUGUCGAAUCCAUGAUUAAUUAUUUGCACUUGUGAUCUCUUACCAGUAUUUGUCCAGACUAGAAACGUGCAACACAUUUUUAGGAUAUGGACACGCAUAUAUUUGGACUAGUAUACAGGUCACCUUUGGAUGCGUACAAGGAUGACCGGGAGGGACUAAUGGAUACAAGGAAGGGACCAUCAGGAUUAAUAUUGACAUAUGCCACAUGACAAUCUUCAUUGUCAUGCAAUCCCUAUCAACAAUCAUGGAAUCCCUAGUGUACUAAUCCCUGGAGGGUUGUGUGGAAAUUUAUUUUACCUUGCGGUGAAAAUCUCAUGAGCAGUCAUUAGUUAAGCUGACUAGCUGAGAUAUAAUAGACAAGCUAGUAAGAUUGGGAGCAUCAAUGCAUCCAUACAGGGUCACAAUAUCCUUUCCAUUCACUUUUAUAUAUAACCCUACGAAUACAAGUCCAACGAAAUGCGGGCCUUUCGAUCAAGAUAAAUUAAAUGGCCCACUUGUAUUUCUAAUCCAGGAUUAACUAUGCCCUCUGUUCAUCUCUUGCAAGCACGUGCAACACAUUUUCACGAUAUGGACAUGCAUGGAGGUUAUUAUACUGUUUGGACAAACUCUGAUGUGCCAUGACCUAAAUGCUUAGGGCCUGUUUGGUUUGAGUUGCUUAUUAUAAGCAACUUAAAGUUGCUUAAAGUUGCUUAUUUGAAGUUGCUUAUUUUUAGUCUAAACUGUUUGGAUACCCUUGCUUAUGAGCAUUGAAUGAGUUGGACAUUGUCAAAUUUGCCCCAUGUGUUGCUACCCCUCCAAUUUGCCUCCCCACCCUUCUUCUUCCUGCACACGUCCGAUCCCGGGGGCCGACGGCGGGCAGGGAGCAGCAGCAGCUGGCCAGGGCGGCGGUGGGGCGGGAGCGGCGGCGCACACCAGCACGCGCUCGCACGCCAGGUGCUAGGGCGCGGCGAGGCAGUCGUCGUAGCCCACCGGGAGCGGGUGCUCGGGCGCGAGGCGGUACUCGACGGAGAUGCCGAGCGUCGGGCGCGCGGCGGCGAGCGCGUUGAGGAAGCGAUGGUAGUGCGGCGACGUCGCGGACUCCGCCACGAAGCCGCCGCCGUGGACGUACACCACCACGGGCAGCUUCGUCUUGCCGUCGGCGGCCGCGGCCGCGGCCUGGGGUGGCAGGUAGAGGCGGACGGAGCAGGAGCCGAGGUCGACGUCCCUGGAGUCGACGCCCGUGGCGGCGUCCAGGCUGGGCCCGACCGGCGGCGGCACGAGCGGGCGCUCGAUGCGGCCGCUCUUGUAAAUCCGACGGGUCUGUGCGGAGGCGGGCGGCGGGCGGGAGCGGCGGGUGGGAGCGGCGGCAGGUGGUGCGGAGGCCGGCGGCGGCGGGUGGCGCGGAGGAAGGGGAGCUGGUGAGUGGUGACAGGGGAGGGGGGGAGAGAGAGGGGGGGUAGGGUGCAUUGAAUGAGGGCAGGAGGUGUAAAGUGCACCUUUUAGUCCCCAUGAGCAACCAUAAGCAGCCCAAGAGUUGCUUAUUUGCUUAUAAUAAGCAACCUCAUAAGCAAGAGUGAUUGGUUUCAUAAGCAACUUAUUUGCUUAUUUUAAGUUGCUUAUGCAUAAGCAUGUGAAACCAAGCAGGUCCUUAACCUAUGGUUGUGGCACCACACAGUACAUAGUAUUUAAUAAUGCUAUUCGUUUGGUAUGUGCACAAGGGCACGCAUGAAAUGUCUGGCCCACGGUAAACAAGUACGGACGCUGCAAAUAAUCUACUCUGCUCGUCCAGUCCCUAGCCUAUAAAUAGAUGCCAUGCUAGCUCUUGUUGUGCUCACAAUUAAUCCUGACUACACACGAGCUUCUCUCCCUGGCCAAGACACAAUCAUAGUAUGAUGAAGAACAUGGCACUAGCCGGCAAUGGUAUGAAGAACUUAAUCCUCGCUGUUCUCUUACUGUGUCUAGUUAUAGGGCAGAUACAAGUGGAAGCUAAGAGCUGCUGCCCAUCCAUUACUGCAAGAAAUAUCUACAAUGCCUGCCGUAUCACGGGUACAUCCCGUCCAACGUGUGCAAAACUGUCAGGCUGCAAAAUUAUCAGCGGGGACAAAUGCAAGCCCCCUAACGACCACCUCACCCUUGACCCGGACACUGGUAAAUAAUAAAUUUAUCUCACUUGAUUUCUUCGUGUUUUGAGUCGUUAAUGUAUUUUCCAUCUGAUGAAACGUAUUGGUUUUGCAUUGAAGAGGAAGUUAAUGUGCUUAACUUCUGCAAGUUGGGGUGUGCGUCGUCUGUGUGCAACAACAUCAACGCUGGUAAGCACCUUUUGCUCAGACGGAGAAAACAAUAAUCAUUAAUUAGCGGCAGCUAGAAUCCUAUAAUCUAAUAUAUUUAUAUAUAUAUAUAAUUUUAUCAGCUCUGGGAAAUGAAGAGGCGAACGAUGCCGUUGAGAGUUGCGACCAAGCCUGCUCUAGCUUCUGCAACGUGCACGUUGGCGCUGCCACCGUGGUUGCUUAAGCAAAUGCAUCCAACUGGAUCGUCCUUGUGCUAAAUAAUUGGAUAUCGUAUCCACUUAAAGCUGCCUUGUGUAGUACGUUUUUGUUUGUGUCUCUCUUUAUAUUCCAAUAAGGUCGGUGAUCUUGAUGCCACACACUCAGACGUGUGUUCAUCUCCAGAUACUACUCCAUGCUACCUGCCCUUUGUGUUUUGUUCAAUAACUGGGUAUCAUAUCCCAGCCAGUGUGCCAUCUGUUUUGUGUUUAUUUCCUUCUAGUUUCAAAGGGGU
rnacentral:lncRNA from 1 species